rnacentral:lncRNA from 1 species
CCAAUGAACACUGUAACAAGAGUGCAAAAAAUGCAUGGACUCCUCGGGGAAGAGUCUGCCGUAGAAAGAGCCAGGCAUUGCGCUUAUUAGGCACGAUCCUAUUUUGCGUCCAUUUUCUUUCUCGAGUUUGCGGUAGAAGCUUGGCAGCAACUUGAAAACUGAAUUGAAAUCAUUUUGGAAAAGAUCAUUCAGAAAAAUUUGAAUGGUGGGAUGUUCUAAUUCAUUCUUCUCUUCCUGGCCAACUUUGUCAAUACUUUGCACAAUGUCCCGAACUGUUAAAAGUGUGUUUGGUCCAGAAGCGCAUCCCAAAUCCGCAACUUUAAUGCACUUGUUGAUGUUGGGCAAGUUGGCCCGCAACAAUUCUCGUAUGCAUUGUUCAAGGACAGGUUUCACCUUGGUGAGAACCAGCUGCUACACAUAACCACUCCAAAAUACAAAUAUUAAGGUGGGAAAAAAGACAUACUAAGUCAGAGAUCAACGUAUCAUAGCAUGAUUUACUACUACUCUGUGUGUGUGUGUGUGUGUUAAAGAGAGAGACGGAGAGACAGACAGACAUUGUACGAUGAAUUCUUGGCGUAGCUUGUAUCGCUUUCGCCUCCAUUCAUAUGCAGGACUUCUUGGAGCUCCAUUCAUAUACAGGACAAUCGAAUUGCGACUGCUAAAGAAGGUGUCUGUUAAUGAUUAAUUGUGCAAAAUUUCGGGCUUAAAUAGCGAAAAUUUCAUAGAUGCGUAUGCUAACCAGCUAGUUACGUGCGUAGAAAAGUCUGUCAAUGGGUCAGAAAGAAAGCGCACAGCCAAUGGGAACCAGACACGAAUGAUAUAAUCGGAAGUUGAGAUAUGGGGAUAAAACAUCCUAUCUACCUUGUAUAUAAGAAAGAAAGGGGGUUUAGUUCUUUGCCUCCCUUAUUGCCACUUGAUUUUCCAAUAAUUUGACAAGUGGCAUAAGUCUAAUAUUUUUUUUGCACAUGAUUUUUUUGCCUCUUGCAUAUCCCCUUUUUCUUUUUCUUUUUUUUUUCAUGCCAAACUGAGCAAGUUUGGCUCUUUUAUUCUCCUUUUCAGCCCAACGAAUUUUUUUAACCUUAAUUAUUUGACUAAGUGAGUCCACUGUUUAAUUCAUCACUGUUAGAUUAGUUUUAAUACAAUAACAUUACAUUACAACCCUUGGAUCAAUUUUCAUUCAUUCUUAUUGUCUACCUAUUAUAUAAGAGACAUGGGAAUUUAAUGUAGUACUCUCAUUUAUUGACAUGUGAUGUAACUCUCCUUUGAGGAAUCCAUGAUUUUUCUCAUUUUUUAUUUCCCUAUUUCUAUCUUGAUGGAGCAAGACAAAAGAUGUACUAUACAGGAUAAGACAAAAGAUUUUAAUUGCAAGUCAUGUUGCAUAACUACAAGAACUUCUACUAUUUUUAUAUAUUGUCUAAUUUAUGACUAUAGGAUCAAGCUUUAUAGAUUAAUGAAAAAAAUUUUAAUCCUUGGAUAUUGAUUAAUUAUGUUUGAUUAGUAGCUAACCAACUAUUACAUUUAAACAACUCUUUUAUGUAAUCGAUUAAAGUCUCUUUUUCUAUUUCUUUAUAAAUCGUUUCUCAAUGUUGCAUAGAAAAAAUCAGAUUUCUUCCUUCCCAAUUGUAUUCAACUAUGCACUUGUUCAUUUAUCUCAAAAUUAGUGAUGGAUUUAAUAGAUGUCAUGUUUAUUGUCUCCUUGAUUUAGAAGAGUUAGUUUCAUAGAUGAAAUUUCUUCUGAUGCUCAAUUUUUCUCGUGUUUUUGUCUAUUAUGUACCAAAAAGUUUUGCUGUUAUAUGUUCAAUUAAGUUAUUAGGGGGCCUAGGCUGUGCCUUGCACAGCCGAGGUACCUCUAGUCUACCUUGUAUAUAAAAAAAAGCCAAGUUACUGUAGCUAACCAUUUUUUUGACACAUGUAUUGUAUAUUUUUUUGACAAGUGGACCUUUGAUUAUUUUACCAGAAUUUUUCCUUCUCUUUUUUGAUUCAAUUGGGCUAAAGAAUUAAAAUAUUUUUUCUCCUUGAAAAAAUCAACUCCAUCUCUUCUUUUUCUUCUUGUAGUAACUACUGUCAUCCCUCACCUUUUUUAUUUUUUAUUUUUUUAAAACUAAUCUAACUAAGAUUGUUGCCAUGUUCUUUUUUUUUUUUUUGUUAAGAUGAUAACUACUUAGCAAAAAGAAUUCUUUAUUAUUUUUUAUCCCAUUUUACAUUUUCUUUUCUUCCUUUUUUCUUCAUCUCUAAUCUCGCAUGUUUGCUCUAUUUUUUUAUCAUAAUGUUAUAGCCAACUAACAUUUGUUUGUUAAAUUUAUAGGAUGAUGUUUUAUUUGGUAAUUCUUCAUGGAUAAAAGGUGAAAUUUUAAAAUAUGUAAAAAAAAAGGGAAAAUCGUCCAAAACGUCCCUCACAUUUUGUAAAAUAACUUUUUUCGUCCCUCACUUUUAAAAGUGUAAUUUUAUAUCUCUUACAUAUUCACAUCGGACAAAUUUAGUCCCUAACUAGGUUUCCGAUCAUUUUUGGCCGAAAUUCAUCAUGUGCAAGGCACAUGAUCAUUUUUAAGGAUAAAUUUGUCAAAUUAUAUUUUACAUAAUCUCAUCUAUAGUCCUCCACAUUUUAUAAAAUAAAUUUUUUCGUCCCUCACAUUUUAUAAAAUGAUUUUUUUCAUCUCUUACAUUUCACAAAAUGAAUUUCUCCAUCCCUCACAUUUCAAAAAAUGAAUUUUUCAUUUCUCACUAAUUAUGUGUGUGAAUACAUUUUUUUAAACACAUUAAUUGAUUUUGUUUAAUAAUAAUAGUAUAAACACAUGUAUGUAAUUGAGCCCAACUUGUGGGCUAUCUUCUCUUUUUGUAUGAUUAUGACUAAUAUUUACCAAUAGAACCUUAAUUUGCAUAUUCUUAUUGCAUUUUGACCUAAAAUAGAUUUAUUGGCUAACUUGAUAAUGAAUGCAAGGUUAUUUACUAGCUAAUACAAAAUGAAAUCAAAUGAUCACGUAUAAUAUAUGAUAUUCGUAUUGUUAAAUGAAAUCAAAUAAACACAUACAUAUAUUUAUGCUGUUCGUAUUAUUAAGCAAAAUCAAAUAGACAUAUACUUGUGUUUAAACAAAUUGUAUUCACACACAUUUUUUUUUAGGGUUUCCCUCACAUACAUAAUUAGUGAGGGAUGGAAAUAUUCAUUUUUUGAAAUGUGAGGGAUGGAGAAAUUCAUUUUGUGAAAUGUGAGGGAUAAAAAAAUCAUUUUAUAAAAUGUGAGUGAAGAAAAAAUUUAUUUUAUAAAAUGUGGAGGAUUAUAGAUCAGAUUAUAUAAAAUAUAAUUUGACAAGUUUACCCUUUAAAAAUGAUCACGUGCAAGGCACGUGAUGAAUUCCGGCAAAAAAAUGAUCGGAAACCUAGUUAGGGACUAAAUUUGACCGAUGUGAAUAUGUAAGGGACAUAAAAUUACACUUUUAAAAGUGAGGGACGAAAAAAGUCAUUUUAUAAAAUGUGAGGGAUUUUUUGGACGAUUUUCCCAAAAAAAAAUUUAGAAUUCAUUUUAUACCAAUGAUCAUUUUCUAUGAAUAAUAGAACAAAAAUUCAUUCUUUUAUUUUCUUCUCCUAUGAUUUGAUUUCUUACUUCACAUUUUGUUUCCUUUUCUUUGUUUUUUGGUUACAUUUUGUAAUUAUCUACAAUUUUGUGUAUUUGUUUAGAAGAAAGAUAUAUCAUGUGAUGUUUUCACCAAGAUAAAUCUAGUUAGGCAUUCUUGUACCUCCGUUUUUCUCCAUUUCUUUCUUUUUGCAAUUACUUUAUGGCCUAUUAAAUUUAGGGAUAAUUUCAAAAACCUCCCCUGAGGUUUCUGACAAUUUCACUGACCUCCCCUGAGGUUUCCGCAAUUACACUAACCUCCCUUGAGGUUUCUGAUUUUGUAACAAAAUCAGCCAUGACCACAAAAGUAAACAUAAAAAAGUGUUUUCAAGAAAGAGAGGAAAUUUUGUUCCCAUAAAUGCCCUUAAGGUAGGUGUACAAGUUAUAUUAGUGAAUUAAUGAAAACUAAUAAAAAUCAGAAAUAAAUAAGAAAAAGUGAGGGGAUGGGUAUGGGAAUCAUAAAAUUUUACUUAUGGAUAUAAACAAUUGGGUAACGCAACCGACCUAAUUAACUCAUCUACCACCACUCAGGUCAUUUCACAAAUACAUUCAUCAGACAAAGCUUUCCUCUUGUCACAAAAAUUCAAAACAAUGUGGUACAUGUUCACAAGCAAGCAGGUUAAAAUCCCGCCUGCAUAAUAACGUUGAAACCCGCAAGCAGGAUUCUGUGUUUUUUCUAUUUCAAGGUUAGCUCGCAUGCGGGUUAAUGUUAUAUUUGAGCGCGAGAAGAAAAAAUUGGUAAUUAGGCUCUUUGGGCAUUAUAAGUAAAUAUUUAAAUUAAUGGCAGUUUUAUUACACCAAUAUUAUUGUAUUAUCAUUAUUAUGAUUAUUGUAUUAUUUCUUAUGCAAAUAUAACAUUUAAUUAUCCAAGCAGUUUGAUUUUAUUUUUACAAUUUAUAAAAUUUUUAUCACUUAUAUAAUAUUUUUAAAACCCUAAUACAUCUAAAUUUGAUUUUAUUUUUCAAAUUUAUAAGAUUUUUAUUUAAAAAAAUGGGAUACGGAUAAGAUAUCCGGUUGGUUCGAUUUGCAUAGGUGCAUAUGAGAAUAUCCGAAUACUCUUUAAACCCGCAUGCGGGUUUAAGGAGAUUAUGGCAACUCUCUGACACACUAGUUACCCGUCCAACUUGUGUGUAUUAAAAUAUAUUUAAAUAUUAUAUUUCAUAUUUUUGUUAUUUAGAGUUUAACAAAACAUUAAUAUUGGGUAGAUUUGAGGGAUAUGCAUAAUUUUGCAUAUUUGUAGGAAUAUUAGAAAAUGGAAAAUUUGGGUAAAUUCCCAAAUUUUGGAGGUAAGGUGUAAUCCAAGAACUAAAACAGUCAUUUAUAAAACCUUAACAGUAAUAAGGUGCAAACCAAAACUGCAAUCCAAGAGUAAUAUCAUUACAAAUUUCAUAACCAUACAUUAAAUAAAUAGAAAUGCAAUCCAAUACUAUCCAAAACACCAUCUGCCUUAUCAUAUUUUAGUCCUAUAAUAACACAAAAUGUCUUGGGUAUAAUAGUAAUUUUGCAUUAUAUGAUGUCAGCAAUUGGGUCCCAAGUUCUGCCAGGGGAGGUCAGUGUAAUUGUGGAAACCUCAGGGGAGGUCAGUGAAAUUGUCAGAAACCUCAGGGGAGGUUUCUGAAAUUAUCCCUUAAUUUAAUUGAAGGAUCCAAUAAGAUUUUGUAUAUAUUUAAACUAAAGUUAAUUUUUGUUUGUUUUUUAAUUACUCAAGUGUUGUAGUAUGAAUUGGGUUGGUAUACAAGGAUUGCAGUCAUGGUGGAAGUCACAAUUGAGACUUUCGGCCUAGAGUGUGACUUGAGAAAAAAUUGUUAGAAAUUUCAAUUUUGAUUAGGAAGAUGUUUUUGCAAUAAAAAAAUAGUUCAAUUCUAAUUUGUAUAUGUAGACUAGGAAACAUGGCAAUUCAUAUUUUUAUCUAACUUUACUAUUUAUAUUCAGGAACUGCAGGAUAAUGUUGUCACCUUUAAGUAGAAUUUAAAUAGAUGAACUGGAUUCUUCUAUCAAAAGAAAGAAAAAUAUGAAAGUUUAUAAUAAGCUAUAUUGAUGUUGAAGAUUAUGCUAUAUUUUAGUAGCUUUCUAAACUUUUUCUCAUUAUUAAAGUACUAAAAGUAUUACGACUGCUUUUGAUUUAGUUUUAACUAAAACUAUACUACUAUUAAUACACCAAUACACUUAUAGUGUAUUAAGUUUCUCUCCUUUUUGGGUAUCAUCAUCAUAGUGGUUCAAAAAUCUUUAUUCAAAUCACAAUAAAUAGAGAGGUUGACUUCAUAGAUAGAAUUUCUCUUCACAACAAAUUUUGAGAGAAAUUUUAUUUAUACUCCAUAUUGUGUUAAUUGUGUUCCUAUAAUAAACAAAAACUAUACGAUAAAAAUAAUAACGAAAGUAUGAUUAACAAAAAUGAGAGUUCAAAUAAUAUUUGUCAAAUUUAAUUGCUUUAAUGCUCAAUUUUUCUCCUAUAUUUCUAUUCAUUCAUCAUGUGUCAAAGUAAUUUGAUGCUAUGCAUUCGACGGACAGUGGGCAUUUUGGUCAUUUUACACAGCGCGUAACUUUGAUUGCACACGGCAUAACUUUGUUUGCACAACGUGUAACUUUAGUACAAAAAUUUACGGGGCCCACACACGUUGUGAAAAUUGAUAUACAACUUGUAAUCUGGACCGCACAUUUUUUUUGGCCAAAAUUUGGCCGUUGACUGAUCAGGUCCCUGCCCCUUAUCCGCAUUCGACUAAAUUUCUAGGGGGCCCAAACUGUGCUUUGCACAGUUCAAGUACCUCUAGUCUUAUAUAGAAAAAGUCAAGACUUCUGCUCUUAUAUUGAGCCACGUGGCUGCAUUUGGGAAGGGAGUCUACUGUAGUAUAUUGAUAAGUGUAUGUUUUGAGUGUUUUAAAUGUGUUUUUUUAAUUAGCUUGUAUUUUAUUUAAUUUUAUAGCUAAUUAACUAAGUUUAUAGUGAAAAUAUACAUUUUAUGGUUUAAGUAUCAAAAAUUGCAUUUCUAUAGAUUUUAAUGGUGAAAAUUUCAUAUUUUUGUAAGUUCAAUUAUUCAAUCAUCAAUUGGAGUGACUUGAGAAGAUAUUUGGAUGAUUGUUGAUGAUUUGAAAUGAUUUAAAGAAAACAUGAACUAUCAUAUGUUCAAAAGAUGAAAUGCAAUCAAGAAUAAAAGAAAGGGAGUUUUCCAACUUUGAUACCUUGUGGUCUUUCAGCUAUAUCUUGAGUUACAAGCAUUAAAUUGAGGUGAUUCUUAAACCAUUUUGAAACUAAGAGAUAGCUGCAUAUUUGAUAUGAAGACUCAAAAUCUAGUUUAGUCGUUUUCUUUGUCAAAAUGUCGAAAUACAGAAGUGCAUUUUUAUUGUCAAAAACUAAAACAGAGUUCUGACUAGUCGAGAAUAUUUUGGUUAUUUCUUGGUCCACAGAACUCCAAAUUAGAUGAUUAUUGAGGCAUUGAAAAUCGGUUACAACUUUCAUGCUUUUUACAAGAGUUAGUCCAUCCUCCAUCAUCAAGAAAAUAUCAGUUGACAUUGGACCAAAAACAGAGCAAAAAGAAAACUUGACCAGAAAUGAACAAACUUGAAAAAGAGAAAAACGUGGGUAUAAUAUGCGACCUUAGGUCAUGUUUUCGAGGUCGCGUAAUCUUCAUUUGUGGCUGCAGCUUGCUCUGCUACUUUUGCUUUGUUCGCGCAAGCUUUUUGAUUACUUUUUCAGCAAGAAUUUCGACUAGAUAUGAGCUAACAAGUAUGGAGACAUCAAGAAACAACCUUUUGAUGAUUCCAAGAGCCAAUUAGCACCAACCUUAACAUGAUUACUUGGAGUUUUAAUCCUCUAUGAAUAGAGGCCUUUGGGGAACAUUUUCCCAACUUUAGGAAGGCUAGAGAAACUCUACAAAAAUGUAGUUUUCACUAGAAUUUUUUUAGUUCAUUAAUUAGAUUAGUAUAGUAUAGUUAGUGCAACUUAUCCUUCUUGUAUUUGUAACUAAACUUGGAUGAAGAUUAAUAAGCAAAAUAAAGAGUUUGAUCUUAUGUGACAAGGGUGAUAUCUCUUAUACUACUUUCUCUCUUGUAUUUGAUUUCAUAUUUAGUUAUUAUAUAAGUUUGGAUUUGUGUUUAAAUAUGUAUUUCUAAAGUUUAUACCUAGAGUUAUGGAUGAACUUGCUAUAUCUUAUUAGUGAUAUUUACUUGGUUAUUUGAUGAUAUUAUUUUGAGCAAAUCAUUUAUUAGUUUUACUUUUCUAAUCAUGAUUAACCAACCAUUAAUUAUGAUAAUAUUAACGUGUUAAAUUUGCAAUGAGAAUUGGGAUUAACAAUAGUUCAACGAAAUGAUAAACUUAGGGAAUACAUUCACGAGAGUAGAGGUACACUUAUGUGGAUUUACUGACUUGUUUCAUGUAAUUUCAUAGAAGAAAUAAGUUUAUAAUUAAUUUCAUAACCACGAAAGUAGGUAUGGUUUAAUUACAAGUAUAGUUAAUUCAUUACGAGAGUAGAUUUCAUAUACAUUAAGAAAUUAUGCCAUAACUAACCAAGAUAAUAACAUUCACUUAAUUUGUAAUUUCAUUAGCGAGAGUAGUUAGGAAUUUCAUACCUCUAGAAGUUUUAUAUUAUUAUUUUUAUUACGUUUACUUCAUGUUUGUAGUAUAGCUUUAAUCUUUUGCAAUUUGUGGUAAUCUAAAUAAUAAAGGAGUUCGAAACCUAUCGGUAAUUGACAAUUUUCUCUGUGGGUUUGACCCUUAAUACUCUAUGUUCAAUCACGCAUAGUAUACUUGUGAAAAAUCGCAUAUGGGGUAUUUUGAAUUUUAUAAAUAUGAAACUUGACUAUGGAUGAACUAAUUGUUAUAUACAUACCCCGUGCCCGUCAAGUUUUUAAUGCCGUUGCCGGGGAAGAUUUUGCUCAAUAUUGGCGCUAAGAAUAACUUUAUUAAUUUAGACAAUUUUUUCUUGCUUUUCUUGUUUUUGUUGUGUUUAUUGUCCUUUUGUUAUGUUUAGUGUCUUGUUGGGUCUUUUAUUUUAUGUUUAGUGUCAUGUUUUUAUAUGUGUCGGGUCAUCUAUUCUUCUUGACUAAACUUAGUUUUGAAUUACUUAGAAAGCAUGUUUAGGGUUUUAUGGAGAGUAGAAAACACGAGGAGACAAUGCUUGAGAAGUGGAAAAUCGGUAAUGGAUUAUUACCAAGUACAAAGUACCUUGAAAAGAGGUAACCAAGAUGUUACUGAAGGUAUAUCAUUCAAAAAUGGUUUAAAGGCUAAACUUGAUAUUAUAACAUUAAAAAUUCAAUUGGACACCAUUACAAACAUGCUUGAGCAAAAGAGGAAUGUUAAUGCUUUUAAUUCUUAUCAUGUGAUUUGUAACUUGUGUGGAGAUUAUCAUGCUACUCAUACAUGUAGGCAAGCACAAAAUGUGGAUUAUUAUGAUGAAUUUGGGUAUUACAAUCCUUAUUUUGAUCAAAAUGGUCAUAACUAGGGGAAUUCUUAUACUUAUGAUUGGGAUAAUCAAUGUAUUUAUAGUGAUUCUCAAUAUUAUCAUGAUUACCCACCCGAGCGUGUUCAAUAUGAAUCUAAACUAUCUUGGGAAUUAGCCAUAGAAAACCUAACUAAUGCAACCUCCGAUUAUUUUGAUAGGGUUGAGCAAAGAUUAGAUGAAUUAACUUCUCAUUUUGGUAGAAUACAAGAUCAAUUACACGUUUUGUGUGAAGUUAUUUUUUCUAAUCAUGUGCAAGAUGACCUUAGCAUGAAUGAUGGAAAUGUCACUACAAGAAAAAAGGUCAUUAGUGACAACAUUUCUUUGUGACGACAAAAAGUCGUCACAAAAUGAGGUUGUUUAGUCACGACUUUGAAGGUUGUCACAAUUGACUCAAAGCAACUGAGUUUUCAGUGACAACCUUUAAUUGUCGUCACAAAACUACUUCGCGCCAUGGGACUUGGAAGGCGCGAGUUUUGCAAUAGUGACGACUUAAUAAAUGUUGUCAGUAAUUCUACCGCUUUCUUUGACAAUUUUUCAUUGUUGUCACUGUUUAUGUUUACUAACGACCAAUUUUUGUCAGUAAAACUAUAGCGUAGUUAGUGACAACAUAAGUAUCAUCACUAACUUGAACAUCUCUAAUGCAUUUAUUUAAUUGUGAGCCUUAAUAUUAAUUUAAUUUUUUUAAAAUUUGAUGAUUUAUUAACUAUGACUUUAUUUAAUUGUGAGCCUCAAUAUUAAUUUAAUUUUUUUUAAAAUUUGAUGAUUUAUUAAACUAGUCAUAGUUACUCAAUAGGUUUUUAACUGAAAAAAAUUAAUGAAAGUUUCUAGUUAGAACAACUAUAUAAACUAUUACAACUUGAGAAAGAUGAUAUUUACCAGUUCUUUGAAUUUAGCAAAAAUUUUUCAUCCUUUAUAAUUUUUUGAUAAAUAUGUUAAGAAGUAGUGAUUAGAAAUACAUUAGUAAAUUUAAAUAAAAUUUGAAGCUAAAAAUUCACUUGGAUUGUCUUGAUUGUGUAGUACCAGAAAUUUGUUCAAACUAAAAAUGAAAAAAAGUGGCGCAGGUACCAUAGAACCACUCUUACUCCCCACAUCCAGAUGUCUUCAGUACUCUUCAGACUCUCAAUCCUUCAGUCAACUCCUUUAUUCUCAACCCCAUUUAUUCAUUUUCCAAAACCUAGCAGCAACGGAGGCAGGCAGGCAGGCUGCAGCCGCCGUCAUCAAAGAUGUAGAUAUUCAUGAAAACCCUAAUACGGAAAACCAUUACCCUUGAGGUGGAGUCUUUUGGCACCAUCGAUAAUGUCAAGGCCAAAAUCCAGGACAAGGAGGGCAAUCCCCCAGACCAGCAGUGCCUCAUCUUCACCGAUAGGAGUGUCUCAUCUUGUUUCCCUAUUUUUUCCCCAAUUAAUUUGCCUAAAUUUUUUCCCCAAGUAUUUUUUUGCAAAAUUUUUUGGUGGCUAGUUUGAGCCAUGGAUUUAAUCAUCUCUUUCUGUAAAAUUUUGCAAAAUUUGCCAUAAUUUUUUUUGCAAUUUUUUGUGUGAAGGAAUUCAAGGUGGGGGAUGAAAUAUUCGGAGACAUUCACGAGCACGCUUUGUACCCAAAGGGAUGUGUGUCACUGGCGGAGUACAAUACAGUCGAGGAGAAGGUACUGGCUUCGAAGCCCAAGAAUUUGAGUUUUGCCGUGGCAGCUAGCUUUCCUGUUGCCGUUGAGGGAUUCUUUUCUUGUGAAUGGCGUUGCCUUUAAGAAAACAUUCUCAUAUGCUGGUUUUGAACAGCAACCAAAGAAAUUUGUAAAUCCCAAGAUACUUUUGCUGAAUAUAGAAUUGGAACUGAAAUCAGAGAAAGAGAAUGCAGAAAUAAGGUAGGAUAUUUUCUGCACUUUUAUCCACAGAAGCAAUUAUUUUCAUAUUUCGUGUUAAAAAUGCAUAUGUUACUCAGCAAAUGUUGUUGACAGGCUUUCAGAUCAUUGCAGUAUCAGUCAAUCGUUGAUGCAGAAUGGAAUAUCAUUUAUGACAAGUUAGAUAAAUGUGUGAAAAGUGGGCUAAAAUCAUUUUAUCUCGGCUGGCUAUUGGUGACCUAGCAACACAGGUAAUGCUUGCUUAAUUGUUUAAUAAUUAAAUUUUCAUGUGGGCAAACAAAUUUCUGGGUUUCAUUAGUGCUACAUGGGCUUGUCCCCAUGUGCAAAGCUGCUGCUGUUUUAAAUUGGGGUUUGCUUUAUGUACAGAACUUUAAAUUUCCUAUUGAACUUAUUGAACAUCUAUAGAAAAUUAAAUUUAUUAAUUAGAUUUGAAGUAUGGCAUUUCUUCCUUGCGCAGCGUGAGAAGUAGGGCUAUACUUUAUUGAUUAUUUUUUAUCUCAAGCUCUACUUCAGUUUUGUUUAUGCAUAGGACUGUUUUCUGCAUUUUGCAGAACAACUUAUGUUUAGUAUCAUUAUGAGCUCUAUUGAUCCUGUUGGCUUUCAUUAGUAUUUUGCAGAUCGGGAUGUAUUUUGUGCUGGUCAUGUUAUUGAGGAGGAUCUGCAUCGGGUGGCUGCUGCAACUAGUGGAACUAUACAGACCACAGUGAAUAAUGUUAUUGAUGAGGUACAAUUCUGUUGUUCUGUUUUGGACAUAAUUUACGCUCUUCAUUUAUUUUCAGAACUAGUGAAAUAUGCUAUAUUUAUUGCUCUAUUCUUAUUCAGAAAAUUCAGAAAAUUGUAGGUUUUAAAUCCAUCUGUUGUAUGUCUUGAUCCCACAAAAAAGUUGCAGGGGAAGGGGUUGGUUGCUGCCAAUCCUAUUGCUAUGUUGCUAUGCCAAGAUUGGCUAACGGUUAGUUAAGGAGCUAAAGAAAUGGGGAGGCAGAAUGUGGGUGGAGUAACAGACUAAAAGCUGGUAGUAGUAUUACUUUGAAGGCUAUGAUUAAUGUAUGAAUCUUAAACCUGGACCUAGCAACUGGUAUACCAAAUUUUUUGGUUUAUCGAGGUAGAAAGAUUGAAUGCCCCUAGUAGUGGUGGUUAACUACCCGAUACUUUCUCUAUCAAAAUCUAUUUUUCAUUUUUUUAAAUAUCUUUUUAUUUUUUUGAGCUACAUUGCUCUAUCAAUGUGUGUGUGUGAAACUGCUAGAGAGAGCUUGCUGAAGCUGAGACAGAACAAGAACAUUUGAAUAAUUUAGAUGACUGAUUAAAAAGUGGCUCCUAUAUUCUUUGAAAUAAAAUAUCCAUUUACAGCACGAAUUUUGGUCAUAAGUUUGUUCAGUAAGAUUUUGUAAUGUUUUUUGUCCUAUAACUUGCUGAGAUAGGUUGUUUAAAUACAAUGAAUCUGUGAAGAUGGCACUUAAAAUGUUUUAUCUGGUUGUCUUAUCCAGGGUGUGAAUAAUGAGGAAGAAGAAUUUGGGCUGAUUUUCAUUUUGAGUUUGAAUGAGAAACUUUGUUUUCAUAUUUUGUCUAAGUUACUUUUGAGCAUCCAAAAAUGAGUGUGAGAAUUACAUACUUGUUAUCAUGUCUCUUCAGUAUAAUCCAAAGUUCUAUGUUUUGUCAAGUAUGCUAGCCAACAAAAUUUUUUUUCCAGAUUCAAUAUUAAAUGUGUGUCUCAAAGAAAAGUUACUUAGAUAUUCCUAUCAAUUGACUUUCUUCUUGAUUAAUGUGCAUGUUAGAUUGAGCAGGCUACUGAUCUAACGCAAUGCUUUGAAAACUAGACUUCAAAUCAGUGAACCUAAAAUAACCAAUAUUUUUAACUUUAAACUUUCAUUUACUUUGGUGCAAGUCUGUCAAUUCUGUCUUUUGUCUAUUAAUAAUGGUUCAUUUGUGAUUUGUUGUUCUGGAAUUAGAUAGCUUCAAAUAUUUUGCAAGAGUUGAUCAACAUUCAUAAUGAUGCAAAAGUCAUAUAAGCAAUCCAAGAUUAGGUCGGAGAUGAUAAGGUUAUCUUUAUUGAGCGAACAGUAGUAAUAUCCAUUUGUUUAUUUUUUCCCCUUAAUUUCCAAUACUUUAAAACAUCCUGGUAAUAAUCAGAUGUAUUGGGCAGUUCCAAAGAACUACUGAUAAUUAUUGAGGAUCAAUAAACAACAAGUGGUAACAGUACUAUGCUAAGCCAUCCUUGGCAGAGACAGAGAAAUGUUUAUAACUUUGUAUCAAUUGCAGAGACAAAGAAAUGUUUAUGACUUUGUAUGAAUCAAAAUUUCAUAUUUGGCUAAACCUUAAUAGCAGUUUUAGGUUUGGCCUUUGAAUUACUGGAUAAAUUGAAAAGCAGUUCUGAAGGUUAACCUUUGAUUAGAAUCAUAUUGUUUUUGGUUGCUAUCUUGUUGCUAGCACUGAAGCUUCCAUCAAUUUUGAUGUUUGAGAGGGUGCUAUGGUCAGCAAUGUUGGGUUUGUUCUCUUUGAUAUUUACGUGAAAAAAGUUUGCAAAACUUUAGGAAGUUAAUGAAUUUAUACGGUUGGAUUAGUACAAUCACAUUUUUAUAUCUAUACCUAGUUGUUUGUCGGAAGUUCUAAGUGUUUUAUCUCUUACUUUGCUCUUAUUUAGUCACUAUCUAGAUGAUACUUAAAAGAAAUGAUUUAGCUUAUUUUCUUGCAAAUUCUUAAGUUCUCUUUUCUUGUAUCAAGUUUUUCUUAUCACCCACUAAUAAUUGAAGUACUUUACUGGAGAUAUGUUGCUCAUUACAGACUUUUGGAAGAUCAGCAGCAAGAGUUGUUAAUUGACUCAAGAACUAUAGAGAAAAUCUUAUGCUCAAGAAAUGCUUCGACAACACAUUUUUUUUGGGAUUUGGAUUUGUUUUGUAAAACUGUCUUGACUUAUAUGUGAAAUUUAGGCCAAAUACCACUUAUCAAACUAUUUGUAUGGUGUUAUUGAACUUGAUUAUGAUAUUCGAAUGCUUAAAAUGGUAUUUUAGCAUUUCAUAAUGUAAUGGAUACCUUCAUUUGUUAAUUGUAAAGCAUUGUCUUUUUUUCAUUUUUAAGAUAUAAUUUAGCAGGAAAAUCAUAUUUCAUGGUGGCAAAGCGUUGUCACUGAAUUAAAUUUCUCCAUUGACAACCACCUAUUGUUAUGGAAUUGAAAACUGUUUAGUGAUAACAGAAGUUGUCAGUAAUUAGUUUAUACUACUUGACACUAUGGAUUAGUUUUAGUGACGACAUUCCUUUGUACAUUAUUGACAAGAUACUAUGUCAUCACUAAAAUUAUAACAAUUACUGACGACACAAGUUGUCGCAAAAUAGUAUCAUUCACUGACGACUUUUAAGGUUGUUACUAUAUACUUUUACCGACGGGCCUUCAGUGACGACUCUGUGACGACUAGAAAGUUGUCAAUAAAACUUAUCAGUGAUGACUUUUUCUUUUUUUGUGACGAAAAUGGCUUGUCACUAAAAAUUAAUUUUCUUGUAGUGUGUUGUAUGUCGAAAUGGAUUGCAUUUUGAUGGAAACGAUGCAUCUAAUAUAUGUUUCAAUGAGAAAUUGUCCAUUUCACAAGAUCAUAUCCUUGGAACUAACUUUGAAGCUCAAGAGAUGAGCAUCAAUGACUCAUUUUUCAUCUCUCUUGAGGAAUGUGUUGAAAACAUCGGUUCUAAAUAUAUCGUCACCCAAGAAAGGCAAGCGGAUGUUCCUUUGUUGAGCACUCAAGUGGCGCACAUUCAAGGUAUUAUUUAUCCAUCACUUGAGAUAUGUAAGCCUCUUCCACCUCUCAUACUAUUAGAACAUGCCAUGUCCUUUAAUGAUGAAUUAUUCAUUUACAAAACCUCAAAAAAUGAAAUUAUAUAGUCAAACCAAUGACUAUAAACAAAAGCGCUAGUUGAGAGGUAACCCAAUAUUUUGAUGAUUUAUGUUAAUUCAGUGUGAUUUUAUGUUUAAAUUAUGCAUUUAAUGUAUUGUUUUUCUUUUGUAGGUUUGGGAAAUAGAAGUAAAAGUGAUCAAAUAAGGUGAAAAAUGCGAAAUUUAAUUGAAAAACUCCACCCCUCGAUUUGAGUAUUUAAUAUUUUUGAUUCGUUAAAGAGAGGUAAAAUACAUAUUUUGAUCAUUUUACAUAUACGUGCAUUGAUUAUUUUAUCGAAAGAAUCAUCUAAUGUGCAUUUUAAGCAAUAGGGGUACCAUUGUAAUUUUAAAAAGUUGAAUCUUCUGCAGAAAAAUUGUAGAAAAAAAUGCAGCCUCAUGGAAAACGCGUAGGGAUGGCAAUGGGGGCGGGUGCCUGCGAGGAGCUCUCGGGGCGGGGGCGGGGGCGGGGGGGAAUUUUUUCCUCCCGCUUAGAAACGGGGCGGGGGGCGGGGGGCGGGGAAGUAUACCCCUGCCCCAUCCCCAGCCCCGCCACCCGGAAAAAAAUAUAAUUAUAUAUAAUAUGUAAGUUAAUUAUUUAUAAACUUAUAAUAAUGAUAUUAUUAGUUAGAUAUAUUAUAUAAUGUAUAUUAGUUUAUGUAAUAUAAUUGAUAUUAUCAAUUAUAUGAAUAAUUAUACAUGUCUACUAAUAGAAUUUAUUAAUUAGUUAUACUAAAUUUACUAAUAUAUUUAUACUAAAUUUCUAAUUACACUUAAUAGAAUAACACUUUUUUCUAAAAAAAAAAGCACAAACACAAUAAUGAAUUAGUUAUUGUAUUUGUACUAAAAGUGAAAACUUGACUAUUUUAGUUAUAUUUAUUUCAUCAUAUUGGAUUGUAUUCAAAUAACUUCUGUUUGAUUAUUUUUAUGAGUUUCAAUUGUAAAAUUACAAUGAAUAAGAAUUUGGUGAUAUGUUGACAUUUUAGUACUUGAUUAUUUAUUAAAAUUUAACUAUAAUAAAAUUUUAUUAAUCCCGCGGGUGCCCCCAUGGGGGAAGCUGGGUAAGGCGGGGCGGGGCGGGGGACGAGGGGAGUUAAUAGGCAACGGGGCGGGGGGCGGGGGAGGGGAGGGGUCCCCCGCCUCGUUGCCAUCCCUAAAAACGCGACCUUAGGUCACGUUUUCUUGAGGUCGCCUAUUCUAUUUUACAAUUUUUCAACAGAAUGCACGAGUACAGAAAACAUGACCUAAGGUCACGUUUUCAAAUCUCGCGUAUUUAUUUUUGCAAAAGUAAGACAGAAAAUGCGAGCCUAAAAACACAAGCUCAAGCUCGCAUUUUCUACUCGCAUUUUUUAAGUUCUUUUAAGAAACAAAAAUGCAGGCUGCCUUAUUCUUCUUUUCUUCUUCUCCUCCUCACAUUUUCUCACACAUACUAACACACUUCACCAUUUUCCUCUUUUACUCAAUUUCCUUGUAAGAAAUCAUCAACAAAAUAUUAUUUGACCUUCAUAGAUCCUUUUUAACUAAUUAGAAUUCAGGAAAAAAAUCUCAAAAAUUGGUUGAAGGUUAGGGUUCAUAAUUUUUAAUUCCAUCAAUUGGAGUAAUUUCUAUAGGACUUUUUGUAUCAUUUGUAUCACCAAACAUCACUCUACCAAUUUGACAUAAAUUUCUUGAACUUAAUUUGAUAUUUUAAAAUUCACCAUUUGCAUAUCUUUUGAGUUUAUUGAAACACUUUGAAUGGUGAAUUUGUGAUGUUAUUUGUUGGUGUAUAUAAGUUCUAUUAUGCUUAUGUAACAUCUUUAAGCAUAUUUAGAUGAUCAAAUUUGGGAAUGUGAUGAGCUAUGCAAAGUUUCAAUUCAUGUAUAUUCCUAUUUUAUGAUCAAUGUAAUAAUUGGUCUUAGAAUAUUGUUAAGCAUAAUUGGAUAGUUCAAAUUGCUAAAAUGUGACUUAUUCAUGAUGCUUACAUGUCUACAUUCAUUACAUGGUGACAUUUUAGCAAAUUUGAAUUUGUAAACUUUAGAGAGUGGCUAGUUUAUCUAGUUAAAGGAAAAUGAUACAUUUAAAUGGAAAUUUAUUGCUUAAUUUUCAUAUAAAACAUCAUUGGAUGAAAAAUUUUGAAUAUGUGAAGAAUUUAGCAAUUUGUAGAAUUUUAGGAGUAAAAAUUGUGUGAAGUGUAGUAAAGUGUUUCAUUGUACCUUAAGUAGUUUCUUGUAUAUUUUAUAUGGGUACAUCACCACGACAAAGGCGUAGAAGUUACGGAUCGCCAUUUUGUAUUUAUUAAUACCUUUGUUAUCACUUUUUUGUUUCUCAUUUUUCAAUUCUUAGGUUUAAUCACUAAUGGUUAUCCAAUGGAACUAAUAAUGUUUUGGAAAUAAGCGGAUAAUGGUUUGUGACACUUCAUGACGCUUCAAUUAUAUCAAUAAGGGAGUAUUCCUUUUUUUCUUGAUUUCCCUUCUUACACAUUGAAGACAAUGUAUAUGUUAAGUGUUAGGGGAAGGGAAUUGAGGUUAUAUGCAUCGUAUGUGAUUGAUUUGUUAGUUGCAAAUAUUGGACUUGUGCUUGAAAAUGUUAUUGUGCUUAAAAAUUUUUCAAAAUUGAGUUUGUUGGUAGGGAGUUUAGUCCAGUUAUAAGAUGAGACUCUCACAAAAUUUUUUCAAAAUCUUGUCUAAAAUUGUAAAAUUGCCCCAAAAGAUUUCAAAUUUUUUCAAUUUUAUCCAAGGGUAACAAGUUUCAUACCUUUAGUAAUUCAAAUUCCUUCUACUUUUAAGAUAAAUAUAUGUGACUUGACAACUUCUUUUCUUAUUAUGUGAUUAUAAUUUGCGCAUUUAUAGGAAAGUAUCUUGAAAAGUGGAGAAAAUUAUGCUUAAAUUUUACAAAUUUGAUGAAAUUUCUUCUCUUUACUUUAUUUUACGUAGUUAAGUGAUUAGUAUGGUCAAUAAAUGCAAUAUUUUUCUCAUGAUUAUUCUUUUGAGAGAAUGUUAUUAUUUUUGCUUUUGAAGAAAAAAAAGAGAGAAAAAAGGAAAAAAAGAAAAAAGGAAAAUAAAAGUUGUUCUACUUCAAUGGUUCUUGUACUUAGUAAUUGGGACUGUUCAUAUACAAAUAUCAAUUUUUACGUAAAACGGUACUAGAAUUAAGAGUAUGCAAGGCAACUUGCGGAUAUGAAGUGUUGAGUAACUAGCGAUUUUCAUCUAAAAAUGUCGAUUUUUGUGACAAAAGACACUUUUACAACUUGAAUAAUAUUAGAUGUAUUAUAUGAAUAAAUCCUUUUUUGCAUCUAAAAAAGGUGAUGGUCAUGGGUUUAGAAAGCAUUUUUAUUCACCAUAUGACUCGCUUGUGAAAUUGGAAAAGGAUAAGAAAUUGACUUGAAUUAGUUACAAUUAUGGUAUAAUUAGCUCUCGUUUACUUGAUAUUAUGAGUACUUGAAUUUGAUUGAAUGAUUGAAUUAUGGUUAUUUACCUUGUUUUGAGGAAAUGAAGUUGAACUGUAUACAUAUGUUUAAUUUCAAAGUUUUGGAUGAUUGUGGUUAGUAAUUCUUAAUUGCUUGAGGACAAGUAAUGGUUCAAGUAUGGGGGAGUUUGAUAAGUGUGUAUUUUGAGUGUUUUAAGUGUAUUUUAUUAACUAGUUUUGAUGUGUUUUAAUUAGUUUUAUAACUAAUUGACUAAGUUUCUAGUGAAAAUAUACAUUUUGUGGUUUAAGUAUCAAAAAUUACAUUUCUAUGAAUUUUAAUGGUAAAAACUUCAUGUUUUUCUAGGUUCAAUGAUUCAAUCAUCAAUUGGAGUGACUUGAAAAGAUAUUUGAAUGAUUGUUGAUGAUUUGAAGUGAUUUAAAAAAGAUAUGAAGUGGCAAAUGUUCAAAAAAGGAAAUGCAAUCCAGAAUAAAAGGAAGGGAGUUUUCUAGCUUUGACAUCUUGUGGUAUUUUGACUAUAUCUUGAGAUAAAAGCAUUGGAUUGAGGUGAUUUUCAAACCAUUUUGAAGUUAAGACAUUUGUUGUGAAGAUCUCAAAGUCCAGUUUAGUUGUUUUCCUUGUCAAAAUAUCAAAAUACAGAAGUGCAUUUUCAUUGUCGAAAGCUAAAAUAGAGUUUUGACUAGUCAAGGAUAUUUUGGUUAUUUCUUAGUCCACAGAGUUCCAAAUUGGAUGAUUCUUAAGGAAUUGGAAAGCUAAUGCAAAGGACUACAACUUCAUGUUUUGUAUAAGAGUUAGUUCAGCCUUCAUCAUUAAGAAAAUGUUAGUUGAAGUUGGACUAAAAACAGAGCAAAGAGAAGACUUGACCAGAAAUGAUAAAACCUGCAAAAGAGCAAAACGUGGAUACAAUACGCAACCUUAGGUUGCAUUUUCGAGGUUGCAUAUUCUUCAUUUGCAGCUGAAACUUGCUCUACAACUUGUGCUUUGUUCACACAAGAUUUUUGACUACUUUUUUUGCAAGAAUUUCGGCUAGAUAGUACUAAUAAGUAUGGAGACAUCAAGAAGCAACCUUUUGAUGAUUUCAAGAGCCAACUAGCACCAACCUUAACUUGAUUACUUGGAGCUUUAGAGGCUUUUGGGGAACAUUUUCACAACUUUGGGAAGGCUAGAGAAACUUCACAAAAAUGUAGUUUUUACUAGAAUUUCUUUAGUUCAUUAGUUAGAUUAGUAUAGUAUAGUUAGUGUAGCUUAUCCUUUUUGUAUUUAUAACUAAACUUGGAUGAAGAUUAAGGAGCAAGAUGGAGAGUUUGAUCUCAUAUGACAAGGGUGAUAUCUCUUCUACUACUUUCUCUUAUAUUUGAUUUUAUAUUUAGUUAUUAUACAAGUUUAGAUUUGAGUUUCAAUGUAUUUCUAAACUUUAUACCUAGAGUUAUGGAUGAACUUGUUAUAUCUUGUUAGUGAUAUUUACUUAGGUAUUUGAUGAUAUUAUUUUAAACAAGUUAUUUAUCACUUUUACUUUUCUAAUCAUGAUUAACCAACCAUUAAUUGUGAUAAUUUUAAGGUGUUAAGUUUGCAAUGAGAAUUGGAAUUUAACACUAGUUCAAAAAAAUGAUAAACCCAGGGAGUCUACUCAUGAGAAUAAAGGUGCACAUAUGUGGUUUUAGUGACUUGUUUCAUAUAAUUUCAUAGAAAAAAAUGAACUUUAGUUGAUUUCAUAACCACGAGAGCAGGUAUGGUUUAAUUACAAGUAUAGUUGAUUUACUACGAAAGUAGGUUUCAUAUACAUUAAGAAAUUACGCCAUAACUAACCAAGAUUAUAGUAUUCAUUUAACCGGUAAUUCAUUAGCGAGAGUAAUUAGAAAUUUCAUACCUCUAGAAGUUUUAUAUUGUUAUUUUUAUUAUGUUUAUGUCAUGUUUGUAGUGCACAUUUAAUCUUUUAUAUUUGUGAUAGUCUAAAUAAUAAAGGAGUUCGAAAGCUAUCAGUAAUUAACAAUCUUCUCUGUGAGUUCAAAGAGCGAAAGUCAGGAAUUUCAAUUUUUUGUAAUGGAGUCUGGUGGGAUGCUUAGAAAGGUUAAGACUUGAAAGCAGAUUUUAAAAGUGAUUUAAAUGAUCUGAUAUUGCAUUGUUGCGCCAACCCUAUCAAAACUUGCACCAGUUUAUUUUCAAUUGAGGUUCUCUUCUUUUUUUUUAUUUUUUAUUUUCCCUUUUACCCUUUUUUAGCCUUUUGGCAUUUCAUUCAUUUUUUGAAAAUUUUAAAAUUUGGGCCAGUUUUUUUUAACUGAGGUUUUUUUUUUUGUUCAUUUCCUUUUGUUCCUUUAUCACUUUUCACCUCUUAAGGCUUUUCUUUCCUCUCUUUUCAACGCAAACUUCCUCCAGUGUGGGGUUUGCGAUCUUUAGGGUUGCCAAAUGAAAAUAAUUUAUUCUGAAAAUUUAAAAGGGAUAACUAGGGAUAGAAGGUUUGAUUGGAAAGGAAAAAUGCCUGACUUUCAUUCCAUUCUUCGCAUUAACCUUGAAAGGAAACUCUCGUUUAUCAUAUUAAACAUUUUUCGCACAUAUCCGAAUUGAUCGAUUGAGGGAAAACUUGUCCAUCUAUUUCUACGGGAACAAGUGUUUCACCAGGCAAUACCUUUUUGACAAUAAAAGAAUCUUGUCAAUUUGGGGCAAACUCUUCUUUUGGGCUCAUCUUGCAUUGACAAAAGCUACCUCAACGCUUUGUCUCCUUCUUCAGAUAGUCGCGGUUUGAUCUUCUUGUUUUAAGCACGGGCCAUUCUCUUUUGAUAACACUAACCAUGACAAAUGGCAUUUAUCUGUUUCUUAUCAAGUGACUACUGACUUUUAUUUCUUUAAUCUUGACCCCAAUUCGGCUUGGGUUUCUCUCUAUACCAUUCAGGUCUCUUUGAAAUAUUUUCAAAUGUCUCUUUGUUACUCUUCUCAUUUUGAAAUCCAAAUUUACAUUCGUGAGAUUCGAGAUUGUUGUCAUCAAAUUUCGGAAUAGUGAUAGUCAAAGGGUCAGAGGAUUUUAUUGUUGGCCAUCUGAAAAGAAUGCGUAAGUAACACAGUAUAUAUAAAACUAUACAGUUUAUUGAAUUUCAAAAUAAAGAUCAAACUUAAUAGCAUGUUACUUAUUAAACAAGACGUAUCUUCAAAAAUCACUUGAUUCAAAAUUAUUUACAAAAAUAUAGUUAAACAAAAGACACAUGCAUGAAUGAUUUUCAUGAAUUUUAACCAAAGAUAAUUCCUCAAAUUUAUCGAAACUCCCUUCAAGAGGAAGGGAUCUCACUAGUUCGGGAUUUUCAAAUUACUUCAUUGGGGAUAAAUGCCUCAAAGAUGUCCUUAUAUUCGGGACAGGGUUUCGUACUUAUGCUCGGUCCUUGUUCUUCCCUUUUCCUUAGCACUAUAUCUCCUGCUUCAAUCAUAUCCUGAAUUUUAUGUUUCAAUACCCAACAAAUAUUUGUGGAAUGCCCAAGAGCUCCAGAAUGAUAAGUGCAGACAGCUUGAGGGUCAUAACUAGAGGGAACACCCCUAGGAUAGAUCUUGGGAGGCAUAACAUCGAUUUUUCCGACAAUUUUGAGUUGUUCGUAUAAUUGAUCGAUGGAUCGGCCCAGGUAGGUGAAGGUUCGAUAUGGGGUUGGGUUUCGAGUUUCACUGUUUAGAGGAUAAGUUUGGUUGUUUGGUUGAACAAGUCUUGGAUUAUAAGGAGGGGGAGGUCGAGUUUGAAAAUUGGGUUGAAAAAUUAGGACGAGUAGUAUAAAUGGGUUUGCAUAAUUUGGCCGAGAUUGAGGGUGAUUGAUAGUAGUAUGGUAAACAGGGUGUGGGUUUGGAUAAUAUGGGUAGGGUGAUGAGUAUGUGGGGUAUUGCUGAAAUCUGGGUUGGGAAAAAAAGCCUUAGUUCCAGACUAAUGCGGCUUCCCUAUCUUUCUUUUUGAACUGAAGCGUCUUGCUACUGCUUCUUGCAUUUUGCAAGUCUUCUAAUUGCGAUUUCAGAGCUGACACAUUAACAAUCUUUCCCGCUCUUACAAACUCAUCAUAUUGCUUCAAUUUGUUGAUAAUUUCUGCAAACAAGCAUCUAGUCGUGCGAACAUUUUCUCAAAAUAGGGCAAGUCAUGAGUUUUGAUAAAUGUUCGAACAAUUUCAUCCUUGGUCAUAGGAGGUUCCACAUUGGUAACUAAUUUCCUCUAUCGUUUCGCAUAAGUCUUGUGAUCCUCAGAUGAUUUUCUUUUAGUGCAUUUAAGCGUGGUUCUCGUUGGAGCAAGUUCACAAUUGUACUCGUAUUGUCUCACAAAAGCAGUUAACAAAUCCAACCAUGUUCUCAUUUCUUCAGGAUUUAAAUUGGAAUACCAAUCCAGGGCAUUGCCUUCCAAGGUCUCCAGGAAUAAACGUAUUGGCAAAUUUUCAUUAUAUACUGGCUUUUUCAACUUAUUUGCAAAUAGUCUUUAAUGCGUCUUGGGGUUACCAGUUUCAUCAUACUUACUAAAUUUGGAUGUUUUAAAAUGCAAAGGCAAUUGCAUGUUCCGGAAAAGACACAACUCAUCAUAAUCCAAACCUCCAGGCUUGCUCAAUCCUUGAAUUUUUCUUAUGAAUUCAUUAAAUUUAUCUAACAUUUUCAACAGAUUUUUGUCUACUGGGGUGGAGGAUUCACCCGUUUUGACCUUUCCUUGCAUAGUAGCAUGAAUGGCUCAGUGGUGGUGUGAUGAGCUAUUUGAGAGUCUAGGUAAUUCUGAAACAUUUGAAUGCUGGCCAGGUUGACUUGGAUGUUAUGGGGGUAAGUAUAUGAAAAACUGAAAGAAGGAUAGGUAAAAGUCUCUUCGGGUAUGUUUGCAGAGGAUGGUGCAAAGGUAACUUAGGUAUGGAUAGAGGAAGUGGCUGGUGUUCUAUUUCAGGUUGGCUAAUAGGUAUGGGAUCAUGUUGGAUAUCGCCACUGCUAGUAACCAGUUGGUCAAUCAUACGCCUUUGAGUUGACAUUUCCACGCUCAAUUCAUUGAAUUUGUUUAACAUCUCACUCAAUUAAACUCCCAAAUUUGCAGUGUCUGCUGGAGGUGUUGUGGUGGACCUGUCAGAUGAUUUCGGAUAUGUACUCAUAUUUACACGAUUUCUCAAAACUCGACUGUGAGAUCGUGUGACGAUGGGGUUUCUUCUUAUAAUUAUGUUUACAAUUACUUGAAAAUUUAGGAAAAAUCCUAUUUAGAUUUCCUUCUUGAUUAACUAUUGUCAAAAGAAAGAAAAAGAAAAAGACACGAGUUAGUACAAAUAAAAAUAAUUCGGAUUAUGUUCUAUUGGGGGAGCCCUUUUUGUGCCAAGGGUAGCCCUAACAUGAGAAUGCAAUCCUCUAGGAUAGGCACGUACAAUACCUGAUGAAUCCGAUCAACUUAUUGAUAUUCGAGUGAAAAGCAAUUUGAAAAAAUUUGACAAAUUAGAGUGAGAAGAGACAUAUGUCCUAACAAAAUGAGAAUAAAGUCCGAAUGAUUGAUUACUUUGAUUAACAUAUAAUGUGAUGUGUGAAAGAGCCUACUCUUGAAAAGAUUGCAAUGCCUCGACUAGUUUAUUUAGUGAACUUUAGAUUGAAACACCCUAAAAGAGAAUAAACGGGUCAAAUGGAUCGGAUGAAAUUGAUGAACUUUGCUGGAUCGCCCUAAAAAUGGGUAAACUGGUCAAAUGGAUUAAAUGAAAUUAAUGAUUUAUUCAAAAUUGAUUGGAUCACCCUAAAAAUGGGUAAAUUGGUCAAAUGAAAUUGAUGAUUUAUUCAAAAUUGACUGGAUCACCCUAAAAAAUGAGUAAACUAAUCAAAUGAAAUUGAUGAUUUAUUUAAAAUUGACUAGAUCACCCUAAAAAUGGGUAAAUUAGUCAAAUAAAAUUGAUGAUUUAUUUAAAAUUGACUGGAUGACCCUAAAAAAUAGGUAAACUGGUCAAAUGAAAUUGAUGAUUUGUUCAAAAUUGACUGGAUUACCCUAAAAAAUGGGUGAACUGAUCAAAUGAAAUUGAUGAUUUAUCCAAAAUUGAUUAGAUUGUCCUAAAAAUAAAUGAAUGGAUUGAGUUAAUGAUUUAUUAAAAAAUGACUAAAUUGUUCUAAAAGUGAAUUGAUCUAAUGAUUUUGUGCUAGUGGCUCUUUUUUUUUUUUUUUUGGUUGGCCUUUUGGCCAAUCUUUCCUACUUGGCUGGCGACUUUCCUUUUUUUUUUUGCAUUGCUGAAGCUUUCAGCAAUGGCAUACAAUAGCAGCGGCUAGCCGCUACUCUCCCCCUCCCAUUCUUUUUUUUUUUAUAUAACUUUUCAACGUAUUUGGGUAAACUCUAUUCAUCUUAUAAUUAAAAUUUAAUACCCUAAUCCUACUAAUCCUGAUAUGAAUCCUCCUAAAUCUCUCAUACAAGCAUAUAUAUAUAUAUAUAUAACAUAAUACAUAGCCAUAAAAUCUUUAGAAUAAUUAAUGCGACUAAUGCAAUUUAAAAGAGAAGAUUUCACUUGAAUUUGGGACUUACAGGUUUAGGUGCCUAGUUGUCUGAUUGAUUGAUAGCGACGCCAUCUUCUUCUUUUCUACUCUCUGACGGCUCUUGCUCUAAGAGGAGCAGACAAUGAAAGGUAGGAAUGACGUUUUUUUUUUUGUUAUUUUGAUAAGUGCGCUAAACCCUAAUAACCACCCACUAGUAGAUGGAUUAGAUAAGAGUUUAAAUGUUAUAAACUUUUACUCUAUUUUAUCUCAUUUCUAUCCUCCAAUUAACCCUUUAAUCUAUCCUACACUUACUUUUACUUUUGCUCAUAGUAAAUUACCAUUUAGUUAAUUGGACAAGAAUAAAAAAAAUGAGCCAAAACCGUGGGUUUUACAUUCUACCCCCCUUACAAAAAGUUUCGUUGUCAAAACUUACGUAUCUUGAUAAAAAAGAUAGGAAUAUCUAUUUUGCAUGUCUUCUUCUAACUCCCACGUUGCCUUUCGCUAUGUAUGGUUCGACCAUUGUACCUUCAGAUAGGAUAUGGUUCUUCUUCUUAGAACUUGAUCCUUCCGAUCCACGAUUCUUAAAAGGACUUCCUCCACUGACAAGUUCUCCCUCACCUGGAUGGGUUAAUUCUCGGGUCUGACACAUACUUUCUUUUUUGGGAGAUAUGAAAAAUGUUAUGUAUCCGGAACAGAAUAGGUGGAAGAGCUAGUCGAUACGCUAAAGGUCCAACUCUCUCCAGUAUUUCGUAAGGUCCUACAUACCUUGGAUUUAACUUGCCACUUUUUCCAAAUCUCAACACUCCUUUGGUGGGGAAUACUUUCAAAUAUACCUUUUCUCUCGGUUGAAAUUCUAAAGGUCUUCUCUGUAAAUCCGUCCAAUUCUUGUUUCGGUCUUAAGUUACUUUUAGUCUCUCUCAAAUAACUUUAAUCUUUUCCAAGAUUCUUUCCAUCAAAUUGGGGUCGGUGAUCAACUUCUUACUUAUUUCAUCCCAAUAUAAGGGAAAUCUACAUUUUCGCCUAUACAACAUUUCAACGGUGCCAUACCUAUUCCUCUAUGAUAGCUAUUGUUAUACGAGAAUUAUAUUAGUUUUACCAACCUAUCCCAACUAUCGGAGAAGUCUAGAGCACAAGCUCUCAGCAUGUCCUCCAGUGUUUGUAUGGUCCUUUCUAACUGUCUGUCCAUUUGGGGAUGGAGGGCCGUUUUUUAGUUUUAGAUCAAUCCCCAUAACCUCUUGGUAGGUCAACCAAAAUCUAGACGUGAAUCUAGGGUUCCAAUCUAGUACUACUUUCACAAUUCAUUUUUAGACUAGAUAUCACAUUCUCUCCCCCUAAAAAGGUUUCGUCCUCGAAACCUAAAAGAUAUAAACAUCAAAAUAAGUUAACAAAAUUUCCAAUGUUCUUGCAAUACAUCUUACGGAUUAUUCCUACAAUGUUUAAAUUGGAUUUCCUUAUUUAAUUCCAUCAAACUUCUGCUGCACACUCUCAUUUUUCUCAAUACCUCUCAUCUUCAUAUUUAUACAGCUCAGAUGAACAGAAUAUCUCUCACAAAUCCAACAUUCUAAAUAUUGGCUUAUAAUGCUCCAUAGAGAUCAACCUAUAGAAAGGAUGCCAAAAACACUAGCAUUACCAUUUCUUCUUUUGUCAUACAUUCUAUCACAACUUACUUAUCCACUAUUGCAAAAAGUAAUUAUUAUCUCGAUAUAUGGGUUUCUAUCCACUGUAAUUGGUAAUGGAAAUCUCUUAUUUCCUUCAAAUCCCAUAUCUAUCUAAUUUUAAAUUUAAAAAAAUCAAUAAUAUCUCAAAUAGUAUCACACCUAUUUUCAAAUCCUAUAACCUGAGUUGUUAUAUCACUAAAUGCCAUCGAAAUCUUAUUUCAUUUGAUCAUCAUUUUUUUUACCUCAAUUCAAUUUUCAAAACAAUAUUCAUAUUACGGUAGAACAUACCAAAACACACAAAAUUUUAUACAAAAAUUAUUGCCAAAUUCUCAUAUUUAAAUAUAAUAACUUCAUCAUAACUUUGGUAAAGUAUUUAUCUAUGCGUAGAAUUUCGAACUCAUACAAGUUUAGAAACCUGAAAGUGUUUGAAACACAUAAGUUAGUUAAUUGUACUUCUUACACCAUUAGAAUUUAGAGUACGAAGAGAAUUUAUUAAGAAUUAUUGUUAGUUUCUUUCUACAUGAUAUGAUUUUUUUUUAAUGUAGAACACGUUUAUCUAUAGCUUGUUUUGAGAUUGGAUGAGUAUCAUAAAGACAUUUUGUACAGGGUUCUGGGAUACAAUUAUUUAUGGUGUUUAUUCACCUUUAUUGUUAAUUUAUGUAUCUUCGUGUAUACAUAUUUAUAGAAAUUAUACUUAUUUGAUAAAGAUACUUAUUCAAAAAUCUUGAUUAACAUUUGUUCGCGAAAUAAAUUUUUUUAAAGACAAGAACUAUGUAAGAUUAUGUGUUCUAAGAAAUUUCUAACAUAUUUAUUGACCAAGCUAAUUCAAUAAUUAUAUGGGGCAUGAGAUCUAAUCGUUGUAAAUCUCAAAAAGAGACAAGUCUAUUCACUCUUGGCCACAUCUCCAACCGAAUGAGUACUAUUGCUAGACUUAUCAAUUUGUAUGGGAUAAGGCCAUACACCUAUUAGUUGUCACCAGUAGUGGUAAUAAUUCAAUUAGAAUAAAAAUGGUAGCAGCAUCAGUAGUACUUCUAUCCAGGUAAGAGCACUAUUUAUAGAGCUCUAUUACAAAAAGAAAAGGUUCGCAACAUUUCAUUCUUCAUCUUUUGAAAUGGUUUCAUCCGUGAAGCCUAAUCCCACGUCAAGAUAAGUCUAUAUAACAUCCAAUAUCGUUGUUACCCAUCAUGCAAUUAAUUCUACACAACUUAAACUGGGUCUCUUUAUUCACUCCAUCACAAUUGCUACGUACUUUUAAUUCCUUGACACUUUCAAUUUCCUAUAGACAGUACUUCAAAUAUAUAUAAUAUUUCCUACACGUCCAACAUCUUAAACUUAGAUUGUACUACCAAAAUCAUAUUCAACAAAAGGACAUCGUAAACACCAAUAAUACCAUUUCAACUUAAAUCACACAUGCAAAUUUUCAAGCCUAUUUAUUCAGUCACAAUUGAUCAUUUUCUAGUGUGUAUUUCCUCUAAAGAGUAAAUCGUACCCUACGCUCUGUUAUCACUAAAUAUUAUGGAGAUCUCUUAUUUCACAAUCCUCUAUCCAACCUCAUUCAAAUUCCUAAAAUCACUAAUAUUACAAACAUCAUUCAACAUACAUCUAGAUCAUAUAAUCUAAACAUUGAUAACAUUAAAUAUCACGAGAAUCUCUUAUUUUCUUUAAUCCACUUUUUUUUCAUCUCAUUUCAAUUCUUAAAGUUUCUAAUACCUCAAACACCAUUUACAUACUUUCGGAUCAUAUAACCUAAGCUCUGAUACCACUAAAAAUGUCAUAGGAAUCUCUUAUUUCCUUUGAUCUGUUUUCCAUCUCAUUUCAAUUUUCAAAAUAAUUAAUAUCCAAACAUCAUUUCUCAUACUCCCAGACCAUAUAACCUAUGCUCUAAUACUACAAAAAAUUUCAUGCCCCGAGGCCACACGCGCUAGUCACGUGACAUUUGCUGUAUCAUCAAGUCUUGUUCAAGAAUACAAGGCAACAUCGAACUAGAUUAAAUUCAAAAAGUACUAAAUAGUAUAACUAAAGAAAAUGCGGUACAAAUUUCCAAUGAAGGAUACUCUACGAAUAUUUAAUAAAUUCGUACAUUUAUUCUUUGGUUGAAAUAGCGGAAACAAAAGUAAAUAAAACUAACAACUAGAAGUAGCUAGCAUGCUAACUUUUGUUAACUUAGAAACUAAUAAAAGUUCUCCUCAAGGUUUUCUACGUAAAUCAAUUCAUACUUUUCAGAAUCUGUAAAGAUGGUAAAAAGUGGGUUGAGCGACAAGUUGUUUAGUAGGUAAUAUCUACCCCUGUGUUGAACCAUGCACUCAUAACUUUAUACAUACACAUAUAUAUAAAUCAAAUUAUUUUCACAUUAUUCACAUCAAUAAUCAUAAAAAUAAUGUUAUCGGUAAAACAAUUAGUAGUAACGAGUGACAAAGCAAUUUCAAAGCGUCUUAUUGGUAACCGUACAUGAAAGUCAUAAAAUCAUAGAUCAUUUCAUAUCAAUUCAUAAGUCUCUUCAUAUCAGCUCACAAUAAGUACAUGUAAUGACCGACUAUUGAGUACUCAAACUAGAGAUUAAACCCAUUAGGUGGGCGACCAAUAAGUUUCAUGACUACCAAUUGGUCUCAUUACAUACAUGGGUCAAUCGACCGGAUUCUAUACCAGACUACCAUGAUCUUGUCAAUCGGUCGGAUUCUAUACUAGGAUACCAUGACCAUUAGACACGACUAUAGCUCCUACCGUCUAUUCCAUGACUGUUUUAAGCUUUUCUUGACAUAAAUUUAUUUCACACGUCAUAUGCAUAGUUCUUGAUUUCAUAAAAGGUACAACUCAUUUGGUAUAUAACAACAUAUCAAGAAGUUUCAAAUAAGUCACAUGGUCCAUUUUUGUAUAGUCAAAAUAGAACUUGCUUAAACACUCAAGUAAAUCAUUCAAUCAAAACAAUUCAAAUUAACACGUAAAAAUAUAAUCGAUGACAACAAUUUUACUUUAAACUUUUGAAAUCUCAGAAGGGUAAGUACCAUAUACCUUUAUCUGGCUGCUCGAAUGGAUCUACCUUAGAUCUUUUAAACUUGUAUCGUACAUAUCAAAUGCAUAGGUAUUCUAAUUAGUUGAUAUUUCUUAUAAAUGCAUAAAUAUACUAACUCUGAGUAAGUUUAAGAUUCAUGUCUAAACCAUUAUAUGAACCCUAGUAGAGUUUUUUUCCUAAAUUGAGAAGUUUCUAUUUUUGGAAAAUUUCAUAAUUUGGAAGUUUUUUUUUAAGUUUCCUAAUUUAGAAAUAAUUAUUCGUAAUCACAUUUAUUAUCUUGACCAUUGUACGUAUUUAACUAUACAUAUAUAUUUAUUAUUAUUUUAUUAUUCAUUGUUAUUGUUAUUUUCCUUGUCAUCAUUAUUUUAUUUUAUUAUCAUUUAUAUAUAUUUGUUAAUUAGUUACUAUUAUCUUUUGCUUUACUUCCUUUUUUUGCACAUGUGUAGGUGUUAUUAUUAUUUAUACGUGUAUAUAUAUAUAUAUUGGUUUAUUAUUAUAAUUAUUGCUUUAGUUUAUUUCACUUAUAUUUAUAUUUUCAUUUCAUUUUCAUUUUUAUCUUUAAUUUACUUCAUCUAUAUCUAUAUUAUCAUUAUUAUUGUUAUUAUUUUAAGCAUUUAAAAUAAAUCUCAAACCUAUCUUAUAUUGUAUAACUUAAUCUAAUAGUGAUAGAUUAAAAUGUCUUAGAUUUCUAUUUAAAUACAUUAGAUUUCUUUUAAAAUAUUCACUUAAUUUAGGUUGGGUCUUGAAAUUUAGUUUCUCUGUUAGUCCAAAAAGGUGGGUUGAUUAUACCUAAAAUUUAAUUAUUGGACAUUCACUUAACCCAUAUUAUAUAUAUAUAUAUUUCAGAAUCUAUUACUAUUAAUAUGAUUUUUUUUUUGGUUUCGGCCAACCUUUCUAAUGGAGCCUUAAGUGCUGGCGGCUCUUUCUUCUUUCUUUUUCGGUUGACCUUUUCCUACUUGGUCCAUGUCACCAGCCACUUGCUAGCGACUUUCAUUUUUUUUUUUUUCCAUUGCUGAAGCUUUCAGCAAUGGCGUGCCGCUGCUCUCCCCUUCCCCUUUUUUUUUAUAACUUUUCAACAUAUUUGGGUAAACCUUAUCCAUCCCAUAAUUAAAUUUAAUACCCUAAUCCUACUAAUCCAGAUAUGAAUCCUUCUAAAUCUCUCAUACAAGCAUAUAUAUAUAUAUAUAUAUAUAUAACAUAAUACAUAGCCGUAAAAUCUUUUGAAUAAUUAAUGCGACUAAUGUAACUUAAAAGAGAAGUUUUCACGUGAAUUUGGAACUUACAGGUUUAGGUGCCUAGUUGCCUGGUUGAUUGAUAGCGACACCUUCUUCUCCUUCUCUACUUUUUGACGGCUCUUGCUCUAUGGGGAGGUGGACAAUGAAAGGUUGGAAUGAUGUUUUUUUUUCUUUGUUGUUUUGAGAAGUGCGCUAAACCCUAAUAACCACCCACUAGUAGAUGGGUUAGAUAAGAGUUUUAACUGUUAUGAAUUUUUACCCUAUCUUAUCUCGUUUAUUCCUCCAAUUAACCCUUUAAUCUAUCCUACACUUACUUUUACUUUUACUCAUAGUAAAUUAUCAUUCAGUUAAUUGGACAAGAAUAAAAAAAAAUGAGCCAAAACCGUCGGUUUUACACUUAAAUAGCAAAAUUUUUCUUAAAUGGGUAAAAUACCAAAAAACUCUUUAUGGUUUACUAAAUGUUUAAUUUAACUCCUUCUGAUUUGAAAACCUACACUAUAACUCAUUGUGGUUUGAACUAAUUUGAAAAUUGGACGGAAAUUGUCCAAUCUAACUGCUAUACGUGAAAUGUCAAUAUUGCCCCUAUAUAAAUGAAUUCCUUAUAGUUUGUCGAAUGUUCAAUUUAACUCCCUCUAGUUUGAAAAAUUGCACUAUAACUCCCUGUGAUUUCGACUAAAUUGAAAAUUGAAUAGAAAGCAUCGUACAUCUAGUGGGGCAAUAUUGACAUUUCACACACAACCGUUAGAUUGGAUGGUUUCUAUCCAAUUUUCAAUUUAGUGAACACCACAGGGAGUUAUAGUGUAGGUUUCCAAACUAGAGGGAGUUAAAUUGAACAUUUAUCAAACCACAGGAAGUUUUUUGACAUUUUACCCUUCUUAAAUCUGUGUACUAACUGGCUACAUAUGUGUGUGAAGUGCAUUUGAAUUGACAGAAAAUCUGUCAACGGCUCAAAGAGAAAGCCACUUAACGCACAUAUGUAGCCAGUUAGUAGACAGAUUAAUGAAAGAGAAAAGCACAACCAAUGAGAACGAGACACAAAGUAAAUGGUAUGCAUAACAAUGAAAAGUUGUAUUACUUCUUCCAUCCCAUUAAAGUGUAAUACCUUCUAUUUUGAAACAUUCCAAAAUGUUUGUCAAAAUUAAAGUCACUUUUGAUUUUUGUUCAAUGUUGUCCUCAUCUUAUCGAUAUUUUAUACUAAAUUCAAAUUUAAAACUUGAAUUUUUAAAGGUAAUUUUGGAAACGAAUCCUCUAACAACACUAUCAAUCCACUAUUAUUAAAAAGUUGGAAUCCUAAAACGCAACAAACAUUUCGGAGAGAGUAUAAUUCAAAGAAUUAUAUGUCAAACGUAGGCACAACAUGUUUUGUCCAGGUGAAACGUGACACACAACGUCCAAGCUGAAAUGAAAACGUGUUAGUAGCGUAGAGCACUAAUAGGCAAUGUUUUGAAACCUGAGUUGAACCUGCCGGUUCAACCGGUUAGAUCGCGAACCAAUCAUGGCUCCAGUCCUAGCACCUUCCACUUACAUCAUUUUCACACUUUUUUAAGGACAUUCGAGGGGAUGUUGCAGCAACAUUUUGGGAGCUCCAAGACCGCUUUUUCUUGAUUCUCUGGCAACAAGAAACAACUAGAAAUAUAGGAGUAAAGACUUAGUUUUCUUGAACAUAUUUCUCUAGUUUUUUUAGUUAGCUUAGUCUUUCAUUUUUCUUGGAGAAUUCUUGGAGAACUCUUGAUGUGCUCAAUAUUUUGAAGACAAUGAAGAUAAUGGAUAUUGAAAACUCUUGUUUCUUCAAUUGAAUGAGAAAUUUUUUCACUCCUUCUUUCUUUAUUGUUGGAUUUAUGUUUGGUUGCUGAUAAGUUACAUUUUUGUUAUUAAAUUUGUGAUUAUUUUCCCCUUGAUUUUAGCCAAAUAUUGUAUUAAUGAAUAAAUUCUACUCAUAUUUGGUAAUUUGUGCUAAUUGUAGGAAUAUGACGAGAAAAUGAGUAAAAAGUGGUUUAAUGAAAAUUUUUAGCCAGUUCUUUGUGGGCCCGUUCAAAUCCUACUAUCAAGUCUCGGAGGCUCGAGAUUUUACUACGAAUGGUAGUAUCCCAAUUCGAAUGGAAGUUCUUCGAAGCAUGUUUCCUUAUCUGAGAUAAUUGGUCUUUCUUUUUGUAUUAAGAAACAAAUAGGUUAUAUUUUGUCAAUUUAUGGAAUCUCCUUUUCUUUGGAGAAAAUUAGGAAGUAUUAGUAGUUUAGGAAAGUAAGAGACGUGUGAACAAGGAAGUCUUCUCGUUUGCGUUGGCUUUAACAAGUCAUGGUUGCUUUUAGCGAAAGGGGUGAUUAGUCUCGGCAGUCGGCACCAAGGAAGAACAAAGAGUUUUUCUCUGUCUUUUCUUUUCUAUUGCUCCUUCUGUUGUCGAACCUCAGGCAAUUUCGUUGAACUUUCAUCAAUGAAAUUGCCUGAGUUAUUUUCAAUGGAAAACAACUAAUCCCUUUUUCUAGUUAAGGGUCAAUUUGAAGAUACGGUUUCAAAUAUCUAUAAGAUUGAAUUAUUUUUAUUUAUUUCUUUUAUUCAUUAGUUUUCCUACGUCUCCUGUUUCAACUUCUUAUGAUUAUUUUUUUAUUUGAAUGUUAAGGACCCGAUAUUUGAAUUAAUCUAAUAAUCUACUGCCAUAUUAAUCAAUUAAAUUCGUAAUUGUUUGAUUGAUUAAUAUUAGUGGCAACUAACGUGAUUGGUUUUAUGUUAGGGAAAUGUAUAAUCUAACAUCAAUGAACCUUCGUAGCGUAUUUGUUAGUUAGGAUUGGGUUUUUCUAAUUUUUAAUGCAAUUGAGAAAUUAAACCUAUGGUCAUACCUAGAGUUGUUUCUUGGUUAGGAAAAUAGUUAAUGGUCGUACCUUGACUAUCAAUAAACUAAGGAAAAAUUCGCUAUCAAAACUUAUUGAUGGUUAUAACCAAUUUAUUAAUGAGUGAUUAAAUCAUCCUUGCAUCAAUGAUCAAUUGUAUGAAUCGUAUCUGAAAAGUUGUACCUUUGAUUAGAGUCAUAUUUAUUGUUGAUUUAAUUCCUAUUUAUUUCGUUAAUUGUUUCUUUAAUUGGUUAGUGAGUUAUUUCUAUAUUGUCUAAAAAUUCCCCUUACUUUAGGCUCUAAAAAAAGACAAAUUUUUCCCAAUCCCUGUGAAUUCGAUCAUACUCAACACUAUAUACAAAAAUUUGUAUUUUAUUUGAAUAGAUAUUUAUUAUUGUACAGUCUCGACGCCUCUCGGUUGCAUUAAAGCCUUAAGCUUUUCUAUUUUAUCUACUAUUGUUUUUAUUCAAAAGGCAAUUUUAUUAAGUAGAAAGCAUGCACUUGUUUUCAGAUAUGUAUGUAAAAUGUGGAAGGUUGGACCUAGCACGUCUAGCUUUCUUCAGAAUUUCCAAAAAAGACACUGUUUCUUGGAACUCGAUGAUUACUAGCUGUUGCUAGAAUGCAAAGUCGGAGGAAGCAAUUGAUCUUUUCUAUCAGAUGGGUUUAGAAGGAGCAAAAUAUGACUCUAUUAGGAUAUCUGCAGCUCUUUGCGCAUGUGCAGACUUACAAGCACUGCAUUAUGGCAAAGUAAUACAUGGAUUCAUGAUUCGAAGAGCAUUUAGCUCAAAUCUUUAUGCUGAGAGCGCAUUGAUAGACAUGUAUGCUAAAUGCAAACACUUAGAAUUAGCAUGUACUGCUUUUGAUUUGAUGAAGUGCAAGAACGAAGUUUCUUGGAAUAGCAUAAUUGCUACUUAUGGGAACCAUGGACACCUUGAGGAUGCUUUGGCUCGACUGAAUGAAAUAAGGGAAAAUGGAUUCCAGCCUGACCAUGUCACUUUCCUCGCCAUAAUAUCUGCUUGUGGCCAUACUGGCCAAGUUGAAGAGGGCAAGCAACGUUUUGAGUGCAUGACCCAAGAAUUUGGAAUUACACCUCGAAUAGAACACUAUGCAUGCUUAAUAGAUUUGUUUGGCCGAGCUGGUCGUCUUGAAGAAGUAUAUCAAGUGAUUAGGAGCAUGCCAUUUACUACAGAUGCUGGCAUAUGGGGCAUCCUACUCGGAGCCUGCCAUGUUCAUGGCAACGUUGAACUAGCUGAAUUGGCUUCAAAUCAUCUUUUUGACUUGGACUCGCAAAAUUCUGGAUAUUAUAUGCUCCUAUCACAUGUGAAAGCUGACGCUGAAAAGUGGGAAGGGGUUAACAAAGUAAGAAAUAUGAUGAAGGAAAGAGGAGUGCAGAAAGCUCCUGGUUACGACGCAAUCUCGCAACUCAGGAAUACGUGGUUUAACAAUUCUUCAUUUGAGCAGAAGAGACAUUUUGUAUGGUAGUCAUUUAUCCCAAAUCAGCAGACGUGAGACCAUUGAGGCACCUUGUGAGCGCAGUUGCUAUAGUGCUGAAGAUAUGCUAAAGAGUCCAUUGGAUGAGGGACACCAUGCUAGACGAUCAUCACCAUUUGAGAUGGAGAUUUGGGGAGGUCCGAAUGUCAUGUGUCUCACUAGGGGAUAAGGCACUCUCGAUAGCUUGUAAGUUCCAAGACCCAUUUUCCAAACAAUUGCUGACUUGCAGUCCCGGGCAAGGGACAUAUGCCUUCCCUAUAGCAAGAAAGCCCAUACCCAACAACUUUUCAAACCAAAAGGAUGAACGACCUGUGCAUAUCAACCGUCACGAGUGAUCCUCCACAAAAUCUCAAGCUCGUUGCAAUCAUCACCAUGUCUUCGAUCCUUUGCUGGACGUUGGUACCUGGGUUAAAUGUGACUGCUGCCCGUAUUUCACAGACAUGAAACGGGUCCAUAACGUAGAGAUAGUUUGUAGCCACCACCAAAGCUUGCAACUAAAUGCCUGCAGCACAGCCUCUAGUGCCAUGAACCCUAAGCCAUCCUUCUUGACUGGUUUACAUAGUUCUUCCAUUCCCUCUAAUGCCUCCUCUCCUUCCCCUCCACCUAGCCAUAGAAGAAGGUAGCAAAAAUGUAUUCCAUUUGUCAUAAAGUACUUGUUGGGGGCUCCAAAACAGCCAUGAUAUGUUAGGGAAUUGACGUCAGGACGUGCUUGAUAAGCAAUGCGCGACCCCCAGCUGAUAAUGCCUUGGUUUUCUAGCCAGCUAGCUUCAUUCUCAUUUUGUCAAUUAUAUGCUGAAAAUUCACUCGACUUGGUCUGCCUUUUGCUAGAGUGCAGCCUAGAUAUUGAAAAGGUAACUGGCGACCUUUAAUAUCUAGCCAUUGGGAUAUCUGCCAUGAUCUAGCCGUCGAGCAUCGUAAGGAGAUAAUAAAGAAGCUCUUGUCUUUAUUGAUUUGCUGCCCCGAGCCCACUUGAUAAGUGUUGAGAAACUCUAGUAGUGAUUUGAUGUCUGUUCAGUGCCCUUUCAUAAAGAGCAAGACAUCGUCGGCAAAGCUCAAAUGUGCAAUUGGGAUACAUUCCCUCGGGAGGCCGAAUGGAGAGAGUUUACCCGUCGAGAGUAGGGCAUUCAAGCCUCGGUUGAAUGUUUCAGCAACUAGUAGGAAUAAGUAUGGGGAGAGUGGAUCUCCUUGUUUGAUUCCCCACUCACCUUGGAAGAAGCCGAAGGGCUUGCCAUUGAUAAGCACUGAAAACCAUGCUCCUUGAAGAUUGUUCAUGACCAAGGAAAUAAACCAGCCACUAAAUCCAAAUUUACAUAGCAACUUGGAUAGAAAUUGCCAGGAUACGAAGUCAAAGGCCUUCAUCAUAUCCACCUUGGGAAUCAUGUUGUGGCCCCGAGUUUUUGUGUGUAUUGAUUUCAACAAUUCUUGGGUCAGAAGGAUAUUUUCUGAUAUUUCCCUCCCUUCGACAAAAGCAGAUUGCUCCGAUGAUAUUAGAGUAGGCAUCAAUGAUUUCAUUCACAUACAAAGAAUCUUCGUGAAUACCUUUUUUAGGAAGGUGCAAAGACUUAUUGGUCUAAACUCGGCAAAUGUCUGCGGCUGUUCUUUUUUUGGUAGCAGUAUGAUUAAGGUGCUGGUAGUACUUUUUGGUAUUGGAACCCUACAAAAAAACCCUCGACUGCUUGCAACAGGUCUUGAGCUAUUAUGUCCCAACAAGUCGUGUAAAAGAACCCCGUAAAACCAUCCACCCCUGCUGCACUUUGGCCAUCCAAUGCAAAAACAACCUUUUUGACUUCCUCCAAUAUAACUUCGCUCGUUAAAUCCUCGUUUUGUUGGUGUGUAACCAGCCUUGGAAUCGAAGCCAACAAUUCUUCAAUUGCUGGCUCACAAUUAGGAGUGUUUUGGCAGGACAACAAGUUUCUGUAGAAAGUUGCUGCACUCUGACCUAUAGCCUCCUCGUCUUCUAACAUGUUGUCAUCUGCCCCCCUUACUUGAUGAAUUAAGAGGCAUGCCCGCUUGGAUAUUAGAGUGGAAUGGAAAAAUUUUGUGUUGGAAUCUCCCUCCUUCAGCUACCGUAUUCGUGCUUUUUGUUUCCAGAACAUUUCCUCAUCAGCAAGUGUCUUAAGUAGCCUUGCUUGUGUGCGGCUCUAUUAGGUCCUCGCCUCUUCUGUCCCUUCCUCCUCCAGCAAGAUCUCGCACACUCUAACUUCUUUUUCUGCUGCGGCUACAUCCCUGAAAACAUCUCCAAAUAUGUCUUUGUUCCAGUGCUGAAGUUCAUGUUUGAGGCGCUGGAGCUUGAAGAAGAAAGCAAACAUGCCAUAGCCUUGAACAGCUUGCUCCCAACUCUGGUGAACCGUGUCAAGGAAUGUUGGGUGCUGGACCCACAUAUGCUAGAAUUUGAAUAACUGUGAAGCAGGGGCGCUGUGUUGCUUAACUUUCAUCAAAUGGGCAAAUGAUCUGAUCCUGUUCUAUUCAAAAGUUGUAGCGAGUUAUCUUGAAAACACUGUAGUCAUUCUAAGUUUACUAGCAGUCCAUACCAUUCUAAGUUUACUACCAUCUGAUUUACGGUGAACUUGGUCAACACAAAGUUUAUUCUAUCAAGGUUACAAAGAAUAAAAUUGCAUCCAUUUUUCAGCUAAGGUAAGAACCCGGAAUAAGCUAGCUAGCUAUCUAGUUUGUUUCAGAUAACAAGCAAUGAGCAUCUGAUCAAAGAGACAGAGAAAUGAUAACCUCAACAACCAGGUCCUUUAUUGCCAUCUCAAGUAAGUCUAUGGUAUUCAGGUCGUCGAAUUCAUCUCCUUUACAAAUGCAAGUAAGGAGCAUUCGACCAUGAGAAAGUAACUUUUCCGAACGAAUCCUUAGAAAUGUGGACGAGCGGACGACUUGCUUUGGAAGAGUAAAUGCUCCCUUUGUUCGCAUUGAUCCCCAAUUCAAUCACCAAACCGUUGGGAACCUGCAGUCUAAAGCUGGUAACUUAUAUAGUUGGAUCAUUUUGUUAGUGUUGCAUAUGGGAAUAUAAAUCAUGAGCCACGAAUCAAAUUGUUAAUCUCAUUUCUUAACUACAAUAGUUUAUCUCAUUUAAUUGUUAAUCAUGCUUCAUUUAAAUGCAUUUAAUUUGUAAAUUUUAGGAAUUUUAUGUUUAUUCAUAUUUCUUUAUAAUAAUAAAGUGAAUUUACUAUAUGUUUGUAUUUUCUUUUAAAUUAUUAAUUAAAUUGGUACCUUGACUAUUUUGUUGGUUCUGGAGUAUAAAUAAGGCAAAUUCUACCUUAUUUAACCACUACUUCAAGGGAGAUACUUUUUAUUAUUAUUGCAGAAACCUCCCCUAAGGUUUUUGACAUUUGCACUGACCUCCCUUGUGGUUUGAAAAAUUACAUUAACCUCCACUGAGGUUACUAAUCCUUUACAAAUUCAGUCCAAAGGAUUAAAAUAUUAUUUUAGGGAGUGAAAUUAGAAUUUUUUACCAAAUUUGUCCUUUGUAUUACAUGUCCAAUGAAUGACAAAGUACUAUAAAUCAAUUAAUAAUUAAUAAACUUUAAGGAGUAUAAUUUAUGGGCAAACACGCGUUACUCAUUUAAAUUAUGUUGGCCUAAUCAGCAACAUCCUUCAGAUCCCGACUCGAAAGGACUAACUGCCCAACCCGUGGCACCUAGGCGUGCAACCCCUCAUGCUGGCCGAGCGUGGUAUAGUGCUUUGCACUGCCAUUGUGGUUAAGGAAAUAAAGUUGCGCCUUCGCUAAUAGCUAUAGCUUUUGAUGCAAUGGUAAGCGCUUGAUCCUAACAAAGUACCGGUUUUUUACGGGUAUUUUACUUUCAAAUAUUUAAUUUAUGAUAAAUAUAUCAACAUUUGUAAGUAAAAUUCAAAAAUUAUUACAGUAAUAUUCUUGCAAAAAGGAAAUCGAUAGGUUAUUUAUUUAAUAUAAAUUAAAUAUUUUUUUAAAAAAAUAAAUGGCCCAUAAAGUAUUAAUUUUUUAUGACUUUCAUCCAUUACACGAGUAAAGUGUUCGCUCUUUAUGUGCAUUUUAUUCUGAAUCAUUUAAUUUAUAUUAAAUACAUAAAUAUUUGUAACUAAAAUUGAAAAAGUGUUAUAUUAAUAUUUUUACGGAAAAGAGAUUGGCAGGUUUUGUAUUUAACAAAAAUUAAAUAUUUGAAAGUAAAUACAAAUAUGUAUUUGAGCGUAAAUAUUUGUAUUAAAUUAAAUGUUUGAAAAUAAAAUACCCUUAAUGAACCGGUACUUUAAAUAGUUACCGCCUCUUUAUAGGCAAACACGCAUUACUCAUUUAAAGUACCGGUUUUUUACGAAUAUUUUACUUUCAAACAUUUAAUUUAUGAUAAAUAUAUCAAUUUUUGUAAGUAAAAUUCAAAAAGUGUUACAGUAAUAUUCUUGCAAAAAGGAAAUCGCUAGGUUAUUUAUUUAAUAUAAAUUAAAUAUUUUUAAAAAAAAUAAAUGGCCUAUAAAGUAUUAAUUCUUUAUGACUUUCAUCCAUUACAUGAGUAAAGUAUUGACUCUUUAUGGGUAUUUUAUUUUGAAUCAUUUAAUUUAUAUUAAAUACAUAAAUGUUUGUAACUAAAAUUGAAAAAGUGUUAUAUUAAUAUUUUUACGGAAGAGAGAUUGGUAGUUUUUGUAUUUAACAAAAAUUAAAUAUUUGAAAGUAAAUACAAAUAUGUAUUUGAGCGUAAAUAUUUGUAUUAAAUUAAAUGUUUGAAAGUAAAAUAUCCAUAAAGAGUCGGUACUUUAAAUAGAUAAUGCGUAUUUGCCUAUAAAUUAUACUCUUUAAAGUUUAUUAGUUGUUAAUUAAUUUGUAAUAUUUUGUUAUUCAUUGGACAUGUAGUACAAAGGACAAAUUUGGUAAAAAAUUCUAAUUCACUCCCUAAAACAAUAUUUUAAUUGUUUGGACUGAAUUUGUAAAGGAUUAGUAACUUCAGGGGGAGGUUAGUGUAAUUUUUCAAACCACAGGAGAGGUCAGUGCAAAUGUCAGAACCUCAGGGGAGGUUUCUGCAAUUAUCCCAUCAUUUUAAGUUCUUUUAUGUGCUCCUAUGUGUUUUUUAUACGUGUGAUUGCGUGUUUUAAUUGUCUUUUCUUUUAUUUUAUCUUAUUCAUUUUUAGCUUUCAUUUAUUUUAUUUAUUUUAAUUUUGAUGAUCAUUUGGAAGGUAUUUAAAAGCCAAAUUGUAAUAGAUAGGUGUCCAAAAAAUGUAUUCAAUUAGGCCAUGUAAUUAGUUAGAUAGAUUUUAUUUUCAUCGAAAUUGUAAUUAAUUAGAUAAAUGUAAUAGAUAGGUUUAUUAUUUUCAAAAUUCCCUUUCUACAUUGUAAUUAGGGUCCCCAAUAUAAUAGUUAGUUUUUAUUUGUUUGCAUGCUUGCGCGCUUAUGUAUUUUAUUCGCUUUUUCUAGGAUUUUGUAUCUAAAUAUUAUGCCUAUGUGCUAUGUGCUCUACAUACUUUAUAUGUUUUAUGUGUUUUAAUUAUGUUUUAUAUGUUUUAUUUAUGUUUUAUAUGUUUUAUUUAUUUAUAAUAAAUGCAUGACGUUGCCGCACUAGUCCAAUACUAGUUGUGGCAUUUCUCUCCGAUUUUUCACUAAUCCAAUGCUAGUGAGAACUUGUAGAAAUGGAUUAGUCCAAUACUAAACCCUUUAGAUCAUUUUCACGCUAAAUUCAUACAUUGUGUGACAUUUAUUGCAUAUCAUGUAUUUUUUUCCUAUUUUUAGGUUAUUUUCAAUUGGAUGACAUUUUCCCUACUAUCAUUCCUUUACCCUCUAUAUAUUUGGACCAUAUCAUUUAGAAUUGCAUUUCAUUCUAGGAAAUGAGAAGUAGACUAGUCCACUUGGUUGACAAGGUUAAGAGAUUUACCCUUCAAAUAUGAGAAAUGGGUAAGUAUGACUUUUUAAACUUAGCAUGCUAUUACCCCUCUAUAAGAAGAAAAAUUGAAUCACGAAUUUUAGUCUCUCAUACCCAUUAUAUUGCAUUUCCCUUUUCUAGGUCAUGUACAUUUAUCUAUAUUAUAAUUUCCUUUUUGAGUCUCAUCUUUUGCACUUUUCAUGAUCUCUUCAAAUAAUCAUUUCUGGACAUCACAAUUAAUGUGAUUAGUACCAAUUAAAUUUUGAAGAGACAUUUCGACCCUCCCAAUAUCGUUUAGAUCUAGAUUUGCAUCCAUAUGGAAACAUCCAAAAUGUGAUAAGUUUUAUAUAUUAAAUUAAGAAAAUUUUCGACUAAAUCUCGCAACUAUUCUUGGUUAGGUUGAAAGGGAGGCUUAAAUCGAACAUUUAUCUUCCCUUUCUUCAAAUAUGAUUCCUGAAUUCUUUUCUCUUAUUUUCAAAGAUUUGGAGUUCUCUGAAAAGGUUUUAUUUGUUUUUAUUUAAAAUAUAUUUUUGAUGAGUUAAUACACCUAAACUCAAUACUAAGUGGCGACUCUACUUUUUUCUAAAAAAUUCUUUUUACACUAUUAUUUUGGACUCAAACCGUCGCAUAUUUUAAGUUCCAUUUUAACCUUUUUUUAUUUAUUUUCUAAAAUCAAAAACUCUUUUUUUUAACACUAUUUUUUCUUUUAUUUUCAAAAAUAAGGUGCGACAAACCCUGAACUAAACGACAUUCCAUUACCUCAAAAAGUAAUCCACAGUGGAUUUAAGGAUGGGACGUUGAGAUUCACAUGCUUAUUAUGCUUGUUGGCUGGCAUCAGUUGCGUCUAAAGUUGGAGCACCCAUGUGUUUGUCCCCCACCAAACUGGGCCCCAGCUUAGCAUCUUCCGCAGGGCGUCACGUGCUCAUGUACCCUUCUGUCUGCUGUCUGGCUCUUACCAUAAUUAAUGACAGUGACUUUCCCAUGCCAUUUGCAUUUUCUGUGGCGAGAAUUUUUCUACGAGAAUUAUCUCAUUGUUUUUACUUAUCUUUUUUUUUCUCUAUUUGUUUAUUUGGAGAAUAAUAAUGUAUUGGUAUGCUUUUUUAAAAUCUGAACCACGAAUAUAGGGAUAAUUGCAGAAACCUCUCCUGAGGUUUCUGAUAUUUUCACUAACCUCCCCUAUAGUUUGAAAAAUUACACUAACCUCCCUUGAAGUUACUAAUCCUUUGCAAAUUCAGUCCAAAUGAUUAAAAUAUUAUUUUAGGGAGUGAAAUUAGAAUUUUUUACUAAAUUUGUCCUUUGUACUACAUGUUCAAUGAAUGACAAAAUAUUACAAAUCAAUUAACAAUUAAUAAACUUUAAGGAAUAUAGUUUAUAGGCAAAUACGCAUUACCUAUUUAAAGUAUCGGCUCUUUAUGUGUAUUUUACUUUUAAAUAUUUAACUUAAUACAAAUAUUUACACUCAAAUACAUAUUUGUAUUUACUUUCAAAUAUUUUAUUUUUGUUAAAUACAAAACUACCAAUCUCUUUUCCGUAAAAAUAUUAAUAUAACACUUUUUCAAUUUUAAUUACAAACAUUUAUGUAUUUAACAUAAAUUAAAUGAUUCAAAAUAAAAUACCCAUAAAGAGCCAAUACUUUACUCAUGUAAUGGAUGAAAGCCAUAAAAAAUUAAUACUUUAUGGGCCAUUUAUUUUUUAAAAAAAUAUUUAAUUUAUAUUAAAUAAAUAACCUAGCGAUUUCCUUUUUGCAAGAAUAUUACUGUAAUACUUUUUGAAUUUUAAUUACAAACAUUGAUAUAUUUAUCAUAAAUUAAAUGUUUGAAACUAAAAUAUUCGUAAAAAACCGGUACUUUAAAUGAGUAAUGUGUGUUUACUUAUAAAGAGGUGUGAACUAUUUAAAGUACCGGUUCAUUAAGGGUAUUUUACUUUCAAAUAUUUAAUUUAAUACAAAUAUUUACGCUCAAAUACAUAUUUGUAUUUACUUUCAAAUAUUUAAUUUUUGUUAAAUACAAAACCUACCAAUCUCUUUUCCGUAAAAAUAUUAAUAUAACACUUUUUCAAUUUUAGUUACAAACAUUUAUGUAUUUAAUAUAAAUUAAAUGAUUCAGAAUAAAAUGCACAUAAAGAGCGAAUACUUUACUCGUGUAAUGGAUGAAAGUUAUAAAAAAUUAAUACUUUAUGGGUCAUUUAUUUUUUUUAAAAAAAUAUUUAAUUUAUAUUAAAUAAUAACCUAUCGAUUUCCUUUUUGCAAGAAUAUUACUAUAACAAUUUUUGAAAUUUACUUACAAAUGUUGUUAUAUUUAUCAUAAAUUAAAUAUUUAAAAGUAAAAUACCUGUAAAAAGCCGGUAUUUUGUUAGGAUCAAGCGCUUACCAUUACACCAAAAUCUAUAACUAUUAGUGAAGGCGUAACUUUAUUUUAUUAACCAUAAUGGCAGCGCAAAACACCGUACCACGAUCGGGCAGCAUGAUGGAUUGCACCAUUGGGUGCCACGGGUUGGGCGGUUAGUCCCUUCGAGCCGGGAUUUGAAGGAUGUUGUUGAUUAGGCCAACAUACUUUAAAUGAGUAAUGCGUGUUUGCUCAUAAAUUAUACUGCUUAAAGUUUAUUAAUUGUUAAUUGAUUCAUAGUACUUUGUCAUUCAUUGGACAUGUAGUACAAAGGACAAAUUUGGUAAAAAAUUUUAAUUUCACUCCCUAAAACAAUAUUUUAAUCUUUUGGACUGAAUUUGCAAAGGAUGAGUAACCUCAGGGGAGGUCAAUGUAAUUUUUUAAAUCAUAAGGGAGGUCAGUGCAAAUAUCAGAAACCUCAGGGAAGGUUUCUGCAAUUAUCCCAUGAAAAUAUUCACAAGUCAUUCAUUUAUUGUGUUCUGCUUCUUUUUCAUAUUUUGGAACUUAGAGAUGGAAUAACUGAGAAUCGAGCUUGCGAGAUACUAACAAAAGUUUGAAUGUCUUUCAAGAUAAAGUGACACUUCCUUCAAAAAGAUAAAGUGACACUUAGCGAAUGAAAAAAUGACAAUUGAGUAUGCCAUUUACUAAGGAAAAGCCUAAUGUAUUUGAAGACAAAAUCAGAAGUUGAGAUACGGGGAUAGGUUAUGACUUAUGACUACGGUAGAAAGUUCACUUUUCUGCCCAUAGCAGGCAGGAGCAAUGCAAGGAGGCCAACUGUGCUCGGUGGGACGCACAAAGAAGGAUAUCCGGACACCAUUGAGAAAGCCAGUUGUGCGUAGAUGAAAAAAAUAUAAUACAUUUUAAAAUCACAAUAAAAGUUCUCUUAAAAAUUUAUUUAUCAUCUAAUACUCAAUACUUAUAUUUGAUAAAUUAAAACGGUUAAUUAAAUAUUUUAUUAUAACAUAAACAACUAUAUGUCAUUGAGUUGAUUGGAUAAUAUUUUCUUUUCUUUUUUUUGGCAUUUCAACUAGUUGUCAAUUACGUUACAAUUGAAAUAAAGAUUUUAUAAUUAUUUAAAUUAUUCAAUAAAAUUAUCAAUUUAAGAUGAACAUAAAUAUAUGGGGAUCAGAUCAUAAGGCUAGAAAAGUUGAGAUACGGGGACAAGACUACUAGUAUUUGAGGUACCCUUGCGUAUUUGUAGAAGCCGGUGGGUAAAAUAUAUAUAUAUAUAUAUAUAUAUAUAUAUGUAUAUAUGUUUGUAUAUGUGUGUGUGUGUGUUUAAUGCUUACUUAUAUAUAUGUGCGUAUAUAUAAUGCUUAUUUAUGCCCACUUGUUAAGUUUUUAUAUGUUGUUCUUUUUAGUUUAUGUCAGCAUAAUGGUUAUUAUUUUUAGUUAAAUUUAUUAACCAAACAAAAUGUACCACAUUUCAACAUGUUGCACACGUUAAAAAAAAAGACUUACUUUCCAACAACAUCUUGAAUUUCAAUUUUUUAAUAUGGUAAAAUUAUUUUGGUACAUAAAUUUUCAAGUCCAUAUCAUCUCAACUCCACCGACGUUGGAAUCCUCAACUUAAAGCUUUAAAAACUGAAUGCUUUUCUUUCAAUCUCUAUGUCUCAUGGUUUUCUCGUGGUUUCAAUGAAAAAUAAAUAAAUAACAAAGCUGUAUAUGUUUCUAAAUUGAUAUCACAAGAGAGAAGAAAAAAAAGUAGUGAAAAGGUGAAUUUAUCAAUUUAUUAAUUUGAUUUUAAUUUUUUACUAUUGACCAUUCAUCUUAACAGAAGAGCUAAUGGCGACACUUUACCCAAAUCAUGAGGGCUUAUAUAUAAUUUUUUGAAAUAUGGAGAGUUAUGUGAUAAAUCACCAAACUAUAAGGGGGGUAAAAGGUAAUUUACACAAAAAAUCUGUGUAAUUUGUGCAGUUGCAUCUGCUUGUUGUGCGUGUUCAAAUAUCUUGUGUACAAAUAUACAUAUGAAAAUAUUGUACUAAAUAUCUUAUUCUUGCACAUCACUUUUAUUACGAAUACAAAACGACAAUACCCGAAAGACCCCCAACGGCACAAAAACCAACUAAAAACAAACUUUUACACGUCUGACUUCUCUGGCUUUUUGGCGAGAGAAAUGAUAAGAUUAUUAUAGCAGCCUUUGCCCAUGUGGAGAACCUUUGCUGCAUGCUUCGCAAGCCUGUGGAAUAAGUCAGGCAUAAUAGCUUCUCCAAAAUGACUUGCGAGGAUGGGUUCGUAAACUGAUCUAAUUAAUGAUGCCACAUACUCUGCUUUAAUUUGUUCAUGGGAUCUUACUGGGUAAUCAUCAUCAAUAGAGAAGGCAGCAUCAUAAUGGGCCUUAAAAGUCUCCAGAUAUAAAAUUUCGCAAGAACCUUCCUCCUCAACUAUGCACUUUACUUCUUCUGCUGAAGGUGUAAAGAAUGGAAUAUUGAAACUAUCCAAUUUUUCUUCCUCCAGAAGUCCCUGCAGAUAUUUGAAGCACGAGAGUUGGAAAUUAGCCAAUUUGCUAAAACGUCAACUCUAGGACAAAAAAGGUACAGUUUUUUUCCUUAAUUUCAAAAUGAAUAUAUUAUUAUUGCUCGUGCUUUUAGUUCAUAUUAUUAUUUUUUCCAAUACCUUUUUAACCAAAAAAAGGGGGAAAAAAAGAUAGCCGACAUAUUUCUAACUUGAAAGAAUUAUCUUAACUGCAUUGGAGUUGUGUGACCUAACUUCUAAUUAAAGGUUACUACCAUCUGAUUUACGGUGAACUUGGUCUACACAAAGUUAGGUAAGGUAGGAACCCUGAAUCAGCUAAGGUAGCUAUCUAGUUUAUUUCAGAUAACAAGCAAUGAACAUCUGAUCAUCAAAGAGAGAGAGAGAAAUGAUAACCUCAACAAUCAAGUCGUUUAUUGCCAUGUCAAGUAAGUCUAGGGGAUUCGGUUCGUCGAAUUCAUCUACUUUACAAAUGCAGGUAAGGAGCAUUCGGCCACGUGAAAACAACUCUUUCGAAUGAAUCCUUAGAAAUGUGGUAAAAUCUUUCGUAAAUUGAUCCAAAUAUGCCUUCUGGACGGGCGGACGACAUCCUUUGGAAGAGUAAAUACUCCCUUUGUUUGCACCAAUCCCCAAUUCAAUCACCAAACCGCUGGGAACCUGCACGUCUAGAACUGGUAACUUAUAUAGUCGGAUCAUUUUGUUAGUGUUGCAUGUGGGAAUGUAAAUCAUGAGCCACGACUUAAAUAAAAUAUGUUAUUAGUUUCUUCAGAAAUCUCUUUCUUGCUACAAGAAAAAGUAAAAAGAUAAAAGGGAUUAACUCAAAGACCUGAGAUAACCAAUGAACACUGUAACAAGAGUGCAAAAAAUGCAUGGACUCCUCGGGGAAGAGUCUGCCGUAGAAAGAGCCAGGCAUUGCGCUUAUUAGGCACGAUCCUAUCUUGCGUCCAUUUUCUUUCUCGAGUUUGCGGUAGAAGCUUGGCAGCAACUUGAAAACCGAAUUGAAAUCAUUUUGGAAAAGAUCAUUCAGAAAAAUCUGAAUGGUGGGACGUUCUAAUUCAUUCUUCUCUUCCUGGCCAACUUUGUCAAUACUUUGCACAAUGUCCCGCACUGUUAAAAGUGUGUUUGGUCCAGAAGCGCAUCCCAAAUCCGCAACUUUAAUGCACUUGUUGAUGUUGGGCAAGUUGGCCCGCAACAAUUCUCGUAUGCAUUGUUCAAGGAAAGGUUUCACCUUGGCAAGAGCCAGCUGUUACACAUACCAGUCCAAAAUACAAAUGUGAAGUUAGAGAUCGACGUAUCAUAGCAUGAUUUACCACUAUUCUCUGUGUGUGUGUGUGUGUGUGUUAAAGAGAGAUAGAGAGACAGACAGACAUUGUAGGAUGCAUUCUUGGCGUAGCUUGUAUCGCCUUCACCUUCAUUCAUAUGCAGGACUUCUUGGAGCUCCAUUCAUAUGCAGGACAAUCGAAUUGCGACUGCUAAAGAAGGUGUCUGUUAAUGAUUAAUUGUGCAAAAUUUCGGGCUUAAGUAGCGAAAAUUUCAUAGAUGCGUAUGCUAACCAGCUACCUCCGUGCGUAGAAAAGUCUGUCAAUUCGUCAGAAAGAAAGCGCACAGCCAAUGGGAACCAGACACGAAUGAUAAAAUCAGAAGUUGAGAUGCGGGGAUGAAAUAUCUUAUCUUAUCUUACAUCUUACAUAUAUAUAUAAAAACCUAAGGCUUCUUCUCCCACGUUGCAAAAGAUGGGAGAGAAGCAGCUACUAUGUUUCGUUUUUUCCAGCAAUAACCUCAUAAAGUGUACCCUGAUCUAAACAGUGUAUAACUAUUCUAGGGCAUUUUUGUCCUUUUCCUUAAAAGUACGUGUUUGUCCUUCUAGACAUAACAGGCUUUCAGAAUAGUAGCUUACUAUUUGGGCUGAAUUUUGAUUUUUCACCUGCACCUUUCCUCCUGUUCUUCCGCCUCUUUCCCUUCUUCCUCUACACUAUCACUUUCCGCUUCUUUUGACUUUUAGCCCACCAUUUUUCUGCUUCAUUCCUAUUUCUUUCCCGUCUAUUUCUUUUUCCUCUCAACAAAUGAAAGGAAGAAGCUGGAGUCUAUUCAAUGUCAAAUCAACUCUUUUUUUUAUUAUUUCUUGCUCAGAAUUUACUUGCCCACAUGAUAAUUCUACUUGAAAGGAGGAAAAUGGGGAACUUUUGGUUAAAUGGAAAGGAUAUUAGGUAAUUUCAUUUAAGAAGUGAGGUUCUACCUUUGCCUAUUUAUUCAGUGAAUUUUUCAUAAUAUUGCUGAAAUUAAAAAUCGUCAUAAAAUUGGUGUUGUUCGAUGGAGGCUUCUUAAGUAGGGGUCGCCGCAACUCCGAUGUGCGGUUUCAAGUAAAAAUAAUUUUUAUUUUUAUUUAUUUUGAGUUGCUUCAGUUUCCCUUCUUCUUUAAUUCCUUCAAACCAUCGCCGCAUAUUUGAUUUGCGGCGAAGGUUUUUGUAAAUUUUUUUUGCAUCGCCUCUCAUGAGAUGAGCGGCAAUAAGUUUUUUUUUUAUUUUUUUUUGCAUCGCCGCUAAUGAGAUGGGCGGCGAUGCAAAAUCUUGUGGUAUACGUUUCUUCGUUUUUUUUUUGAGGUAUAUAUUUCAUUUGCCAAAAGGCCAAACAAAAGAAUGUACAAAUUCAGGAACAGGACUUCUAGGUGACAGCAAACAGUAGCAAGUUAAACGCAAGUCAUGCUGUCCCGCACAAUGAUGCGAAAAAAUAAAUGUUAUAUCUUGUUAAUCAUAAAUUUGACCAACUUAUGUACCAGAUAAUUAUAGUUAAGUGAACAGAUAAACAAGAAAGAUUUGCACUAUACAUACGAUAUUUUUUUUUGUAAAGAUUUUUCUAUGAUAUAUAAAUGCAUUGUUAGUUACCUUUAUGACUGUAUUUUUAUUUUUUAUAUAUCACAUCAGAAAAAGUGUCACAUUUAUGACUGUAUUUUCGUUUUUCAUAUAUCAUAUUUGAGAAAAGUAUUACAUAUUAAUUUCAAAAAAGCGUUUCUGAAUAAUCUUUUAUCCAAAUUACAAAACUCAUUUAUCGGUAUAUAAAACAGUAGAUUUUUCAAAAGAUUUCCAAGUUAUGAUAAAUUCUGCAUUUAACAAUGCAGAUUUCUUUUCAUAUUUAUUAUUAUUUUUUUAAUCAUGAAGAAUUUUUUGACUAAGUUAAAUUUUCAUAUUAAAAUUUUUUUUUUGCAUCGCCGCUCAUGAGAUGAGUGGUGAUACCUUUUUCUCCUUAUUUUUUUUUUAAUAAAACGCAAGCGGCAUGCUAAGGAGUAAACCCAGCCUCGCAGGCUAUGCUUAGUUUUGUGAUCAUUUCCAGGUUCCACAAGUGAAUAAGCUGAAGGCUGCAAUUAGGGGUGUUUCGCGAAUCCAGCCGCUCGCGAGCCAAUCGCGAGCAGCUCUCACGAGCGGCUCGAAUACGAGCUCGUCAAUAUCGAGUUCGAGUCGAGCUCGAGCUAAUUAAAUCGAUCUCGAGCUCGAGCUCGAGUUCCAAAACAUUAAACUCGUUGACUCGCGAGCGGCUCGCGAGCUCAAUUAUAUAUAUUUUUUAUUUUUUUAUAAUUACAUAUAUAUCCCUAAUAUUUUAUUAUUUAUUAAAAAAUUAUUAUUUUAUUCAUUUUUAAAAAUAAAUAAUUAUUUUUUAUUUUUUAAAAUAUAAAAUAAUAAUAAUUAUUUUUUUAUUUUUUAAGCUCGAGCUGAGCUCGACUCGAAUUUGACUCGAGCUCGAUAUUUUGAGCUCGUCAAGCUCGAGUUCGAGCUUCACAAAAUUAACUCGAGCUCGGCUCGAUUAGCCAAAGCUCGACUCGAGUUCGACUCGUUUGCACCCCUAGCUGCAAUAAGUAAGACAUAGCCUGAGAUCCUCAUUUCAUAUAAUUCAUUCAACGUGGCAAAUCGGAUAUAACAUAAAUCAGAAUGGAAAAAGCACCACGUCUUCAACCAUCUUGAAUAUAUGUACACCGGAUUUCCCCCUUCUCGGAUUGCAUUGUGGAACAAUUAUUUGGAACAACUCAUUUCCUUAUAGGAAUAGGAAUUGUUCCAUCUAUGAAAUGUAUGCCACAAGAUUUUGCGGCGAUGCAAACAAAAAAUAAAAAAUUUAUUGCCACUCAUGCGAUGCAAAAAAAAUUAAAAAAAAAACCUUCGCCGCAAAUCAAAUGAGCGGCGAUGGUUUGAAGGAAUUAAAAAAAAAAGGGAAACUGAAGCAACCCAAAAUAAAUGAAAAUUACAAUUAUUUUUACUUGAAACCGCACAUCGGAGUUGCGGCGACCCUAAUUAAGAAGCCUCCAUCGAACAUCACCAAUUUUGUGACGAUUUUUAAUUUUAGCAAUAUUUUGAGAAAUUCGCCUAUUUAUUCUUACUCUUACUGAUUAAACAUUUACAAAUGCAACAUAGUAUAGAAUCUUUUGAACAUUUACAGAUGCAACAUAGACUACAUAGUGUAAGAUGUUUUGAUUUUCAUUGGAAAGAUGCUACUGCUAGAAAGCAAUAAUUUACGCACUUAAUUUUUUCCACAUCUUGCCAGUAAACGUAUGAAUAAUCCCUAACGCAUGCUAUUUUACAACCUAAAGACCAAUGAUGCAAGCAAUCCAUUUUUCAAUUAUACCACAAAAUCACUCAAAAUCACUGAACUUAAUAAAGUUUUCUACAAGAAUCUCUAAUAUCGGAUUUCUUUUUAGCUAAAACUUUAAUCCUCUGGCCUAAAAAUGCUGUUUAAAAAAUUUUUAAACAUAAAAAGAAAAAAGAACAAUCAAUAAUAACAGUAUUUAGGUCGGUAUUUCAAUUAAUAAUAAAUAAAUAAAUAAUGUUCAUUUCUAAUAUUGUUAGGAUCAACAUUUCUUCAAUUUUAAUAGGUGGGGCAUGAUCUAUGCUAAGCAUCUUAUUACAUUAUAUACAUCUAUAUAUGAACUGUCAUUACUUACUUACAAUUUAGAUGCUCUGAAUUAUAUUUUCUACACAAUUGGUUGGGUAUUAGUUGUGCUAUUGGACUUAGAUGAAUGAUUAUUCAGUCUGAUGAGAAUUUUGAACUUUUUCAAAUGGGUAAUUUUUUUCUAAUAUAGAAUAAGGAUUUAGAUACAAUUGUGCCCAAGUUUAAAAAUAAGAGUGGCAAGGAAUUUUUCAAUAUUUGUUACAUAGUAGAUUGGGCAUUGGCUGUGCCUUGCUCAGCCAGAAUGAUUCUAGUCUUAUAUAGACAAAGUCAAGACUUCUACUCUCAUAUUGAGCCACGUGGCUGCAUUUGGGAAGGGAGUCUACUGUAGUAUAUUGAUAAGUGUAUGUUUUGAGUGUUUUAUUAAUUAAUUUUGGUGUAUUUUAAUUAAUUUUAUAACUAAUUAACUAAGUUUCUAGUAAAAAUAUACAUUUUGUGAUUUAAAUAUUAAAAAUUGCAUUUCUAUAGAUUUUAAUGGUGAAAAUUUCAUAUUUUUGUAGGUUCAAUUAUUCAAUCAUCAAUUGGAGUGACUUGAGAAGAUAUUCGGAUGAUUGUUGAUGAUUUGAAAUGAUUUAAAGAAAACAUGAACUAUCAAAUGUUCAAAAGAGGAAAUGCAAUCAAGAAUAAAAGAAAUUGAGUUUUCCAACUUUGAUACCUUGUGGUCUUUCAGCUAUAUCUUGAGUUACAAGCAUUGAAUUGAGGUGAUUCUUAAACCAUUUUGAAAAUAAGAGAUAGUUGCAUGUUUGAUAUGAAGACUCGAAAUCUAGUUUAGUCGUUUUCUUUGUCAAAAUGUUGAAAUACAGAAGUGCAUUUUUAUUGUCAAAAACUAAAACAGAGUUCUGACUAGUCGAGAAUAUUUUGGUUAUUUCUUGGUCCACAAAGCUCCCAAUUAGAUGAUUCUUGAGGCAUUGAAAAUGGACUACAACUUUCAUUCCUUUUACAAGAGUUAGUUCAUCCUCCAUCAUCAAGAAAGUAUCAGUUGACAUUGGACCAAAAACAGAGCAAAGAGAACACUUGACCAGAAAUGAGCAAACUUGAAAAAGAGAAAAACAUGGGUAUAAUAUGCUACCUUAGGUCAUGUUUUCGAGGUCGCAUAAUCUUCAUUUGUGGCUGCAGCUUGCUCUGCAAUAUUUGCUUUGUUCACACAAGCUUUUUGACUACUUUUUCAGCAAGAAUUUCGACUAGAUAUGAGCUAACAAGUAUGGAGACAUCAAGAAACAACCUUUUGAUGAUUCCAAGAGCCAACUAGCACCAACCUUAACAUGAUUACUUGGAGUUUUAAUCCUCUAUAAAUAGAGGCUUUUGGGGAACAUUUUUCCAAUUUUAGGAAGGCUAGAGAAACUCCACAAAAAUGUAGUCUUCACUAGAAUUUCUUUAGUUCAUUAAUUAGAUUAGUAUAGUAUAGUUAGUAUAGCUUAUCCUUCUUGUAUUUGUAACUAAACUUGGAUGAAGAUUAAGGAGCAAAAUGAAGAGUUUGAUCUCAUGUGACAAGGGUGAUAUCUCUUAUACUACUUUCUCUCUUGUAUUUGAUUUCAUAUUUAGUUUUUUUUUUUUUUUUUUUUUUAGCUUUUUUUUUAAUUAUUUAUUUAUUCAUGGAAAAUAGAACCAAAUAUUCUUCUUACAUAAUCCUCAUUUUUCUAAUUGAAGGUAUCCCUAUUCUAUCCAAACGGAUUGCCCCACGAGCCAACCUUGGGAAUUUACUGAAAGCAUCGUAAACCUCAAUUUGUUUAUCUGGAUGAGAUAUACCCACAUUAGAUAAAGCAUCAGCAACUGUGUUAGCCUCCCGAUAGCAGUGCGUGAAUUUAGGUGGAUCAUCUAAUAAUUGCCAAAUCUGGUUGACGUAUCUUCGAAUUUUCCACGGACACUGAGUACGACGUUGAAUGAUCCCAAUUAAAACCAAAGAAUCUGAUUGUACACAUAUGUUUCCAAAACCGUUAUGUAUACAGAUCUGAAGACCAAUAAGAAGGGCACAAGCCUCUGCACGGAGACAUGUAGUAUCUCCCAGAUAUGCCGAAAAACCAAUCAUUGGUAAUCCAGUGGAAUCCCGGAGUAUGCCCCCACCUCCACCUAUUCCUGGAUUACCCUUAGCACAUCCAUCCGUGUUAAGAGUAUACCUCCCUGUCUCUUUGGUUUCCCAGCGGAUACCUUGAUAUACAACCGUACCCCCAGGUGCCUUUGACCAAUCAUACAAUUGACAAAAGGAUUGUAGUCUUAUCAAUUGUUUAAAAUGUAUUCCUACCAUGGAUUGGAUUUCUGAGAAGAUGGCUUGGCGAAUGGCCGAUGAUUGCAUCUGGACACCCUCAAACAUUGCUUUGUUCCUUUCCUUCCAAAUCUGCCAGCAAAUUACACUAGGAAGAAUACGGCAAAUAAUCUUUCGUAACUCAGAAUCCUGUGAAUUCAACCACCAAUCAACUAUGCGUGCUCGUAGAAAAGAUCCUGAGAAUUUUAUUCCACAUAACCCUCCAAAAUAAUUCCAAAGGAAUGACGCAAUGUGUCCAUUGGAGAAUAAAUGCUCAAUAGACUCCUCGGAAGGCUCAGUACAGCAAAAGCACUUUGACGGCAAAUGGAAACCAAAUUUACGAAGCUUAUCCGGUGUCGGUAUUCUCCUCAGAAGUAAUCUCAACAUGAAAAAUGAAACUGUCAAAGGUAUCAGAGGGUGCCAAAUGGAAGCAAAUACCAUAGACGUGGGUCGAGUCUGCCUAAUGUCCCCAAAAGCCGAAUGUAGAGAGAAAUUUCCAGUUGUUGUGGGCAUCCAAAAGACUUCAGCUAUACUUCCUUCUUCUGGGAUCAUUUGUUCUGAGAUGGAAUAAGCAAUUUCCUUUGGCAAAGUGUGGUAUAGAAGAUUCAAAUCCCAAUGGCCGUUGUUUACGAAGUUUCGGAACGUCAAAUUUGGGAUAACUGGAACCUUUAGAAACAAUGCACCACUCCCCAACCAGUUAUCGUACCAAAAAUGACACGCCCCAUAUUUGGCCACCCAUAAUAUUGAGAGUUCCACUUGCCGACUCACAUUGAGCAUCCUUCGCCAAAUUGCCGAAUCCGUUGGCCUGAGUUCUACCUGACAAGGGUGCAGACAUUUACAAUACUUUGCUUUCAUGAAGGUCGACCACAGUGAUGAUUCUGUUCGGAAUUUCCACCAUAACUUGGAGGAAAAGGCUGUGUAGACGUCACAUAAUCUCCGAAAUCCAAUUCCCCCUUCCUCAACUGGAUAGCACAAUUGAGGCCAACGUAUCCAAUGAAGCUUCGAUUCCUCGGGUGAGGAUCCCCAGAGGAAUGCCGAGCAUGCAUUUUCUAUAGUUUUAAACACCGAGCUGGGAAUCACUGCAGCUGACAUUAGGUGAACUGGUAUUGAAGAUAGUACAUGCUUGAUUAGAAUAAUUUUUCCUCCAAAGGAAAGUAACCUUGAUUUCCAAGACAGAAUCCUUGCUAGUAUUGCGUGACAAACUUCUCCAAAAUAAGAUGAUUUGCAUCUUCCAAUGUAGAGCGGAAAGCCUAAAUAGCGUAUUGGAAAUGAUUUGCGGGCAAACCUAGAGAUGCGAUCAAGCAGCCGUCGUCUUGCUAUUGAUGCGGGCAAACCUAGAGAUUUCAUAUUUAGUUAUUAUACAAGUUUGGAUUUGUGUUUAAAUAUGUAUUUCUAAAGUUUAUACCUAGAGUUAUGGAUGAACUUGCUAUAUCUUAUUAGUAAUAUUUACUUGGUUAUUUGAUGAUAUUAUUUUGAGUAAAUUAUUUAUUAGUUUUACUUUUCUAAUCAUGAUUAACCAACCAUUAAUUAUGAUAAUAUUAACGUGUUAAAUUUGCAAUGAGAAUUGGGAUUAACAAUAGUUCAAUGAAAUGAUAAACUUAGGGAAUACACUCACGAGAGUAGAGGUACACUUAUGUAGAUUUACUGACUUGUUUCAUGCAAUUUUAUAAAGAAAUAAGUUUGUAAUUAAUUUCAUAACCACGAGAGUAGGUAUGGUUUAAUUACAAGUAUAGUUGAUUCACUACGAGAGUAGGUUUCAUAUACAUUAAGAAAUUAUGCUAUAACUAGCCAAGAUAAUAACAUUCACUUAAUCGGUAAUUUCAUUAACGAGAGUAGUUAGGAAUUUCAUACCUCUAGAAGUUUUAUAUUAUUAUUUUUAUUACGUUUACUUCAUGUUUGUAGUGUAGCUUUAAUCUUUUGUAAUUUGUGGUAAUUUAAAUAAUAAAAGAGUUCGAAAGCUAUCGGUAAUUGACAAUUUUCUCUGUGGGUUUGACCCUUAAUACUCUAUGCUCAAUCACGCAUUGUAUAUUUGUGAAAAAUCGCAUAUGGGGUAUUUUGAAUUUUAUAAAUAUGAAACUUGACUAUAGAUGAACUAAUUGUUAUAUACAUACCCCGUGCCCGUCAAGUUUUUAAUGCUGUUGUCGGGGAAGAUUUUGCUCAAUAUUGGCGCUAAGAAUAACUUUAUUAAUUUAGACAUUUUUUCUUGCUUUUCUUGUUUUUGUUGUGUUUAUUGUCCUUUUGUUAUGUUUAGUGUCUUGUUGUGUAUUUUAUUUUAUGUUUAGUGUCAUGCUUUUGUAUGUGUCGAGUCAUCUAUUCUUCUUGACUAAACUUGUUUUUGAAUUACUUUGAAAGCAUGUUUAGGGCUUUAAGGUGAGUAGAAAACAUGAGAAGACAAUGCUUGAGAAGUGGAAGAUCGGCAAUGGAUUAUUACUAAGUACAAAGUAUCUUGAAUAGAGGUAGCCAAGAUGUUAUCGAAGGUAUACCAUUCAAAAAUGGUUUAAAGAGUUUAAAGGCUAAACUUGAUAUUAUAACAUUAAAAGUUCAAUUGGACACCAUUACAAACAUGCUUAAGCAAAAGAGGAAUGUUAAUACUUUGAAUUCUUAUCAUGUGAUUUGUAACUUGUGUGGAGAUUAUCAUGCUACUCAUAUAUGUAUGCAAGCACAAAAUGUGGAUUAUUAUGAUGAAUUUGGGUAUUACAAUCCUUAUUUUGAUCAAUAUGAUCAUAAAUGGGGGAAUUCUUAGACUUAUGAUUGGGAUAAUCAAUGUAUUUAUAGUGAUUCUCAAUGUUAUCAUGAUUACCCACCCGAGCGUGUCUAAUAUGAAUCUAAACUAUCUUGGGAAUUAGCCAUAGAAAAGCUAGCUAAUGCAACCUUUGAUCGUUUUAAUAGGGUUGAGCAAAGAUUAGAUGAAUUAACUUCUCAUUUUGGUAGAAUACAACAUCAAUUACACGUUUUGUGUGAAGUUAUUUUUUCUAAUCAUGUGCAAGAUGACCCUAGCAUGAAUGAUGGAAAUGUUGUAUGUCGAAAUGGAUUGCAUUUUGAUGAAAAUGAUGCAUCUAAUAUACGUUUCAAUGAGAAAUUGUCCAUUUCACAAGAUCAAAUCCUUGGAACUAACUUUGAAACUCAAGAGAUGAGCAUCAAUGACUCAUUUUUCAUCCCUCUUGAGGAAUGUGUUGAAAACAUAGGUUCUAAAUAUAUCGUCACCCAAGAAAGGCAAGCAGAUGUUCCUUUGGUGAGCACUCAAGUGACGCACAUUCAAGGUAUUAUUUAUCCAUCACUUGAGAUAUGUAAGCCUCCUCCACCUCUCAUACCAUUAGAACAUGUGGCUUUGAUAUCAAGCCACCAUUUAUUGAUCCACCAUGUCCUCUAAUGAUGAAUUAUUCAUUGACAAAACCUCGAAAAAUGAAAUUAUAUAGUCAAGCCAACAACUAUAAACAAAAGUGCUAGUUGAGAGGUAACCCAAUAUUUUGAUGACUUAUGUUAAUUCAUGUGAUUGUAUGCUUAAAUUAUGCAUUUAAUGUAUUGUUUUUCUUUUGUAGGUUUGGGAAAUAGAAGUAAAAGUAAUCAAAUGAGAUGAAAAAGGCGCCCCUCGAUUUGAGUAUUUAAUGUUUUUGAUUCGUUAAAGAGAGGUAAAAUACAUAUUUUGAUCAUUUUACAUAUGCGUGCAUUGAUUAUUUUAUCGAAAGAAUGAUCUAGUGUGCAUUUUAAGCAAUAGGGGUACCAUGUGUAAUUUUAAAAAGUUGAAUCUUCUGCAGAAAAGUUACAGAAAAAAAUGCAGCCUCAUGGAAAACGCGACCUUAAGUCACGUUUUCUGGAGGUUGCCUAUUCUAUUCUACAAUUUUUCAACAGAAUACACGAGUACAGAAAACAUGACGUAAGGUCACGUUUUCAAAUGGAAGACAAAAAACGCAAGCCUGAAAACACAAGCUCAAGCUCGCAUUUUCUUCUUGCAUUUUUUAAGUUCUUUUAAGAAACAAAAAUGCAGGCUGCCUUAUUCUUCUUUUCUUCUUCUCCUCCUCACAUUUUCUCACACAUACUAACACACACUUCACCAUUUUCCUCUUUUACUCAAUUUCCUUGUAAGAAAUCAUCAACAAAAUAUUAUUUGACCUUCAUAGAUCCUUUUUAACUAAUUAGAAUUCAGGAAAAAGAUCUCAAAAAUUGGUUGAAGGUUAGGGUUCAUCAUUUCUAAUUCCAUCAAUUGGAGGUCAAUUGGAGUGAUUUUCAUAGGACUUUUUGUAUCAUUUGUAUCACCAAACAUCACUCUGCCAAUUUGAGAUAAAUUUCUUGAACUUAAUUUGGUUUUAAAAUUCACCAUUUGCAUAUCUUUUGAGUUUAUUGAAACACUUUGAAUGGUAAAUUUGUGAUAUUAUUUAUUGGUGUAUAUAAGUUCCAUUAUGCUUAUGUAACAUCUUUAAGCAUAUUUAGAUGAUCAAAUGUAGGAAUGUGAUGAGCUAUGCAAUGUUUCAAUUCAUGUAUAUUCCUAUUUUAUGAUCAAUGUAAUAAUUGGUCUUAGAAUAUUGUUAAGCAUAAUUGGAUAGUUCAAAUUGCUAAAAUGUGACUUAUUCAUGAUGCUUACAUGUCUACAUUCAUUACAUGGUGACAUUUUAGCAAAUUUGAAUUUGUAAACUUUAGAGAGUGGCUAGUUUAUCUAGUUAAAGGAAAAUGAUACAUUUAAAUGGAAAUUUAUUGCUUAAUUUUCAUAUAAAACAUCAUUGGAUGAAAAAUUUUGAAUAUGUGAAGAAUUUAGCAAUUUGUAGAAUUUUAGGAGUAAAAAAUGUGUGAAGUGAAGUGAAGUGAAGUGUUUCAUUGUACCUUGAGUAGUUUCUUGUAUAUUUUAUAUGGGUACAUCACCACGACAAAGGCGUAGAAGUUAUGGAUCGCCAUUUUGUGUUUAUUAAUACCUUUGUUAUCACUUUUGUUUCUCAUUUUUCAAUUCUUAGGUUUAAUUACUAAUGGUUAUCCAAUGGAACUAAUAAAGUUUUGGAAAUAAGCGGAUAAUGGUUUGUGACACUUCAUGACACUUCAAUUAUAUUAAUAAGGGAGUAUUCCUUUUUUUUAUUUCCCUUCUUACACAUUGAAGACAAUGUAUAUGUUAAGUGUUAAGGGGAAGGGAAUUGAGAUUAUAUGCAUCGUAUGUGAUUGAUUUGUUCGUUGCAAAUAUUGAAUUUGUGCUUGAAAAUGUUAUUGUGCUUAAAAAUUUUUCAAAAUUGGGUUUGUUGGCAAGGAGUUUAGUCCAUUUAUAAGAUGAGACUCUCACAAAAUUUUUUCAAAAUCUUGUCUAAAAUUGUAAAAUUGCCCCAAAAGAUUUCAAAUUUUUUCAAUUUUAUCCAAGGGCAACAAGUUUCAUACCUUUAGUAAUUCAAAUUUCUUCUACUUUUAAGAUAAAUAUAUGUGACUUGACAACUUUUUUUCUCAUUUAACUUGGAAACGACUAUUAUGUGAUUAUAAUUUGCGCAUUUAUAGGAAACUAUCUUAAAAAGUGGAGAAAAUUAUGUCUAAAUUUUACAAAAUUUGAUGAAAUUUCUUCUCUUUAAUUGAUUUUACAUAGUUAAGUAAUUAACAUGGUCAAUAAGUGCAAUAUUCUUCUCAUGGUUAUUUUUGCUUUUGAAAAAAAAGAGAGAAAAAAGGAAAAAAAAGAAUAAAAGGAGAAUAAAAGUUGUUCUACUUCAAUGGUUUUUGUACUUAGUAAUCGGGAAUGUUCAUAUACAAAUAUCGAUUUUCGCAUAAAACGGUAUUAGAAUUAAGAGUAUGCAAGGCAACUUGAGAAUAUGAAAUGUUGAGCAAUUGGCGAUUUUCAUCUAAAAAUGUCAAUUUUUGUGACAAAAAACACUUUCACAACUUGAAUAAUAUUAGAUAUAUUAUAUGAAUAAAUCCUUUUUUGCAUCUGAAAAAGGUGAUGAUCAUGGGUUUAGAAAGCAUUUUUAUUCACCAUAUGACUCGCUUGUGAAAUUGGAAAAGGAUAAGAAAUUGACUUGAAUUAGUUAAAAUUAUGGCAUAAUUAGCUCUCCUUUACUUGAUAUUAUGAGUACUUGAACUUGAUUGAAUGAUUGCAUUAUGGUUAUUUACCUUGUUUUGAGGAAAUGAAGUUAAACUGUGUACAUAUGUUUAAUUUCAAAGUUUUGAAUGAUUGUGGUUAGUAAUUCUUAAUUGCUUGAGGACAAGUAAUGGUUCAAGUAUGGGGGAGUUUGAUAAGUAUGUAUUUUGAGUGUUUUAAGUGUAUUUUAUUAACUAGUUUUGGUGUGUUUUAAUUAGUUUUAUAACUAAUUGACUAAGUUUCUAGUGAAAAUAUACAUUUUGUGGUUUAAGUAUCAACAAUUACAUUUCUAUGAAUUUUAAGGGUAAAAACUUCAUGUUUUUCUAGGUUCAAUGAUUCAAUCAUCAAUUGGAGUGACUUGAAAAGAUAUUUGAAUGAUUGUUGAUGAUUUGAAGUGAUUUAAAGAAGAUAUGAAGUGCCAAAUGUUCAAAAGAGGAAAUGCAAUCAAGAAUAAAAGGAAGGGAGUUUUCUAGCUUUGACACCUUGUGGUAUUUUGACUAUAUCUUGAGAUGCAAGCAUUGAAUUAAGAUGAUUCUCAAACCAUUUUGAAAUUAAGACAUUUGUUGUGAAGACCUCAAAGUUCAGUUUAGUUGUUUUCCUUGUCAAAAUAUCAAAAUACAGAAGUGCAUUUUCAUUGUCAAAAGCUAAAAUAGAGUUCUGACCAUUUAAGGAUAUUUUGGUCAUUUCUCAGUCCACAGAGCUCCAAAUUGGAUGAUUCUUAAGGAAUUGGAAAGCUAAUGCAAAGGACUACAACUUCAUGUUUUGUAUAAGAGCUAGUUCAGCCUUCAUCAUUAAGAAAAUGUCAGUUGAAGUUGGACUAAAAACAGAGCAAAGAGAAGACUUGACCAGAAAUGAUAAAACCUGCAAAAGAGCAAAACGUGGAUACAAUACGCAACCUUAGGUUGCAUUUUCGAGGUCACAUAUUCUUCAUUUGCAGCUGAAACUUGCUUCACACAAGAUUUUUUACUACUUUUUUUGCAAGAAUCUCGGCUGGAUAGUGCUAAUAAGUAUGGAGACAUCAAGAAGCAAUCUUUUGAUGAUUUCAAGAGCCAACUAGCACCAACCUUAACUUGAUUACUUGGAGCUUUAAUCCUCUAUAAAUAUAGGCCUUUGGGAAAUAUUUUCACAACUUUGGGAAGACUAUAGAAACUUCACAAAAAUGUAGUUUUCACUAGAAUUUCUUUAGUUCAUUAGUUAGAUUAGUAUAGUAUAAUUAGUGUAGCUUAUCCUUCUUGUAUUUAUAACUAAACUUGGAUGAAGAUUAAGGGGCAAGAUAGAGAGUUUGAUCUCAUUUGACAAGGGUGAUAUCUCUUCUACUACUUUCUCUUAUAUUUGAUUUCAUGUUUAGUUAUUAUACAAGUUUGGAUUUGAGUUUCAAUGUGUCUCUAAAGUUUAUACCUAGAGUUAUGGAUGAACUUGUUAUAUCUUGUUAGUGAUAUUUACUUAGGUAUUUGAUGAUAUUAUUUUAAACAAGUUAUUUAUCACUUUUACUUUUCUAAUCAUGAUUAACCAAUCAUUAAUUGUGAUAAUUUUAAGGUGUUAAGUUUACAAUGAGAAUUGGGAUUCAACACUAGUUCAAAAAAAUGAUAAACCCAGGGAGUCUACUCAUGAGAAUAAAGGUGCACUUAUGUGGUUUUAGUGACUUGUUUCAUGUAAUUUCAUAGAAAAAUGAACUUUAGUUGAUUUCAUAACCACGAGAGCAAGUAUGGUUUAAUUACAAGUAUAGUUGAUUUACUACGAAAGUAGGUUUCAUAUACAUUAAGAAAUUACGUCAUAACUAACCAAGAUUAUAGUAUUCAUUUAACCGGUAAUUCAUUAACGAGAGUAGUUAGAAAUUUCAUACCUCUAGAACCUUUAUAUUGUUAUUUUUAUUAUGUUUAUUUCAUGUUUGUAGUGCACAUUUAAUCUUUUACAUUUGUGAUUGUCUAAAUAAUAAAGGAAUUCGAAAGCUAUCAGUAAUUAACAAUCUUCUCUGUGAGUUCAAAGAAUGGAAGUCAGGAAUUUCAAUUUUUUGUAAUGGAGUCUGGUGGGAUGCUUAGAAAAAUUAAGACUUGAAAGCGGAUUUCAAAAGUGAUUUAAAUGAUCUGAUAUUGCAUUGUUGUGUCAACCCUAUCAAAACUUGCACCAAUUUAUUUUCAAUUGAGGUUCUCUUUUUUUUUUUUUUUUUCCCUUUUCCCCUUUUUUGGCUUUCUGGCAUUUCAUUCAUUUUUUGAAAUUUUUAAAAUUUAGGCCAGUUUAUUUUUAAUUGAAUUUUUUUUGUUCAUUUUCUUUUGUUCCUCUAUCACUUUUCACCUCUUAAGACUUUUCUUUCCUCUCUUUUUAACGCAAACUUGUUUCAAUGUAGGUUUGCGAUCCUUAGGGGUUGCCAAAUAAAAAUAAUUUAUUCUAAAGGUUCAAAAGAGAUAACUAGGGAUAGAAGGUUUGAUUGGAAAAAAAGAAGGCCUGACUUUCAUUUCAUUUUCCGCAUUAACCCUGAAAGGAAACUUUCGUUUAUCAUAUUAAACAUUUUUCACACAUAUUCGAAUUGAUCGGUUGAGGAAAAACUUGUCCAUCCAUUUCUGUGAGAACAAGUGCUCCACCAGGCAAUACCUUUUUGACAAUAAAAGAAUCUUGUCAAUUUGGGGCAAACUCUUCUUUUGGGCUUAUCUUGCACCGACAAAAGCUACUUCAACGCUUUGUCUCCUUCUUCUGAUAGUCGCGGUUUGAUCUUCUUAUUUUAAGUACGGGCCAUUCUCUUUUGAUAACACUAACCAUGACAAAUGGCAUUUAGCUAUUUCUUAUCAAGUGACUACUGACUUUUAUUUCUUUAAUCUUGAUCCCAAUUCAGCUUGAGUUUCUCUUUAUACCAUUUGGGUCUCUUUGAAAUAUUUUCAAAUGUCUCUUUGCUACUCCUAUCAUUUUGAAAUCCAAAUUUACAUUCGUGAGAUUCGAGAUUGCUGUCAUCAAAUUUUGGAACAGUAAUAGUCAAAGGGUCAGAGGAUUUUAUUGUUGGUCAUCUGAAAAGAAUGCGUAAGUAACACAGUAUAUGUAAAAUUAUACAGUUUAUUGAAUUUCAAAAUAAAGAUCAAACUUAAUAGCAUGUUACUUAUUAAACAAGACGUAUCUUCAAAAAUCACUUGAUUCAAAAUUAUUUACAAAAAUAUAGUUAAACAAAAGACACACGCAUGAAUGAUUUUCAUGGAUUUUAACCAAAGACAAUUCCUCAAAUUUAUCGAAACUCCCUUCAAGAGAGAGUGAUCUCACUAGUUCGGGAUUUUCAAAUUAUUUCAUUGGGGAUAAUGCCUCAAAGGUGUCCUUAUGUUCGGGACAGGGUUUCGUACUUAUAUUCGGUCAUUGUUCUCCCAUUUUCCUUAGCACUAUAUCUCUUGCUUCAAUCAUAUCCUGAAUUUUAUGUUUCAAUGCCCAACAAUUAUUGGUGGAAUGUCCAGGAGCUCCAGAAUGAUAAGUGCAGACGGCUUAAGGGUCAUAAUUAGGGGGAACACGCCUAGGAUAGAUCUUGGGAGGCAUAACAUCAAUUUUUCCGGCAACUUUGAGUUGUUCGUAUAAUUGAUCGAUGGGUCGGCCUUGGUUGGUGAAGGUUCGAUAUGGGGUUGGGUUUCGAAUUUUACUGUUUAGAGGAUAAGUUUGGUUAUUUGGUUGAACAGGUCUUGGAUUAUAAGGAGGGAGAAGUCGAGUUUGAAAAUUGAGUUGAAAAAUUGGGACGAGUAAUAUAAAUGGGUUUGCAUAAUUUGGCCGAGGUCGAAGGUGAUUGAUAGUAGUAUGGUAAACAGGGCGUGGGUUUGGAUAAUAUGGGUAGGGUGAUGAAUAUGUGGGGUAUUGCUGAAAUCUAGGUUGGGAAGAAAAGCCUUAGUCCCAGACUAAUGCGGCUUCCCCAUCUUUCUUUUUGAACUGAGGCGCCUUGCUACUGCUUCUUGCAUUUUGCAAGGCUUCUAAUUGCGAUUUCAGAGCUGAAACAUUAAUAAUUUUUCCCACUCUUACAAACUCAUCAUAUUCCUUCAAUUUGUUGACAAUUUCUACAAGCAAGCAUCUAGUCAUGCGAAAAUUUCCUCAAAAUAGGGCAGGUUAUGAGUUUUGAUAAAUAUUCGAACAAUUUCAUCCUCGGUCAUAGGAGGUUCCACCUUGACAGCCAAUUUCCUCCAUCGCUUCGCAUAAGUCUUGUGAUCCUCAGAUGGUUUCCUUUUAGUGCAUUUAAGCGUGGUUUUCGUUGGAGCAAGUUCACAAUUGUACUCAUAUUGUCUCACAAAAGCAGUUGACAAAUUCAACCAUGUUCUCAUUUCUUUAGAUUUUAAAUUGGAAUACCAAUCCAGAACAUCGCCUUCCAAGGUCUCCGGGAAUAAACAUAUUGGCAAAUUUUCAUCAUAUACUGGCUUUUCCAACUUAUUUGCAAAUGGUCUUAGAUGCAUCUUGGAGUUACCAGUUCCAUCAUACUUACUAAAUUUAGAUGUUUUAAAACCCAAAAGCAAUUGCAUGUCUGGAAAAAGACACAACUCAUCAUAAUCGAAACAUCAGGCUUGCCCAAUCCUUGAAUUUUUCUCAUGAAUUCAUCAAAUUUAUCUAACCUUUUCAACAAAUUUUUGUCUAUUGGGGUGGAGGAUUCACCCCUUUUCACCUUUCCUUGCAUAGCAGCAUUCACCAUGAAUGACUCAGUGGUGGUGUGAUGAGCUAUUUGAGAGUUUGGGUAAUUCUGAAACAUUUGAAUGCUGGCCAGAUUGACUUGGAUGUUAUGGGGAUAAGUAUAUGAAAAACUAGAAACAGGGUAGGUGAAAGUCUCUUCGGAUAUGUUUGCAAAUGAUGGUGCAAAGGUAACUUGGGUAUGAGAUAGAGGAGGUGGGUGGUGUUCUAUUUCAGGUUGGCUAAUAGGCAUGGGAUCAUGUUGAAUAUCGCUACUACUAGCAACCAGUUGGUCAAUCAUGCGUCUUUCGGUUGACAUUUCCACGCUCAAUUCAUUGAAUUUGUUUAACAUCUCACUCAGUUGAACUCCCAAAUUUGCAGUGUCUGCUGGAGGUGUCGUGGUGGACCUAUCAGAUUAUUCCGAAUGUGCACUCAUGUUUACACGAUUUCUCAAAACUUGACUGUGAGAUCGUGUGACGAUGGGGUUUCUUCUUAUAGUUAUGUUUACAAUUACCUAAAAAUUUAGAAAAAAUCCUAUUUCGAUUCCCUUCUUGAUUAACUGCUAUCAAAAGAAAGAAAAAGAAAAAGACACGAGUUAGUACAAAUUAAAGUAAUUUGGAUGCAUGUUCUAUUGGGGAAGCACUUUUUGUGUCAAGGAUAGCCCUAACAUGAGAAUGCAAUCCUCUAGGAUAGGCACGUACAAUACCUGAUGAAUCCGAUCAACUUAUUGAUAUUCGAGCGAAAAGCAAAUUGAAAAAAUUUGGCCAAUUGGAGUGAGAAAAGACAUAUGUUCUAACAAAAUGAGAACAAAGUCCAAAUGGAUUGAUUACUUUGAUUAACACAUACAGUGAUGUGUGAAAGAACCUACUCUUGAAAAGAUUGCAAUGUCUUGACUAGUUUAUUUAGUGAACCUUAUAUCGAAACCCUGAAAGAGAAUAAGCGGGUCAAAUGGAUCGAAUGAAAUUGGUGAACUUUGUUGGAUCGCCCUAAAAAUGGGUAAACUGGUCACAUGGAUUAAAUGAAAUUGAUGAUUGAUUCAAAAUUGACAGGAUCAUCCUAAAAAAUGAGUAAACUGGUCAAAUGAAAUUGAUGAUUUGUUCAAAAUUGACUGGAUCACCCUAAAAAAUGGGUAAACUGGUCAAAUGAAAUUGAUGAUUUAUUCAAAAUUAAUUAGAUUGUCAUAAAAAUGAAUGAAUAGAUUGAGUUAAUGAUUUAUUAAAAAAUGACUAAAUUGUUCUAAAAGUGAAUUGAUCUAAUGAUUUUGUGCUAACGGCUCUUUCUUCUUCUUUUUUUCGGUUGGCCUUUUGGCCAACCUUUCCUACUUGGCUGGCGACUUUCUUUUUUUUUUUUUUUUGCAUUGCUGAAGCUUUCUGCAAUGGCAUAUAAUAGCAGUAGCUCUCCCCCUCCCUUUCCUUUUGUUGUUAUAACUUUUCAACAUAUUUGGGUAAACCCUAUUCAUCCCAUAAUUAAAAUUUAAUAUCCUAAUCCUACUAAUCCAGAUAUGAAUCCUCUUAAAUCUCUCAUACAAGCAUAUAUAUAUAUAUAUAUAUAACAUAAUACAUAGCCGUAAAAUCUUUAGAAUAAUUAAUGCGACUAAUGGAACUUAAAAGAGAAGUUUUCACGUGAAUUUGGGACUUACAGGUUUAGGUGCCCAGUUGCCUGAUUGAUUGAUAGUGACGCCAUCUUCUCAUUCUCUACUCUCUGACGGCUCUUGCUCUAAGGGGAGGUAGACAAUGAAAGGUAUGUAUGAUGUUUUUUUUUCUUUGUUAUUUUCAUACGUGCGCUAAACCCUAAUAACCACCCAUUAGUAGAUGGGUUAGAUAAGAGUUUAAAUGUUAUGAACUUUUACUCUAUUUUAUCUCAUUUCUAUCCUCCAAUUAACCCUUUAAUCUAUCCUACACUUACUUUUACUUUUACUCAUAGUAAAUUACCAUUUAGUUAAUUGGGCAAAAAUAAAAAAAAAAAGUCAAAACCGUGGGUUUUAUAUUCUACCCCCCUUACAAAAAGUUUCGUUCUCGAAACUUACGUACCUUGAUUAAAAAAAUAGGAAUAUCUAUUUUGCAUGUCUUCUUCUAACUCCCACGCUACCUUUCGCAGUGUAUGGUUCGACCAUUGUAUUUUCACGUAGGGUAUGGUCAUUUUUCUUAGAACUUGAUCCUUCCGAUCCACGAUUUUUAAAGGGACUUCCUCCACUGACAAGUUCUCCAUCACCUCGAUGGGUUAAUUCUCGGGUCUGACACAUACUUUCUUAGUUGGAAGACAUGAAAAAUGUUAUGUAUCCUGAACAGAACAAGUGGAAGAGCCAGUCGAUACGCUAAAGGUCCAACUCUCUGCAAUAUUUCGUAAGGUCCUACAUACCUUGGACUUAAUUUACCACUUUUUCCAAACCUCAACACUCCUUUGGUGGAGAAUACUUUCAAAUAUACCUUUUCUCUCGAUUGAAAUUUUAAAGGCCUUGUCUGUAAAUCCGCCCAAUUCUUGUUUCGGUCCUGAAUUACUUUUAGUCUCUCUCAAAUAACUUUAAUCUUCUCCAAGAUUCUUUCCACCAAAUUGGGCUGGUUAUCAACGUCUUACCUAUUUCAUCCCAAUAUAAGGGAGAUCUACAUUUUCGCCCAUACAACAUUUCAACGGUGCCAUACCUAUUCCUCUAUGAUAGCUAUUAUUAUACGAGAAUUAUAUUAGUUUUACCAACCUAUCCCAACUAUCCGAGAAGUCUAGAGCACAAGCUCUCAGCAUGUCCUCCAGUGUCUGUAUGGUCCUUUCUAACUGUUUGUCCAUUUGGGGGUAGAGGGCGGUUUUUUAGUCUUAGAUCAAUCCCCAUAACCUCUUGGUAGGUCAACCAAAAUCUAGACGUGAAUCUAGGGUCCCAAUCUAGCACUACUUUCACAAUUCAUUUUUAGACUAGAUAUCACAUUCUCUCCCCCUAAAAAGGUUUCGUCCUCGAAACCUAAAAGAUAUAAACAUCAAAAUAAGUUAACAAAAUUCCCAAUAUUCUUCAAUACAUCUUAGGAAUUAUUCCUACAAUAUCUAAAUUGGAUUUCCUUAUUUAAUUCCAUCAAACUUCUGCUGCACACUCUCAUUUUUCUCAAAACCUCUCAUCUUCAUAUUUAUAUAGCUCAGAUGAACAGAAUAUCUCUGACAAAUCCAACAUUCUAAAUAUUGGCUUAUAAUGCUCCAUAGAGAUCAACCUAUAGAAAGGAUGCCAAAAACACUAACAUUACCAUUUCUUCUUUUGUCAUACAUUUUAUCACAACUUACUUAUCCACUAUUGCAAAAAAUAAUCAUUAUCUCGAUAUAUGGGUUCCUGCCCACUGUAAUUGGUAAUGAAAAUCUCUUAUUUCCUUCAAAUCCCAUAUCUAUCUAAUUUCAAAUUCCAAAAAAAAUAUCAAUAAUACCUCAAAUAGCAUCACACUUAUUUUCAAUUCCUAUAACCUGAGUUGUUAUACCAUUAAAUGCCAUGGAAAUCUUAUUUCAUUUGACCAUCAUUUUUUUUACCUCAAUUCAAUUUCCAAAACAAUAUUCAUAUUACCGUAGAACAUACCAAAACACACAAAAUUUUAUACAAAAAUUAUCGUCAAAUUCUCAUAUUUGAAUAUAAUAACUUCAUCAUAACUUUGGUAAAGUAUUUAUCUAUGCGUAGAAUUUCGAACUCAUACAAGUUUAGAAACCUGAAAGUGUUUGAAACACAUAAGUUAGUUAAUUGUACUUCUUACACCAUUAGAACUUAGAGUACGAAGAGAAUUUAUUAAGAAUUAUUGUUAGAUUCUUUCUACAUGAUAUGAUUUUUUUUUAAUGUAGAACACGUUUAUCUAUAGGUCGUUUUGAGAUUGGAAGAGUAUCAUAAAGACAUUUUGUACAGGGUUCUGGGAUACAAUUAUUUAUGGUGUUUAUUCACCUUCAUUGUUAAUUUAUGUAUCUUCGUGUGUACAUAUUUAUAGAAAUUAUACUUAUUUGAUAAAGAUACUUAUUCAAAAAUCUUGAUUAACAUUUGUUCGCGAAAUACAUUUUUUUUAAGACAAGAACUAUGUAAGAUUAUGUAUUCUAAGAAAUUUCUAAUAUAUUUAUUGACCAAGCACGAUGUAAUAAUGCCAAUAAACUAAUUGAAUAAUUAUCUGGGGCAUGAGAUCUAAUCGUUGUAAAUCUCAAUAAGAGACAAAUCUAUUCACUCUUGGCCACAUCUCCCACCGAAUAAGUACUAUUGCUAGACUUAUCAAUUUGCAUGGGAUAAGGCCACACACCUAUUAGUUGUCAUCAGUAGUGGUAAUAAUUCAAUUAGAGUAAAAUGGUAGCAGCAUCAGUAGUACUUCUAUCCAGGUAAGAGCACUCUUUAUAAAGCUCUAUUACAAAAAGAAAAGGUUCGCAACAUUUAAUUCUUCAUCCUUUGAAAAGGUUUCAUCUGUGAAGCCUAAUCCCACGUCAAGAUAAGUCUAUAUAACAUCCAAUAUCGUUGUUACCCAUCGUGCAAUUAAUUCUACACAACUUAAACCGGGUCUCUUUAUUCACUCCAUCACACUUGCUACAUACUUUUAAUUCCUUGACACUUUCAAUUUCCUAUAGACAGUACUUCAAAUAUAUAUAAUAUUUCCUACACGUCCAACACCUUAAACUUAGAUUGUACUACCAAAAUCAUAUUCAACAAAAGGACAUCAUAAACACCAAUAAUACCAUUUCAACUUAAAUCACACAUGCAAAUUUUCAAGCCUAUUUAUUCAGUCACAAUUGAUCAUUUUCUAGUGUGUAUUUCCUCUAAAGAGUAAAUCGUACCCUACGCUCUGUUAUCACUAAAUAUUAUGAAGAUCUCUUAUUUCACAAUCCUCUAUCCAACCUCAUUCAAAUUCCUAAAUUCACUAAUAUUAUAAAUAUCAUUCAACAUACAUCUAGAUCGAAUAAUCUAAACUUUGAUAACAUUAAAUAUCACGAGAAUCUCUUAUUUCCUUUAAUCCACUUUUUUUUCCAUCUCAUUUCAAUUCUUAAAGUUUCUAAUACCUCAAACACCAUUUACAUACUUUCGGAUCAUAUAACCUAAACUUUGAUACCACUAAAAAUGUCAUAGGAAUCUCUUAUUUCCUUUGAUCUGUUUUUCAUCUCCUUUCAAUUUUCAAAAUCAUUAAUAUCCAAACAUCAUUUCUCAUACUCCCGGACCAUUAACUUAGGCUCUGAUACUACUAAAAAUGUCACGCGCCGAGACUGCACGUGCUAGUCACAUAACAUUUGCCGUAUCAUCAAGUCUCGUUCAAGAAUACAAGGCAACAUCGAACUAGACUAAAUUCAAAAAGUACUAAAUAGUAUAACUAAAGAAAGUGUGGUACAAAUUUCCAAUGAAGGAUGGUCUACGAAUAUUCAAUAAGUUCGUACAUUUAUUCUCUGGUUGAAAUAGCGGAAACAAAAGUAAAUAAAACUAACAACUAGAAGUAACUAGCAUGCUAACUUUUGUUAAUUUAAAAACUAAUAAAAGUCCUCCUCAGAGUCUUCUACGUAAAUCAACUCAUACUUUUCAAAAUCUGCAAAGAUGGUAAAAAGUGGGUUGAGCGACAAGUCGUUUAGUAGGUAAUAUCUACUCCUGUGUUGAACCAUACACUCAUAACUUUAUAGAUACAUACAUACAUAAAUCAAAUUAUUUUCACAUUAUUCACAUCAAUAAUCAUGAAAAUAAUGUUAUCGGUAAAACAAUUAGUAGUAAUGAGUGACAAAGCAAUUUUAAAUCAUCUUAUUGGUAACCGUACAUGAAAGUCAUAAAGUCAUAGAUCAUUUCAUAUCAAUUCAUAAGUCUCUUCAUAUCAGCUCACAAUAAGUAUAUGUAAUGACCAACUAUUGAGUACUCCGACUAGAGAUUAAACCCAUUAGAUGGGCAACCAAUAGGUUUCAUGACAACCGAUUGGUCUCAUUACAUACAUGAGUCAAUUGAUCGGACUCUAUACCAAACUACCAUGAUCUUGUCAAUCGGCUUAUCUCUAUAUCAGGAUACCAUGACCAUUAGACACGACUAUAGGCCCUACCGUCUAUUCCAUGGCUGUUUUGAGCUUUUCUUGACAUAAAUUCAUUUUACACGUCACAUGCGUAGUUCUUGAUUUCAUAAAAGGUACAGCUCAUUUGAUAUAUAAUAACAUAUCAAGAAGUUUCAAAUAAGUCACAUGGUCUAUUUUUGUAUAGUCAAAAUAGAACUUGUUUAAACAGUCAAGUAAAUCAUUCAAUCAAAAUAAUUCAAAUUAACACGUAAAAAUAGAAUCGAUGACAAAAAUUUUACUUUAAACUUUUAAAAUCUCAAAAGGGUAAGUACCAUCUACCUUUAUUCGGCUGCUCGAGUGGAACUACCUUAGAUCUUUUAAACUUGUAUCGUACAUAUCAAAUGCAUAGGUAUUCUAAUUAGUUGAUAUAUCUUAUAAAUGUAUAAAUAUACUAACUCUGAGUAAGUUUAAGAUUCAUGUCUGAACCCUUAUAUGAACCCUAGUAGAGUUUUUUUCCUAAAUUCAGAAGUUUCUAUUUUUGGAAAGUUUUUUAAUUUCGAAGGUUUUCCUUUUUGUAAAGUUUCCUAAUUUAGAAAUAAUUGUUCGUAAUUACAUUUAUUAUCUUGACCAUUGUACGUAUUUAACUAUACAUAUAUAUUUAUUAUUAUUUUAUUAUUCAUUGUUAUUGUUAUUGUCCUUGUCAUCACUAUUUUAUUGUAUUAUCAUUUAUAUAUAUAUAUUUGUUAAUUAGUUACUAUUAUCUUUUGCUUUACUUCCUUUUUUUUGCGCAUGUGUAGGUGUUAUUAUUAUUUAUAUGUAUAUAUAUAUUGGCUUAUUAUUAUAAUUAUUGCCUUAGUUUAUUUCACUUGUAUUUAUAUUUUCAUUUUAUUUUCAUUUUUAUCUUUAAUUUACUUCAUCUAUAUCUAUAUUGCCAUUAUUAUUGUUAUUAUUUUAAGCAUUUAAAAGAAAUCUAAAACCUAUCUUAUAUUGUAUAACUUAAUCUAAUAGUGAUAGAUUAAAAUGUCUUAGAUUUCUAUUUAAAUACCUUAAGCCUAAUUAAAUAAGCCCGACUAGCGAAAUCUUUUAAAAUAUUCACUUAAUUUAGGUUGGGUCUGGAAAUUUAGUUUCUAUGUUAGUCCAAAAAGGUGGGUUGAUUUUACCUAAAAUUUAAUUAUUGGACAUUCACUUAACCCAUAUUAUAUAUAUAUAUAUAUAUAUUAUUCAGAAUCUAUUACUAUUAAUAUGAAUUUUUUUUUUGGUUUCGGCCAACCUUUCUAAUGGAACCUUAAGUGCUAGCAGCUCUUUCUUCCUUUUUUUUUCGGUUGGCCUUUUCCUACUUGGUCCAUGUCGCCAGCCACUUGCUGGCGACUUUCCUUUUUUUUUUUUUUUUUUUUUUUUUGCAUUGCUGAAAGCUUCAGCAAUGGCAUGCCGCUGCUCUCCCGUUCCCCUUCUUUUUUUUUUUUUUUUAUAACUUUUCAACAUAUUUGGGUAAACCUUAUCCAUACCAUAAUUAAAUUUAAUACCCUAAUCCUACUAAUCCAGAUAUGAAUCCUUCUAAAUCUCUCAUACAAGUAUAUAUAUAUAUAUAUAACAUAAUACAUAGCCGUAAAAUCUUUAGAAUAAUUAAUGCGACUUAAAAGAGAAGUUUUCACGUGAAUUUGGAACUUACAGGUCUAGGUGCCUAGUUGCCUGGUUGAUUGAUAGCAACGCCUUCCUCUCCUUCUCUAUUUUCUGACGACUCUUGCUCUAAGGGGAGGUAAACAAUGAAAGGUAGGAAUGAUGUUUUUUUUUUCUUUGUUGUUUUGAGAAAUACGCUAAACCCUAAUAACCACCCACUAGUAGAUGGGUUAGAUAAGAGUUUUAACUGUUAUGAACUUUCACCCUAUCUUAUCUCAUUUCUAUCCUCCAACCCUUUAAUCUAUCCUACACUUACUUUUACUUUUACUCAUCGUAAAUUAUCAUUCAGUUAAUUGGGCAAGAAUAAAAAAAAAAUGAGCCAAAACUGUAGGUUUUACACUUAAAUAGCAGAAUUUUUCUUAAAUGGGUAAAAUACCAAAAAACUCCUUAUGGUUUACUAAAUGUUUAAUUUAACUUCCUCUGAUUUGAAAACCUACACUACAACUCCUUGUGGUUUGAACUAAUUUGAAAAUUGGACGGUAAGUGUCCAAUCUAACUGCUAUACGUGAAAUGUCAAUAUUGCCCCUAUAUAAAUAACCUCCCUAUAGUUUGUCGAAUGUUCAAUUUAACUCCUUCUAAUUUGAAAAAUUACACUAUAACUCCCUGUGAUUUUGACUAAACUGAAAAUUGAAUAGAAAGUAUCGUACAUAUAGUGGGGCAAUAUUGACAUUUCACACACAACCGUUAGAUUGGAUGGUUUCUAUCCAAUUUUCAAUUUAGUGAACACCACAGGGCGUUAUAACGUAGGUUUCCAAACUAGAGGGAGUUAAAUUGAACAUUUAUCAAACCAAAGGAAGUUUUUUGACAUUUUACCCUCCUUAAAUCCGUGUACUAACUGGCUACAUAUGUGUGUGAAGUGCAUUUGAAUUGACAGAAAACCUGUCAACUGCUCAAUGAGAAAGCCACUUCACGCACAUACGCAGCCAAUUGGUAGACGGAUUAAUGAAAGAGAAAGGCACAACCAAUGAGAACGAGACACAAAGUAACUGGUAUGCAUAACACUGAAAAGUUGUAUUACUUCUUCCAUCCCAUUAAAAGUGUAAUAUCUUCUAUUUUGAAACAUUCCAAAAUGUUUGUCAAAUUAAAGUCACUUUUGAUUUUUUUUUAAUGUUGUCCUCAUCUUUAUCGAUAUUUUAUACUAAAUUCAAAUUUAAAACUUGAAUUUUUAAAGGUAAUUUUGGAAACGAAUCCUCUAACAACACUAUCAAUCCACUAUUAUUAAAAAGUUGAAAUCCUAAAAUGCAACAAACAUUUCGGAGAGAGUAUAAUUCAAAGAAUUAUAUGUCAAACGUAGGCACAACAUGUUUUGUCCAUGUGAAAUGUGACACAUAACGUUCAAGCUGAAAUGAAACGUGUUAGUAGCGUAGAGCACUAAUAGGCAGUGUUUUGAAACCUGAGUUGAACCGGCCGGUUCAACUGGUUAGAUCGCGAACCAAUCACGGCUCCAGUCCUAGUACUUUCCACUUACAUCAUUUUCACACUUUUUUAGGGACAUUUGAGGAGAUGUUGCGGCAACAUUUUGGGAGCUCCAAGACCGCUUUUUCUUGAUUCUCUGGCAACAAGAAACAAUUAGAAAUAUAUAAGUAAAAACUUAGUUUUCUUGAACAUAUUUCUCUAGUUUUUUUAGUUAGCUUAGUCUUUCAUUUUUCUUGGAGAAUUCUUGGAGAACUCUUGAUGUGCUCAAUAUUUUGAAGACAAUGAAGAUAAUGGCAAUUGAAAACUCUUGUUUCUUCAAUUGAAUGAGUAAUUUUUUCACUCCUUCUUUCUUUAUUGUUGGAUUUAUGUUUGGUUGCUGAUAAGUUACAUUUUUGUUAUUAAAUUUGUGAUUAUUUCCCCCUUGAUUUUAGCCAAAUAUUGUAUUAAUGGAUAAAUUCUACUCAUAUUUGGUAAUUUGUACUAAUUGUAGGAAUAUGACGAGAAAAGGAGUAAAAAGUGGUUUAAUGAAAAUUUUUAGCCAGUUCUUUGUGGGCCCGUUCAAAUCCUACUAUCAAGUCUCGGAGGCUCAAGAUUUUACUACGAGUGGUCGUAUCCCAGUUCGAAUGGAAUUUCUUCGAAGCAUGUUUCCUUAUCUGAGAUAAUUGGUCUUUCUUUUUGUAUUAAGAAACAAAUAGGUUAUAUUUUGUCAAUUUAGGGAAUCUCCAUUUCUUUGGAGAAAAUUAGGAAAUAUUAGUUGUUUAGGAAAGUAAGAGACGUGAGAACAAGGAAGUCUUCUUGUUUGCGUUGGCUUUAAAAAGUCACGGUUGUUUUUAGCAAAAAGGGUGAUUAGUCUCGGUAGUCGGCACCAAUGAAGAACGAAGAGUUUUUCUCUUCGUCUCUUCUUUUCUAUUGCUCCUUCUAUUGUCGAACCUCAGGCAACUUUUGUCAACGAAAUUGCCUAAGUUAUUUUCAAUGGAAAGCAACUAAUCCCUUUUUCUAGUCAAGGGUCAAUUUGAAGAUACGGUUUCAAAUAUCUAUGAGAUUGAAUUAUUUUUAUUUAUUUCUUUUAUUCAUUAGUAUUCGUACGUCUUCUGUUUCAACUUCUUAUGAUUAUUUUGUUAUUUGAAUGUCAAGGACCCGAUAUUUGAAUUAAUCUAAUAAUCUACUACCAUAUUAAUCAAUUAAAUUCGUAAUUGUUUGAUUGAUUAAUACUAGUGGCAACUAGCAUGAUUGGUUUCAUGUUAGGAAAAUGUAUAAUCUAACUUCAAUGAACCUUCGUUGCGUAUUUGUUAGUUAGAAUUGGGUUUUUUCUAAUGUUUAAUGCAAUUGGAAAAUUAAACCUAUGAUCAUACCUAGAGUUGUUUCUUGGUUAGGAAAAUAAUUAGUGGUUGUACCUUGACUAUCGGUAAACUAAGGAAAAAUUGGCUAUCAAAACUUAUUGAUGGUUUGAUGUGUGCACGGACCUCAGACCACGUAAUGACCCAAUCCGAGUUCCAUUAUGCCCAGUCACACGUGCACGAGCCAAGCUCUUCAAAGAAUUCCUCCAAGGCCUUGUCCGAAUGGUCCAAGACCAACAUGGAAUCCAUAGAGAUAUUGAAGGCCUAGAAGGAGACAAGCAAGUCAUCUACACCAUGAUCCAAACCCAUGAAAAGUCAAGUAGGCCUUCAAGUGAGUUGGUCGAAUAGGGCUUUAAGCCUUAGUGUUUACUUCGAGUUAGAUUAGUCACUUUAGUAGAGUAGGGGCCGGCCAUCUUGACACUAAGAUGGCCGACUGCUUCCCUUAGGGUUUUUAGGGUUUUUAGUAACCUUUAACCUAUAAAAGGCUAGUUUUGUAAGGCUUGAAGGUAGAUGUUUUAUAAAUAAAACUUUCGAUUAUUUUCGAGCCUUUUAUUUGCUUUGGCAAGGGUUGUGAACAAUCUUGUGUCUUGUCCUAGAUUGUUCUACCGACCUAUCCAUUAGAGUAAUCACCUCUGUGGAGUCGUCGUUCUACUGCCUAAAUCAAAUCGUGUCGUCCGUUUGAUUCUAGGUUCAGCAAUCCAAGCGUUGGACAACCUCACUAGAUCCUUGGGCAAACGUGCUACGUGUCUCGAAUCGAGGACCGUAUCAUAGUUAUAACCAAUUUAUUAAUGAGUGAUUAAAUCAUCCUUGCAUCAAUGAUCAACUGUAUGAAUCGUAUCUGAAAAGUUGUAGCUUUGAUUAGAGUCAUAUUUAUUGUUGAUUUAAUUCCUAUUUAUUUCGUUAAUUGUUUCUUUAAUUGGUUAGUGAGUUAUUUCUAAAUUGUCUAAAAAUUUCCCUUACUUUAGGCUUUAAAAAGAGACAAAUUUUUCUCAAUCCCUGUGAAUUCGACCCUACUCAUCACUAUAUACAAAAAUUUGUAUUUUUUUUAAUAGGUAUUUAUUAUUACACAAUCUCGACACCUCUCAGUUGCAUUAAAGCCUUAAGCUUUUCUAUUCUAUCUACUAUUUUUUUUUUAUUCAAAAGGCAAUUUUAUUAAGUAGAAAGCAUGCACUUGUUUUUCAGAUAUGUAUGCAAAAUGUGGAAGGUUGGACCUAGCACGUCUAGCUUUCAUCAGAAUUUCCAAAAAAGACACUGUUUCUUGGAACUCGAUGAUUACUAGCUGUUGCUAGAAUGCAAAGCCGGAGGAAGCAAUUGAUCUUUUCUAUCAAAUGGGUUUAGGAGGAGCAAAAUAUGACUCUGUUAGGAUAUCUGCAGCUCUUUGCGCAUGUGCAGACUUACAAGCACUGCAUUAUGGCAAAGUAAUACAUGGAUUCAUGAUUCGAGGAGCAUUUAGCUUAGAUCUUUAUGCUGAGAGCGCAUUGAUAGACAUGUAUGCUAAAUGUAGACACUUAGAAUUAGCAUGUACUGCUUUUGACUUGAUGAAGUGCAAGAUCGAAGUUUCUUGGAAUAGCAUAAUUGCUACUUAUGGGAACCAUGGACACCUUGAGGAUGCUUUGGCUCGACUAAAUGAAAUGAGGGAAAAUGGAUUCCAGCCUGACCAUGUCACUUUCCUCGCCAUAAUAUCUGCUUGUGGCCAUACUGGCCAAGUUGAAGAGGGCAAGCAACUUUUUGAGUGCAUGACCCAAGGAUUUGGAAUUACAGCUCGAAUAGAACACUAUGCAUGCUUAAUAGAUUUGUUUGGCCGAGCAGGUCGUCUUGAAGAAGUACAUCAAGUGAUUAGGAGCAUGCCAUUUACUACAGAUACUGGCAUAUGGGACAUGCUACUCAGAGCCUGCCAUGUCCAUGGCAACGUUGAACUAGUUGAAUUGGCUUCAAAUCAUUUUUUUGACUUGGACUCGCAAAAUUCUGGAUAUUAUAUGCUCCUAUCACAUGUGAAAGCUAACGCUGAAAAGUGGGAAGGGCUUAACAAAGUAAGAAAUAUGAUGAAGGAAAGAGGAGUGCAGAAAGCUCCUGGUUACGACGCAAUCUCGCAACUCAGGAAUACGUGGUUUAACAAUUCUUCAUUCGGGCAGAAGAGACAUUUUGAUGGGAGGUUGAAACCAAACUAUUGUAAAAUUUCUGGAAAAGGCAGCAAGGAGUACAGCAACUGCCACAUGAAGCUGGAAAUUUUGUAUGGUAGUCGUUUAUCCCAAAUCAGCAGAUGUGAGACCAUUGGGUCACUUUGUGAGCGCAGCUGCUGUAGUGCUGAAGAUAUGCUAAAGAGUCCAUUGGAUGAGGGACACCAUGCUAGAUGAUCAUCACCAUUUGAGAUCGAGAUUUGGGGAGAUCCGAAUGUCAUGUAUCUCACUAGGGGAUAAGGCACUCUCGACAGGUUGUAAGUUCCAAAACCCAUUUUCCAAACAAUUGCUGACUUGCAGUCCCGGGCAAGGGACAUAUGCCUUCCCUAUAGCAAGAAAGCCCAUACCCAACAAGUUUUCAAACCAAAAGGAUGAACGACCUGUGCAUAUCAACCGUCACGAGUGAUCCUCCGCAAAAUCUCGAGCUCAUAGCAAUCAUCGCCAUGUCUUCGAUCCUUUGCUGGACAUUGGUACCUGGGUUAAAUGUGUUGGGAAAGGGGUACCAAUACAGACACACAAUAUCAGAGAUAGCCCAGGAUAAAUUUCUCUUUCCCCAAGUACCAGUUAAAAUAGGAAUAAAUCAAAUCACCAAAUAAUAAUACCAACUGUGAUAAUAAAAUGCAAGGAAAAAUAAAGGGCACAGGACACCAAGAUUUUUACGUGGAAAACCCAAAUUGGGAAAAACCACGGGACCUAAUCCAGUCAAAAAUCUCCACUAUCACAAUAAUGGGAAUACACAGGUCUACCCGAAAUAUUCGGAUGACAAUAAUAUCACCAAUAUCAACCAAGCUAAUCUGCUACAAAAUCAUCCCCCAAAAAACUACAACUGUCAAAGAAGUGGGUUUGGAAAGGUGUUACCAAACGAAAAGGAAAUCCGAAAUCUGAAUCGGUAGAUGAGUAGAGCUCGAUGAGAGGAUCCCGUGUGUAAAGUUUCGUCUCAAUCGGGUUUGGAAUCGCCCUCCAAUCAAGACCUUGAAGUCUCUCUCUCUAGCCCUUUCUCUCUCUUCGUCUCACUCAAAAAUAAGUGGCGGCUGCUGCUUGUCCUUUUUAAACUUGAGAAACCCUCAAGUGUUGUAUUAGUGGGUUGGCCCACAAAUGGGCUGGCCCACCCAACAAUCUCCCCCUCCAGCUCAUUUGGGGGGCUCCAUCAAACCUGCUUCUUGUCUACAAAAUAAAAGCUUCUCCUUAGGCAAUGCCUUGGUAAACAUGUCAGCACCAUUAUCAUCUGUAUGCACUUUCUCAAGUGUCAACAACUUGGAGUCCAAUACUUCUCGAAUCCAAUGAUACCUCACAUCAAUAUGUUUGGAUCGAGAGUGAAAUGUAGAGUUCUUACACAAAUGAAUAGCGCUCUGACUGUCACAGUAAAGGCUAUACUUCUCUUGUUUCAUACCCAAUUCCUGAAGGAAUUUCUGCAACCAAAGAGUCUCCUUGCAUGCUUCAGUGGUUGCAAUAUACUCUGCCUCCAUACUAGAAAGGGCGAUGCACUUCUGUAACUUACUUUGCCAUGACACUGCUCCCCCUGCAAAAAUCAUCAAGUACCCAGAUGUGGACUUCCUAUUAUCAAGAUCACCUGCCAUAUCUGCAUCAGUGUAUCCAUCUAGCAUAGUUUUACCAUUGCCGAAACAUAGACACAAUCUAGGAGUUCCCUUGAGAUACCUGAGAAUCCAUUUGACAGCAUUCCAAUGCUCCUUACCGGGAUUAGAGAGAUACCGACUGACCACUCCAACUGCAUGAGCAAUAUCUGGCCUGGUGCAAACCAUAGCGUACAUCAAGCUACCAACGGCUGAAGCAUAAGGAACCUUCUUCAUGUCUUCUUUAUCUUUCUCACUUAUAGGACAUUGCUUGAUAUUCAAUUUAAAGUGCCCUGCAAGUGGAGUUGAGACUUCCUUAGCCUUGCUCAUGUUAAACCUGUUGAAUACUUUCUCAAUGUAUUUUUCUUGAGACAACCAUACCUUCCCAUUUUGCCUGUCACGUGAGAUUUUCAUCCCCAAUAUCUGUCUAGCCGGACCCAAAUCCUUCAUUGCAAAGGAUUUACUUAACUCCUUUUUCAACCUGUCAAUCUUUACAGUAUCAUGACCAACAAUCAACAUAUCAUCAACAUAUAGCAAGAGAAUAACAAAAUCACCAUCUGAAAAAUUUUUCACAUAAACACAGUGAUCAGAUGUAGUCCUGUAGUACCCAUGGUCUGCCAUGAAGGAGUCAAACUUCUUAUACCACUGUCUCGGUGCCUGUUUCAACCCAUACAGGCUCUUCUUGAGACGGCAUACAAGGUUUUCCUUGCCACUUUCUUUGAACCCUUCCGGUUGCUCCAUGUAGAUCUCCUCUUCCAAGUCGCCAUGCAGGAAGGCUGUCUUCACAUCAAGUUAUUCAAUCUCCAAAUUCAAACUAGCUGCAAUACCAAGAACAACUCGAAUUGAUGACAUUUUUACUACAGGAGAGAAAAUUUCUUCAAAAUCUAUACCUUUCUUUUGACUAAAUCCCUUCACAACCAAUCUUGCUUUAUACUUUGGUUGUGAUGUGUGCUCCUGAGUUUUCAACCUAAAAACCCAUUUGUUCUUCAGAGCUCUCUUACCCUUAGGCAGUUUCACUAAGUCAUAAGUAUGAUUCUCAUGCAGGGACAUCAUCUCCUCUUGCAUGGCUCGCAACCAGUCUUCUUUAUUCUCAUGGUCUAGAGCCUCACUGUAGGACUCUGGCUCUCCUCCAUCUGUCAACAACAAAUAUUCAUGAGAAUUAUACCUGCUAGAAGGUCUCCUCUCUCUGGUAGAUCUUCUAGGCUCUUCUUGUUGUGGCGGUGGUGGUGUAGGUGGCUCCUCAUGUUCAGGUUCAUCAGCAGUAGGAUUAUUACCAUCAUCAAUAUCCUCUUUCUGCUCUGUCUCAGCUCCCCCUUAAUUAAAAUCAACAGGUACUGGAAUUGGAUCUGGAUCUGAAUUUGAGCUAGCAGGAAUGUCAUCCGAGGAUUUUGAGUUAUCACCUUUAUCAAUGUCUUCAAUGGUUUGAUCUUCAAAGAAGACAACAUCUCUGCUCCUGAUCACCUUCUUUUCAAUAGGAUCAUACAGCCUAUAACCGAAAUCUUCAUGUCCAUAACCCAAGAAAAUGCACUGCUUUGAUUUUACAUCAAGUUUUGACCUUUCAUCUUUGGGAAUAUGAACAAAUGCCCGGCAACCAAAAACUCUCAAGUGCUUAAAAGAUAUAUCUUUUCCCGUCCAUACUCUCUCUGGGAUGUCACCAUCUAGAGGAACUGAUGGAGAAAGAUUAAUUAAAUCGACCGCAGUCCUCAUUGCCUCACCCCAAAAGGAUUUUGGCAAUUUAGCAUUAGAGAGCAUACAUCUGACCCGUUCAGUGAUGGAUCUGUUCAUCCUCUCUGCUACUCCAUUUUCUUGAGGAGUUUUUGGCACAGUCUUUUCCAAUCUGAUCCCACGGGACUUGCAAUAGAUUUCAAAUGGUCCUCUAUACUCACCACCAUUAUCAGCACGUACACACUUUAACUGCUUACCAGUUUCUCUUUCAACUUUGCUAUGGAAGUCUUUAAACACAUCCAAAACCUGAUCUUUUGAUUUCAAACCAAAACACCAAAUCUUUCUAGCAAAGUCAUCAAUAAAGGUUACAAAAUAAACAGCACCACCAAGAGACUUAUCUUUCAUAUAGCAGACAUCAGUGUGCACCAAUUCUAAAUGAUUCAAUUUUCUAGAUGGAAGAAAAUUUUGAAAUGCAACUCUGUGUUGUUUCCCAUAAAUGCAGUCAACACAAGGUUUAAGUGCAUUACCUCUAAUUUCAGGUAGGAGUUGUUUGCGAACAAGUGUCUGAAUCCCCUUUUCACCCAUGUGUCCAAGUCGCCUAUGCCAAAGGUCAAUCGAGGAAUCACGAACUGCAUUCACUUCUCCCUUCCUCAACUUGGCUUGCAUCACGUAGAGGGUGCUGUGCUUCUUUCCUCUGGCAACAACGAGAUUUCCUUUGCUGAGUUUCCAUUUGCCUUCACCUUGCGAGCUAUAAUAGCCCUCAUCGUCAAGUUUUCCUGUAGAAAUAAGGUUAAGUCGAAUAUCAGGAACAUGUCGAACAUUUCUCAAUAUUAGCUGACACCCGGUAUCUGUGUCCAAGUAUAUGUCUCCCAUGCCAACAACUUUGCAUGAGACCUCAUUUCCCAUCCUAACACAUCCAAAAUCUCCUUCGGUGUAGGUUGAGAAGAAAUGCCUGUGAGGAGUAACAUGGUAGGAUGCACCUGAAUCAACUACCCAGUCACUGUCAUAGUGAAUAAUAUUCACCUGACCAUCAUCACAGAACACAAACAUGUCAUCAUGGGCUGCUACAACUGCUGUAGUGUCCUCAUCAUCUUUUUCCUUCGCCUUACCCUUUUUCUCAGCCUGAUCCCGUUUUAGAAUUCUACACUCCUUCAUAUAAUGUCCAUUCUUUUUACAAUAAUAGCAUGCAACAUUUUUUCGCGACUCAGACCUGCCUCUGGAUUUGUCAUUCCUGUUGUGGGGUCCUCUACUUUUGCUUCUCCCUCUUCUUUCUUUCUUUUCUGUCACCAGGGCCUGGGACUCAUAGACAAUUCCUUAUUCCUUUCUCCUGAACUCUUCAUUCAUCACGGCCUCUUUUGCAAUAGCCAUGGUCAACACACCAUUCGGAGCUGAAUUACUGAUGGAGACCACCAUGGUUUCCCAACUGUCCGGUAGUGAACUGAACAAUAAUAAAGCCUGCACUUCAUCAUCCAGAUUCAAAUUUAAUGUAGUUGCCUGGUUUAUCAAUCCCUGAAAAUUACUCAAGUGUUCAGUCAUAUCUUCCCCAUCCUUAUAUCUCAUUCGAGUAAUCUGCUUCAGACAACUAGCCUUAUUCAAACCUGUCUUUCUUUCAUACAUACUCUCAAGCCUUUUCCAUAAUAUAUCAGCUCUGGUGUCAUUAGCAAAAUGUUGAAAAAUACUUUGACCAAUCCAUUUUCUAAUAUUACCAACAGUUUUUCUGUGCAUAUUAGCCCAUUUUUCAUCACUCAUAUCACUUGGUCUGCAUUUAUCCCCUAGAACAGGUUCAAACAAAUCUCUACAAUACAAGUAGUCUUCCAUUCUAGGCUUCCAAAUUGAAUAAUUAGUGGCAUUCAAUUUUAUCAUGCAACCACUAUCUGAAUCAUCCAUUUUAACAGGUACAAUUGAGCAGCCUAACCUGACUGCUCUGAUACCACUUGUUGGGAAAGGGGUACCAAUACAGACACACAAUAUCAGAGAUAGCCCAGGAUAAAUUUCUCUUUCCCCAAGUACCAGUUAAAAUAGGAAUAAAUCAAAUCACCAAAUAAUAAUACCAACAGUGAUAAUAAAAUGCAAGAAAAAAUAAAGGGCACAGGACACCAAGAUUUUUACGUGAAAAAUCCAAAUUGGGAAAAACCACGGGACCUAGUCCAGUCAAAAAUCUCCACUAUCACAAUAAUGGGAAUACACAGGUUUACCCGAAAUAUUCGGAUGACAAUAAUAUCACCAAUAUCAACCAAGCUAAUCUGCUACAAAAUCAUCCCCCAAAAAACUACAACUGUCAAAGAAGUGGGUUUGGAAAGGUGUUACCAAACGAAAAGGAAAUCCGAAAUCUGAAUCGGUAAAUGAGUAGAGCUCGAUGAGAGGAUCCCGUGUGUAAAGUUUCGUCUCAAUCGGGUUUGGAAUCGCCCUCCAAUCAAGACCUUGAAGUCUCUCUCUCUAGCCCUUUCUCUCUCUUCGUCUCACUCAAAAAUAAGUGGCGGCUGCUACUUGUCCUUUUUAAACUUGAGAAACCCUCAAGUGUUGUAUUAGUGGGUUGGCCCACAAAUGGGCUGGCCCACCCAACAAAAUGUGACUGUUGCCCGUAUUUCACAAACAUGAAACGGGUCCAUAACGUAGAGGUAGUUUGUAGCCACCACCAAAGCUUGCAACUAAAUGCCUGCAGCACAGCCUCUAGUGCCAUGAACCCUAAGCCAUUCUUCUCAACUGGUUUACAUAGUUCUUCCAUUCCCUCUAAUAUCUUCUCUCCUUCCCCUCCACCUAGCCAUAGAAGAAGGUAGUAAAAAUGCAUUCCAUUUGUCGUAAAGUACUUGUUGGGGGCUCCAAAACAGCCAUGAUAUGUUGGGGAAUUGACGUCAGGACGUGCUUGAUAAGCAAUUGCGCGAUCCCCAGCUGAUAAUGCCUUGGUUUUCCAGCCAGCUAGCUUCGUUCUCAUUUUGUCAAUUAUAUGCUGAAAAUUCACUCGACUUGGUCUGCCUUUUGUUAGCAUGUAGCCUAGCUAUUGAAAAGGUAACUAGUGACCUUUAAUAUCUAGCUAUUGGGAUAUCUGCCAUGAUCUAGCCGUCGAGCAUCGUAAGGAGAUAAUAAAGAAGCUCUUGUCUUUAUUGAUUUGCUGCACCGAGCCCACUUGAUAAGUGUCGAGAAACUCUAGUAGUGAUUUGAUGUCUGUUCAGUGCCCUUUCAUAAAGAGCAAGACAUCGUCGACAAAGCUCAAAUGUGCAAUUGGGAUACAUUCCCUCAGGAGGCCGAAUGGAGAGAGUUUACCUGUCGAGAGUAGGGCAUUCAAGCCUCGGUUGAGUGCUUCAGCAACUAGUAGGAAUAAGUAUAGGGAGAGUGGAUCUCCUUGUUUGAUUCCCCACUCACCUUGGAAGAAGCUUAAGGGCUUGCCAUUGAUAAGCACUGAAAAUCAUGCUCCUUGAAGAUUGUUCAUGACCAAGGAAAUAUACCAGCCACUAAAUCCAAAUUUACAUAGCAACUUGGAUAGAAAUUGCCAGGAUACGAAGUCAAAGGCCUUCAUCAUAUCCACCUUGGGAAUCAUGUUGUGGCCCCGAGUUUUUGUGUCUAUCGAUUUCGACAAUUCUUGGGCCAGAAGGAUAUUGUCUGAUAUUUCCCUCCCUUCGACAAAAGCAGAUUGCUCCGAUGAUAUUAGAGUAGGCAUCAAUGAUUUCAUUCGCAUGCAAAGAAUCUUCGUGAGUACCUUUUUUAGGAAGGUGCAAAGACUUAUUAGUUUAAACUCGACAAAUGUCUGCAGCUGUUCUUUUUUUGGUAGCAGUAUGACUAAGGUGCUGGCAAUACUUUUUGGUGUUGGAACCUCACAAAAAAACCCUCGACUGCUUGCAACAGGUCUUGAGCUAUUAUGUCCCAACAAGUCGUGUAAAAGAACCUCGUAAAACCAUCCACCCCUGCUGCACUUUGGCCAUCCAAUGCAAAACAGCCUUUUUGACUUCCUCCAAUGUAACUUCGCUCGUUAAAUCCUUGUUUUGUUGGUGUGUAACCAGCCUUAGAAUCGAAGCCAACAAUUCUUCAAUUACUGGCUCACAAUUAGGAGUGUUUUGGCAGGACAACAAGUUUUUGUAGAAAGUUGCUGCACUCUGACCUAUAGCCUCCUCGUCUUCUAACAUGUUCUCAUCUACCCCCCUUACUUGACGAAUUGAGAGGCAUGCCCGCUUGGAUAUUAGAGUGGAAUGGAAAAAUUUUGUGUUGGAAUCUCCCUCUUUCAGCUAUCGUAUUCAUGCUUUUUGUUUCCAGAACAUUUCCUCAUCAGCAAGUGUCUUAAGCAGCCUUGCUUGUGUGUGGCUCUAUUGGGUCCUCGCCUCUUUUGUCCCUUCCUCCUCCAGCAAGAUCUCGCAUGCUCUAACUUCUUCUUCUGCUGCUGCUACAUCCUUGAAAACAUCUCCAAACAUGUCUUUGUUCCACUACUGAAGGUCAUGUUUGAGGCGCUGGAGCUUGAAGAAGAAAGUGAACAUGCCAUAGCCUUGAACAGCUUGCUCCCAACUUUGGUGAACCGUGUCAAGGAAUGUUGGGUGCUGGACCCACAUAUGCUAGAAUUUGAAUAACUGUGGAGUAGAGGCGCUGUGUUGCUUAACUUUCAUCAAAAGGGGCAAAUGAUCUGAUCCUGUUCUAUUCAAAAGUUGUAGCGAGUUAUCUUGAAAACACUGUAGUCAUUUAAGUUUACUAGCAGUCCAUACCAUUCUAAGUUUACUACCAUCUGAUUUACGGUGAACUUGGUCAACACAAAGUUUAUUCUAUCAAGGUUACAAAGAAUAAAAUUGCAUCCAUUUUUCAACUAAGGUACGAACCCUGAAUAAGCUAGCUAGCUAUCUAGUUUGUUUCAUAUAACAAGCAAUGAGCAUCUGAUCAUCAAAGAGACAGAGAAAUGAUAACCUCAACAACCAAGUCGUUUAUUGCCAUCUCAAGUAAGUCUAUGGUAUUCAGGUCGUCGAAUUCAUCUCCUUUACUAAUGCAAGUAAGGAGCAUUCGACCACGAGAAAGUAACUUUUCUGAACGAAUCCUUAGAAAUGUGGACGAGCGGACGACUUACUUUGGAAGAGUAAAUGCUCCGUUUGUUCGCACUGAUCCCCAAUUCAAUCACCAAACCGUUGGGAACCUGCAGUCUAAAGCUGGUAACUUAUAUAGUUGGAUCGUUUUGUUAGUGUUGCAUAUGGGAAUAUAAAUCAUAAGCCACGAAUUAAAUUGUUAAUCUCAUUUCUUAACUGCAAUAGUUUACCUCAUUUAAUUGUUAAUCAUGCUUCAUUUAAAUGCAUUUAAUUAGUAAAUUUUAGGAAUUUUAUGUUUAUUCAUAUUUCUUUAUAAUAAUAAAGUGAAUUUACUAUAUGUUUGUAUUUUCUUUUAAAUUGUUAAUUAAAUUGGUACCUUGACUAUUUUGUUGGUUCUGGAGUAUAAAUAAGGCAAAUUCUACCUCAUUUAACCACUACUCAAAGGAGAUACUUUUUAUUAUUAUUUUAAAUUCUUUUAUGUGCUCCUAUGUGUUUUUUAUAUGUGUGAUUGCGUGUUUUAACUGUCUUUUAUUUUAUUUUAUCUUAUUCAUUUUUAGCUUUCAUUUAUUUUAUUUAUUUAAAUUUUGAUGAUUAUUUGGAAGGUAUUUAAAAGCCAAAUUAUAACAGAUAGGUGUCCAAAAAAUAUAUUCAGUUAGGCCAUGUAAUUAGUUAGAUAGACUUUAUUUUCACCGAAAUUGUAAUUAGUUAGAUAAAUGUAAUAGAUAGGUUUAUUAUUUUCAAAAUUCCCCUUCUACAUUGUAAUUGGAGUCCUCAAUAUAAUAGUUAGUUUUCAUUUGCUUGCAUGCUUGUGCGCUUAUGUAUUUUAUUCGCUUUUUCUAGGAUUUUGUAUCUAAAUAUUAUGCAUAUGUGCUAUGUCCUCUACAUACUUUAUAUGUUUUAUGUGUUUUAAUUAUGUUUUUUAUGUUUUAUUUAUUUAUAAUAAAUGCAUGACGUCGCCACACUAGUUCAAUACUAGUUUUGGCAUUUCUCCCCGAUUUCUCACUAGUCCAAUGCUAGUGAGAACUUGUAGAAAUGGGUUAGUCCAAUACUAAACCCUUGAGAUCAUAUUCACGCUAAAUUCAUACAUUGUGUGACAUUUAUUGCAUCUCAUGUAUUUUUUUCCUAUUUUUAGGUUAUUUUCAAUUGGAUGACAUUUUCCCUACUAUCAUUCCUUUACCCUCUAUAUAUUUGGACCAUAUCAUUUAGAAUUGCAUUUCAUUCUAGAAAAUGAGAAGUAGACUAGUCCACUUGGUUGACAAGGUUAAGAGAUUUACCCUUCGAAUAUGAGAAAUAGGUGAGUAUGAAUUUUUAAACUUGGCACGCUAUUACCCCUCUAUAAGAAGAAAAAUUGAAUCACGAAUUUUAGUCUCUCAUACCCAUUAUAUUGCAUUCCCCUUUUCUAGGUCAUGUACAUUUAUCUAUAUUAUAAUUUCCUUUUUGAGUCUCAUCUUUUGCACUUUUCAUGAUCUCUUCAAAUAAUCAUUUCUGGACAUCACAAUUAAUGUGAUUAGUACCAAUUAAAUUUUGAAGAGACAUUUUGUCCCUCCCAAUAUCCUUUAUAUCUAGAUUUGCAUCCAUAUAGAAACAUUCAAAAUGUGAUAAGUUGUAUAUAUUAAAUUAAGAAAAUUUUCGACUAAAUCUCGCAACUACUAUUGAUUAGGUUGAAAGGAAGUCUUAAAUGGAAUAUUUGUCUUCCCUUUCUUCAAACAUGAUUCCCGAAUUCUUUUAUCUUAUUUUCAAAGAUUUGGAGUCUUCUAAAAGGGUUUUAUUUGUUUUUAUUUAAAAUAUAUUUUUGGUGAGUUGAUACACCUAAACUCAAUAAGUGGCGACUCUACUCUUUUCUAAAAAAUCUUUUUUAAACUAUUAUUUUGGACUCAAGCCGUCACAUAUUUUAAGUUCCAUUUUAACCCUUUUUUUAUUUAUUUUCUAAAAUCAAAAACUCUUUUUUUUAACACUAUUUUUUCUUUUAUUUAAAAAAAUAAGGUGCGACAAACCCUAAACUAAACGACAUUCCAUUACCUCAAAAAGUAAUCCACAGUGAGAUUCACAUGCUUAUCAUGCUUGUUGGCUGGCAUCAGUUGCGUCUAAAGUUGGAGCACCCAUUGUGUUUGUCCGCCACCAAACUGGGCCCCAGCUUAGCAUCUUCCGCAGGGCGUCACCUGCGCAUGUACCCUUUUGUCUGCUGUCUGGCUUUUGCCAUUAUUUAUGACAGUGACUUUCCUAUGCCAUUUGCAUUUUCUGUGGCGAGAAUUUUUCUACGAGAAUUAUCUCAUUGUUUUUACUUUUCUUUUUUUUUUCACUAUUUGUUUUUUUGGAGAAUAAUAAUGUAUUGGUAUGCUUUUUUAAAAUCUGAACCAAGAAAAUAUUCACAGGUCAUUCAUUUAUUGUGUUCUGCUUCUUUUUCAUAUGUUGGAACUUAGAGAUGGAAUAACUGGGAAUUGAGCUUGCGAGAUACUAACAAAAGUUUGAAUAAUGUCUUUCAAGAUAAAGUGACACUUCCUUCAAAAAGAUAAAGUGACACUUAGCGAAUGAAAAAAUGACAAUUGAGUAUGCCAUUUACUAAGGAAAAGCCUAAUGUAUUUGAAGACAAAGUGACCACUUUAUGAAAGUUAAUGAUAAAAUCAGAAGUUGAGAUACGGGGAUAGGUUAGGACUACGGUUGAAAGUUCACCUUUCUGCCCAUAGCAGGCAGAAGCAAUGCAAGGAGGCCAACUGUGCCCUGUGGGACGCACAAAGAAGGAUAUCCGGACACCACUGAGAAAGUCGGUUGUGCAUGGAUGAAAAAAUAUAAUAUAUUUUAAAAUCAUAAUAAAAGUUCUCUUAAAAAUUUAUUUAUCAUCUAAUGCUCAAUACUUAUAUUUGAUAAAUUAAAACAGUUAAUUAAAUAUUUUAUUAUAACAUAAACAACUUUAUGUCAUUGGGUUGAUUGAAUAAUAUUUUUUUCUCUUUUUUUGUCAUUGUUAAGUUUUUAUAUGUUGUUCUUUUUAGUUUAUGUCAGCAUAAUGGUUAUUAUUUUUAGUUAAAUUUAUUAACCAAACAAAAUGUACCACAUUUCAACAUGUUGCACACGUUAAAAAAAAGACUUACUUUCCAACAACAUCUUGAAUUUCAAUUUUUUAAUAUGGUAAAAUUAUUUUGGUACUUAAAUUUUCAAGUCCAUAUCAUCUCAACUCCACCGACGUUGGAAUCCUCAACUUAAAGCUUUAAAAACUGAAUGCUUUUCUUUCAAUCUCUAUGUCUCAUGGUUUUCUCGUGGUUUCAAUGAAAAAUAAAUAAAUAACAAAGCUGUAUAUGUUUCUAAAUUGAUAUCACAAGAGAGAAGAAAAAAAGAUAGUGAAAGGGUGAAUUUAUUAAUUUGAUUUUGAUUUUUUACUAUUGACCAUUCAUCUUAAUAGAAGAGCUAAUGAUGACACUUUACCCAAAUCAUGAGGGCUUAUAUAUAGUUUUUUGAAAUAUGGAGAGUUAUGUGAUAAAUUACCAAACUAUAAGGGGGUAAAAGGUAAUUUACGCAAAAAAUCUGUGUAAUUUGUGCAGUUGCAUCUGGUUGUUGUGCGUGUUCAAAUAUCUUGUGUACCAAUAUACAUAUGAAAAUAAUAUAUGUCAAAUAUCUUAUUCUUACACACCACUUUUAUUACGGAUACAAAACAAUAUAAUAUAAAAAGCACAAUACCCGAAAGACCCCCAACGGCACUUAUUCCUUUCCCCAACACAAAAACAAACUUUUACACGUCUGACUUCUCUGGCUUUUUGGCGAGAGAAAUGAUAAGAUUAUUAUAGAAGCCUUUGCCCAAGGGGAGAACCUUUGCUGCAUGCUUCGCAAACCUGUGGAAUAUGUCAGGUAUAAUAGCUUCUCCAAAAUGACUUGCGAGGAUGGGUUCGUAAACUGCUCUAACGGAAGAUGCAACAUACUCUGCUUUAAUAUGUUCAUCGUCAAUAGAGAAGCCAGCAUCGUAAAGGACCUUAAAAGUCUCCAGGUAUAAAAUUUCAAAAGAACCUUCCUCCUCAACUAUGCACUUUACUUCUUCUGCUGAAGGUAUAUAGACUGGAAGAUUGAAACUAUCCAAUUUUUCUUCCUCCAGAUGUCCCUGCAGAUAUGCCAAUCAUCAAUUCAAUUCAAAUUAUUCAAAGCACGAGACUUGGAAAUUAGCCAAUUUGCUAAAACCUCAACUCUAGGACAAAAAAGGUACAGUUUUUUUCCUUAAUUUCAAAAUGAAUAUAUUAUUAUUACUUGUGCUUUUAGUCCAUAUUAUUAUUUUUUCCAAUACCUUUUUAACCAAAAAAGGGGGAAAAAAAGAUAGCCGACAAAUUAAAUCCCCCUGUAUUUCUAACUUGAAAGAAUUAUCUUUAACUGUAUUGGAGUUGUGUGACCUAACUUCUAAUUAAAGGUUACUACCAUCUGAUUUACGGUGAACUUGGUCUACACAAAGUUUAUUGUAUCAAGGUUACAAAAAAUAAAAUUGCAUCCAUUUUGCAGGGUAGGAACCCUGAAUAAGCUAUCUAGUUCAUUUCAGAUAACAAGCAAUGAGCAUCUGAUCGUCAAAGAGACAGAGAAAUGAUAACCUCAACAACCAAGUCGUUUAUUGCCAUCUCAAGUAAGUCUAUGGCAUUCCGGGCGUCUAAUUCAACUCCUUUACAAAUGCAAGUAAGGAGCAUUCGGCCAUGUGAAAACAACUCUUCCGAAUGAAUCCUUAGAAAUGUGGUAAAAUCUUUCGUAAAUUGAUCCAAAUAUGCCUUCUGGACGGGCAGACGACUUGCUUUGGAAGAGUAAAUGCUCCCUUUGUUCGUACUGAUCCCCAAUUCAGUCACCAAACCGCUAGGAACCUGCACGUCCAGAGCUGGUAACUUAUAUAGUUGGAUCAUUUUGUUAGUGUUGCAUGUGGGAAUAUAAAUCAUGAGCCACGACUUGAAUAAAAUAUGUUAUUAGUUUCUUCAGAAAUCUCUUUCUUGGAUUCCUGUGGAUAUCUUGAGAAUUAUUAAAGAAAUUUCCGUGCAUAGUUACUAAUGUGUUGAAUGAAAAUCAUGAACUAUUUUUGCUACAAGAAAAAUUAAAAAGAUAAAAGGGAUUAACUCAAAGACCUGAGAUAACCAUUGAAGACAGUAACAAGAGUGUAAAAAAUGCAUGGACUCCUCGGGGAAGAGUCUGCUGUAGAAAGAGCCGGGCAUUGCCCCUAUUAGGCACGAUCCUAUUUUGCGUCCAUUUUCUUUCUCAAGUUUGCGGUAGAAGCUUGGCAGCAACUUGAAAACCGAAUUGAAAUCAUUUGGGAAAAGAUCAUUCAGAAAAAUCUGAAUGGUGGGACGUUCUAAUUCAUUCUUCUUUUCCUGGCCAACUUUGUCAAUACUUUGGACAAUGUCCCGAACUGUUAAAAGUGUGUUUGGUCCAGAAGCGCAUCCCAAAUCCGCAACUUUAAUGCACUUGUUGAUGUUGGGCAAGUUGGCCCGCAACAAUUCCCGUACGCAUUGUUCAAGGACAGGUUUCACCUUGGCGAGAACCAGUUGCUACACAUACCACUCCAAAAUACAAAUGUUAAGGGGGGAAAAAAGACAUACUAAGUUAGAGAUCGACGUAUCAUAGCAUGAUUUACUACUACUCUGUGUGUGUGUGUGUGUUAAAGAGAGAUAGAGAGACAGACAGACAUUGUAGGCUGAAUUCUUGGCGUAGCUUGUAUCGCCUUCGCCUCCAUUCAUCCGCAGGACUUCUUGGAGCUCCAUUCAUAUGCAGGACUUGUACAUAAAUCAAAUUGGGACUGCCAAAGAAGGUGUCCCUUAAUGAUUAAUUGUGCAAAAUUUCGGGCUUAAAUAGCGAAAAUUUUAUAGAUGCGUAUGCUAACUAGCCGCCUACGUCCGUAGAAAAGUCUGUCAAUUGGUCAGAAAGAAAGCGCACAGCCAAUGGGAACCAGACACGAAUGAUAAAAUCAAAAGUUGAGAUAUGGGAUCAAAAAUCUUAUCUCUUAUAUAGAAAAUGUCAAGACUUCUACUCCCACGUUGAGCCACGUGACUGCAUUUGGGAAGGGAGUCUACCGUAGCAUAUUGAUAAGUGUAUAUUUUGAACGUUUUAAACGUGUUUUAUUAAUUAGUUUUGAUGUAUUUUAAUUAAUUUUAUAGUCAAUUAAUUAAAUUUCUAGUAAAAAUAUAUAUUUUGUGGUUUAAGUAUCAAAAAUUAUAUUUUUAUGAAUUUUAAUGGUGAAAAUUUCAUGUUUUUAUAGGUUCAAUGGUUCAAUCAUCAAUUGGAGUGACUUGAGAAGAUAUUUGGAUGAUUGUUGAUGAUUUGAAAUGAUUUAAAGAAAACAUGAACUGUCAAAUGUUCAAAAGAGGAAAUGCAAUCAAGAAAAAAAGAAAGGGAGUUUUCCAACUUUGAUACCUUGUGCUAUUUCGGCUAUAUCUUGAGUUACAAGCAUUGAAUAGAGGUGAUUCUUAAACUAUUUUGAAACUAAAAGAUAGCUCUAUAUUUGAUAUGAAGAUCGAAAUCCACUUUAGUCAUUUUCCUUGUCAAAAUAUCGAAAUACACAAGUACAUUUUCAUUGUCAAAAACUAAAACAGAGUUCUGACUAGUCGAGAGUAUUUUGGUCAUUUCUUGAUCCACAGAUCUCUAAAUUGGAUGAUUCUUGAAGGUAUUGGAAAGUUAAUUCAAAAGGCUAUAACUUUCAUACUUUUUACAAGAGAUAGUUCAGCCUCUAUCAUCAAGAAAAUAUCAAUUGACAUUGGACCAAAAACAGAGCAAAGAGAAGACUUGAUCAGAAAUGAGCAAACCUAAAAAGAGAAAAACGUGGGUACAAUAUGCGACCUUAGUUCACGUUUUCGAUGUCGCGUAUUCUUCAUUUGUAACUAUAACUUGCUCUGCAACUUUUGCUUUGUUCACACAAGCUUUUUGACCACUUUUCAAACAGAAUUUCCGAUAGAUAUGAGCUAACAAGUAUGGAGACAUCAAGAAGCAACCUUUUGAUGAUUCUAAGAGCCAACUAGCAUCAAUCUUAACAUGACUACUUCAAUUUUUAAUCCUCUAUAAAUAGAGGUCUUUGGGAAACAUUUUCACAACUUUGGGAAGGCUAGAGAAACUCCACAAAAAUGUAACUUUCACUAGAAUUUCUUUAGUUCAUUAAUUAGAUUAGUUUAGUAUAGUUAGUGUAGUUUAUUCUUCUUGUAUUUGUAGCUAAACUUGGAUGAAGAUUAAGGAGCAAGAUGAAGAGUUUGAUCUCAUGUAACAAGGGUGAUAUCUCUUAUACUAUUUUCUCUCUUGUAUUUGAUUUCAUGUUUAGUUAUUAUACAAUUUUGGAUUUGUAUUUCAAUAUGUAUUUCUAAAGUUUAUGCCUAGAGUUAUGGAUGAACUUGCUAUAUCUUAUUUGUGAUAUUUACUUGGUUAUUUGAUGAUAUUAUUUUGAUCAAGUUAUUUAUCACUUGUUCUUUUUUAAUCAUGAUUAACCAUCCAUUAAUUGUGAUAAUAUUAAAAUAUUAAAUUUGCAAUGAGAAUUGGGAUUAACAUUAGUUCAAGGAAGUGAUAAAUUUAGGGAGUACACUCACAAGAGUAGAGGUACACCUAUGUGGAUUUAGUGACUUGUUUCGUGUAAUUUCAUAGAAGAAAUAAGUUUAUAAUUUAUUUCAUAAUCACGAGAGUAGGUAUGGUUUAUUACAAGUAUAGUUGAUUCACUACGAGAGUAUGUUUCAUAUACAUUAAGAAAUUAUGCCUUAACUAACCAAUAUAAUAACAUUCACUUAACCGGUAAUUUCAUUAGCAAAAGUAGUUAGGAAUUCUAUACCUCUAGGAGUUUUAUAUUGUUAUUUUUAUUACAUUUAUUUCAUGUUUGUAGUGCAGAUUUAAUCUUUUGCAAUUUGUCGUAAUCUAAAUAAUAAAGAAGUUCGAAAGCUAUCGGUAAUUGACAAUUUUCUCAGUGGGUUUAACCCUUAAUACUCUAUGCACAAUCACGCCUCGUAUACUUGUGAAAAAUUGCAUGUCGGGUAUUUUGAAUUUUAUAAAUAUAAAACUUGACUAUAGAUGAACUAAUUGUUAUAUACAUACCUCAUGCUCGUCAAGUUUUUGAUGCCGUUGUCGGGGAAGAUUUUGCUCAUUAUUGGCGCUAAGAAUAACUUUAUUAAUUUAGACAUUUUUUUCUUGCUUUUCUUGUUUUUGUUGUGUUUAUUGUCCUUUUGUUAUAUUUAGUGUCAUGUUUUUGUAUGGAGCUUUAAUCCUCUAUAAAUAUAGGCCUUUGGGGAAUAUUUUCAAAUCUUUGCGAAGGCUAGAGAAACUUCACAAAAAUGUAGUUUUCACCAGAAUUGUUUUAGUUCAUUACUUAGAUUAAUAUAGUAUAGUUAGUGUUGUUUAUCCUUCUUUUAUUUGUAACUAAACUUGGAUGAAGAUUAAGGAACAAGAUGGAGAGUUUGAUCUCAUAUGACAAGGGUAAUAUUUCAUGUAUUACUUUCUCUUGUAUUUGAUUUCAUGUUUAGUUAUUAUACAAGUUUGGAUUUGUGUUUCAAUGUGUUUCUAAAGUUUAUACUUAGAGUUAUGGAUGAACUUGUUAUAUCUUGUUAGUGAUAUUUACAUGGUUAUUUGAUGGUAUUAUUUUGAAUAAGUUAUUUAUUACUUUUACUUUUCUAAUCAUGAUUAACCGACCAUUAAUUGUGAUAAUUUUAAUGUGUUAAGUUUGCAAUGAGAAUUGGGAUUUAACACUAGUUCAAGGAAGUGAUAAAUCUAGGGAGUAUAAUCACAAGAGUAGAGGUAUACCUAUGCGGUUUUAGUGACUUGUUUCAUGUAAUUUCAUAGAAGAAAUGAGUUUGUAAUUGAUUUCAUAACCACAAGAGCAGGUAUGAUUAAAUACAAGUAUAGUUGAUUCACUACGAGAGUAGGUUUCAUAUACAUUAGGAAAUUAUGUCAUAACUAGCCAAGAUUAUAGUAUUCAUUUAACCGGUAAUUUCAUUAGUGAGAGUAGUUAGAAAUUCCAUACCUCUAGAAGCUUUAUAUUGUUAUUUUUAUUACAUUUAUUUCAUGUUUAUAGUGCAGAUUUAAUCUUUUACAUUUGUGGUAGUCUAAAUAAUAAAGAAGUUCAAAAGCUAUCAGUAAUUGACAAUCUUCUCUGUGGUUUCGACCUUUAAUACCCUAUACUCAAUCAUGGCUUGUAUACUUGCGAAAAAUCGCGUGUGGAGUAUUUUGGAUAUUAUAAAUAUAAAACAUGAUUGUGGAUGAGUUAAUUGUUGAUGUAUACUCCACACUCGUCACAUAUGUCUUUUGCCAACAAUGCCCUCCAAAUUUUAACUCUUGGGCUGAACAAUUAACUACUAUUAAGAGGUUGGUACGUCUUUUACCUUCUAAUUACAACUUUGCCCUACCAGAAAUAACAUCCCCUGAAAACAGUAGCUAAACGUUGAGGGUUAUUUCUAGCAUUUUGGCUCAAAUUAUUCUCCUUUCCUUUUCAUUAUUUCUUGUUUCUUCAACUAUUCUUCCCUCAGUCGAAAAAGAGAAGCGGGUGAAUAGAUUAUGGAGAUAGUAGCCAAGAAACGGGUUUUCUACCUACUAUCGUACUUCCACAAGAGACAAAGAAAAGUACCAAUUGAACUUUUCCAACACUUGGUCAACAGUCUCUCUCUCUCUCUCUCUCUCUCUCUCUCUCUCUCCUAUUCUUUUGUUUCUCAUUCUUUUUCUUUCUGGUUUAUAGACAAAGAAAAGUACCAGUUGAAUUCCUCCAGCACUUGGUCAACAAUUUGACGAUUUUCUUCCCUAAAUUAUGGUUGCUCAUUAGAUUUUGUGGUUUGUCCUUUUGUAUUCCUUUUUAUCCACCAACCGUUGUCUUCCUUUUCCUUUCUCUCUUUUUCUCUAUUUUCCAUUAUUUUGUUUCCUCUUCCUUCUCUUUCUGGUUCAACUGAAGAAAAGUACCUGUUGAAUUCCUCCAGCACUUGGUGAACAAUUUGACGAUUUUCUUUCCUAAAUUAUGGCUUCCCAUCUGAUUUUUUACUUCUAUACUCUUUAUCAUAUCCCAACUGUGGGAUUGUGGUUUGUCCUUUUGUAUUCAUUUUCAUUCCCCAGUUGGAAAAUUAUCAAGAGUGAAAGAAAAAUCUCUGACAACUUAUCAAGUUUGCAACUUUAUCUAUCUAUUGUGUUCAUGAUGGCUAAUACCAUUGUUAGGGAUAGAGGUUUGUCCUUUUGUUUUCCUUAUUGUUGACUAGUUGGCAAAUUAUCAAGAGUGAAAGAAAGUUUGUCUUUAUACAUUAGGAAACACAAAUACUGCUCACAAAAAACUACAUGCUUCUUCCACCUUCUCCUCUACAAUCUUUCCUGCUAAAGGUAAUUACUUCUUUUCUUUGUCAAUUUUUCCCUUACCAAUAUUAAAGAAAUUGAAUAAUUUGUAUACUUUUUAUUUUAGUUGCCAAAUUUCUUCAGGGGUUUAAUUGCACUUUGAAAGAAUUGCUGCAAAAGAGCAUCUGAUAUAGCAUUCACAGAUUUUCAUUAAGCAGUUGUUUCAAUUUUAGGUCGCUCUCUUCAGUCUUUGAGUAUACGCUGCAAUUUUGGUGCCUAAGUUUUGUUGCGUUUUAUGUGUUAGUUAUAGUUUUUCAGUUGUAAUUUCGUUUGGUUUCACUUAUCACUUAUUAACUAAAUCUUUUUUUUUUUUUACAUUUUUUUUCUUAUCAGUUGUAAGUUCAUAGGUUGUAAGUUCUACUAUUUAGCUGUCGCGCCCAAUUUUUUGAAAAAUAAAGUUUAUAAUGUUGAAAAAAUGAGUUUUUGAUUUUAGAGAAUAUUGGCAUAUUAAAAAGGUGUGUUUUUUAUUUUAGAAAAUAAAGAAAAAGGACCUAAAAUGAGACUUAAAAUGUGUGAUGGUUUGGGCCCAAAAUUUAGUCUAAAAAGGAUUUUUUUUUAAAAAAAAAAAUAGGAGUCACCACUUGGUAUUGAAUUUAGAUGUACCAAGUCACCCAAACAAUAUAUAAAAAAUUGACAAAACCCCUUUUAGACGACUCCAGAUCUUUGAAAACAAAAGAAAAAAGUUCGGGAGUUACGGUUGAAGAAAGGGAAGGCAAAGAUUUGAUAGACUCAAACCUAAGACACUCUUUCAACCUAAACAAGAUUAGUUGUGAGAUUUAGUCAAAAAUUUUCCUAAUCUAACCUACAAAACUUAUUAAAUUGAGAUGUUUCUAUAUGGAUGUGAAUCUAGACCUAGGAAGUAUUGGGAAGGUCGAAAUAUUUCUUUAAAGUUUAAUUGGUGCAAAUCAUAUUAAUUGUGAUGCCCAAAAAUGAUGCUUAGAAGUGAUCACGAAUAUGCAAUAGAUGAGACUCGAAAAAUAAAUUAUAAUAUAUAAAUAAAUAUACAUGAUCUAGAAAAGGGAAAUGCAAUAUAACACGUACGGGAUGCUAAAAUUCGUGACUCAAAAUUUUCUUUUAUAGAGGGGACAAGAGCGUGUUAAGGUUAAGAAACCAUACUCGUUCAUUUCUCAUAUUUGAAAGCUAACUCUCCUAACCUAAUCAAGCAAAUGAAUUAACCUAUUUCUAAUUUACUAAAAUGAGAUGUAAUUCUAAAUGAUAUGAUCCAAACAUAUAGAGGGCAAGGGAAUAAUAAUAAGGAAAAUAUCAUGCAAAUGAAAAUAACCUAAAAAUAGAAAAAAUGUAUGAAACACGAGGUAUGAAUCUAACGCCAAAACGGUCUAAAGGGUCUAGUAUUGGACUAAUCUAUUUCUACAAAUCCUCACUAGUAUUGGACUAGUGAAAAAUCAUGGAGAAAGGUCAUAACUAGCAUUGGACUAGUGUGGUGAAAUCAUGUAUUUAUUAUAAAUAAAUAAAGCAUAUAAAGCAUAAUUAAAACAAAUAAACACAUAAAACACAUAGGCAUGAUAUCUAAAUGCAAAAUCCUAAAAAAACCGAGUAAACAUAUAAGCACACAAGCGAAUAAAUGCACAUAAAAAUCCAAACUAUUACAUUCGAGACCCUAACUACAAUCUAAGAGGGAAAUUUGAAAAAUAAUAAUCUAUCUAUUACAUUCAUUUAACUAAUUACAUUUUGGCAAAAAUAAAACUUAUUUAUUACAUAACCUAGCUAAAUAUAUUUUUUGGGCAUUUAUCUAUUAUAAUUUGGCAUUUAAAUGCCUCUCAAAUAAUUAUCAAAAUUAAAUAAAAUAAAUGAAACUUAAAAUGAAUAAAACGAGUAAAUAAAAAAAAGCACUCAAAACAUGCAAUUACACGUAAAAAACAUAUAGGAGCACAUAAAAGGAUUUAAAACAAUACUAGAAGGUACCUCCCUUGAAAUAGUGAUUAAAUGAGGUUGGAAUUGCCCUAUUGAUACUCCAAAAUCAACAAGAUGGUCAAGGCACUAAUUUAAUUAACAAAUAAAGAGAAUAAAAUGUAGACAUAUGAUAAAUUCACUUUAGUAUUAUAAAGAAAUGGAAACAACCAUAAAAUCUACCAAUUAAAAGCAUUUAAAUGAAGUAUAAUUAACAAUUAAAGAAGAUAAACAAAUUAUAUUUAAGAAAUCAAAACUAUUAGGGACCUAAUUGUAAAAAUUCAAAAAAAAAUUUGGUCAAACUAAAUUAUUACAAAGAUUAGGGGUUAAAAUAAAAAAAUAAAGUUUACGGAUCAAAUUAUAAUUAAAUUAGAGGCCUAAUUGAAAGAAUCUAAAGUUUUUAAGGCUACAGUGAACUUAUUUAAAAGUUCAGGGGGUAAAUUACAAUUUUGGCAUCAAAUUUCUUAGGGCUAGAAGGCCUUUGGACUGUUUUUCUUUCUCCUUGGGCCGAAGACUCCCUUGGCCCGGCGAAAAAUUCAAAGAAAAAGCACAAGCCAGCCCAGUCUUUGACCAAACAAUCCCAACCAAAAAUGUUUGGUCUGUAGCCUCCAACCCCAUGCCAUAACCCAAAGAAAAUAAACCAACAACUCAUUUGCCAAAUCCAACCAAAUAACAUUACCCAUUUCAUAAACCAUUUUCCCAAACCCAUAAAAGAAAAGAAUAAGCCCAUCUAGGAGAUUAAAUCCAACAAAAAUGUUUAUACCCUGAUUAUGUCCUAAAAUCUGGAAAUAAUCCACUCAAAAACAUGUAUAAAAUGUACAAAAGAGGAUCAAAACUUGAAGAGGGCAGAUUUGAUUCAUUUUCACAAACUUUUGGACCUUAGUGGAAUUAUGCAAAAGUUGGGGGGGUAAAAAUGUAAUAUUGAAUUCUUCCAUGCAAGCUUGCUACUAUUGCAUAAGUGAUAAAAAAAAUGCAUAGACUCCUUGUUAACAAUUUUAUCACAUGCAUUAGUGUAAAAAAUGCAUGGACUCCUCGGGGAAGAGUCUGCCGUAGAAAGAGCCAGGCAUUGCGGCUAUCAGGCACGAUCCUAUUUUGCGUCCGCUUUCUUUCUCAAGUUUGCAGUAGAAGCUUGGAAGCGACUUGAAAACGAAUUGAAAUCAUUUUGGAAAAGAUCAUUCAGAAAAAUCUGAAUGGUGGGAGGUUAGAAUGCAUUCUUCUUUUCCUGGCCAACUUUGUCGACACUUUGUAUAAUGUUCCAAACUGUUAAAACUGUGUUUGGUCCAGAAGCGCAUCCUAAAUCCGCAACUUUUAAGGCACUUGUUGAUGUUGGGUAAGUUGGCCCGCAACAAUUCUCGUAUGCAUUGUUCAAGGACAGGUUUCACCUAGGUGAGAACCGAAUUCUAGAUACACCACUCCAAAAAACAAAUGUUAAGGAGGAAAAAAAGAUAUACUAUUAUAGAGAUCAACGUGUCAUAGCAUGAGUUAGUACUACUCUGUGUGUGUGUGUUAAAGGGACAAGAGGCACCUGCAACCGUCCCAAUGAUUUUGGCCAUUUUCAACAACGCGUAACUUUGAUUACACAUGGCGUAAUUUUGUUUGCACAACGUGUAACUUUAGUACAAAAUUUUGCGAGCCCCACAUACGGUGUGAAAAUCGAUGCACAACUUGUUAUUUGGACCGCACAAAAUUUUUUGGCUAAGUCAUGACCAUUAACUGCUCAGGGCCGUGUUAAAGAGAUAGAGACAGAGAGACAGACAGACUUGGUAGGGUGAAUUCUUUGCGUAGCUUGUGUCGCCUUCGCCUCCAUUCAUAUGCAGUACUUAACCGAAUCCGCUGACGAGCUAGGAUUUUUUCUUUGGGAGGCCAAAAUUUUUUCGAACAAAAUUACCUUUAUAUGUUAUGUUCAAAAUAAUUUUCAUUUAUUUAAAUCUAUGACAUCUUAAAAUAUCAAAUAUUAACUUUAAUUAUAAAUGUAUGUCUAUUUCAUAAAUAUGUAACAUAGUCAUAACUAAAAUUAAGACAAGAAAUAACCUUUGAUUAAAUAUCUUAUAAUAUUACAAACCACCUAAGUUGCACAUUAUGAGAAGAUGCUCCAAUAUUUCACUUGUGCAAAAAAAGAAAAUAUAACUAUGCAAUAUAAAUAUAACUAUUUUCAAUUAAAAAAAGAUAAAAGUUAUGUUAGCAUACCUUGAAAUUUCAUCCUCUUUUAUUAAAAGUAAAUUGAGAUUUACGUUCUUUUAUAGAACUAAAUUCAUGUAUAAUUGAAUCAAUGCUAAAUUUUCGAACAACUUCCCUUUUUAUGUUCAUUUUUAGGCAAUCAUUCAAGAAAUUAUCUUUUAUCUUGUAUUUGAGUUUUGUUUUGAUUAUCUUCAUAAUUGAAAAUGUCCAUUUUAUAGACUAUACAGAGCCAGGAUUUUUUCCUUGGGAGGGGGGCCAAAAUUUUUCUAAACAAAAUUAUCUUAAUAUGUUAUAUUCAAAUAAUUUUCAGCUAUUUAAAUAUAUGACAUCUUAAAAUAUCAAAUAUUAAUUUUAAUUAUAAAAGUAUGUCUAUUUCAUAAAUAUGCAGCAUAGUCAUAACAAAAAUUAGGAUAAGAAAUAACUUUUGAUUAAAUAUCUUAUAAUAUCACAAAUUACCCAAAUUGUACAUGAUGAGAAAAUGCUCCAAUAUGUCACUUGUGCAAAAAUAAAAAUAUAACUAUGCAAUAUAAAAUAUAACUAUUUUCAAUUAAUAAAAGAUAAAAGUUAUGUCAGCAUACCUUGAAUUUCAACAUCUUUUCUUAAAAGUAAACUGAGUUUUACAUUCUUUCAUAGAACUAAAUUCAUUUAUAAUUGAAUCAGUAUUAAAUUUUUGAACAACUUCCUUUUUUUUAUGUACAUUGUUAGACAACCAUUCAAGAAAUUAUCUUUUAUCUUGUUUUGGAUCUUUGUUUUGAUUAUAUUCAUUGUAGACAAUGGAAUUUUAAUUAAAUUUUAAAAAUUACCAUUGGUCUAUUAAAAUAUUUUUGUCCAAUCGAAUAUUGCCAUAUGUCAUGUACACUUGGAAAAUUUGGUUAUUAAGCAGCCAAUUAUAUUUUGCCACGUGUCAGGGUGAGGUGUUCCAAAUCAAUUCAAAUUGCAGGGGUAUCUCCAUCAACCAAAUCAUAUCAUAUCAUGUAUUUAUUGGAUAAACAUCUAAAUAUUUAUUUCUUAUUAAAGGGAUAAUAUUUAGAAUUGUUUAAUCCAAGUAUAUCUCUUAUAUAUUGCAAUGGCCUAGCCAGUAAAAUGGCGCCACGUCACGUGUCCCCACAAGUCUGGCCAAUCGAAAAAUUACUUAUCUCUUUAUUAAUGAAGAAAUAAUAUUUAACUGGCACAGUCCUAAUAUGACUGUACGUCUUACUAGGCAAGUAGAGUGGUGUACAUGAUCUCAACCUCCACCUCUUGCUACAACUAUAAAUAGAGGUCUCUCAACCAAGUUAAGGGGACACAGAGAUAUCAAGAAGCAUCUCAUACACUCAAGUAUUGAAGCUUCAAGCUACGAAGGUUUGGGUCUCAAAACUCCUCAAGUCUUCCGCAUAUCAAGGCUUGAGCCUUCAAGUAUUUUCAAAUCCUUCAAAUCUUCCAUAUCAAGAUUUGAAGGAGUCGGUGGUUGAUCCAAGAACAAGCUGCGAAACCCUUGGAUUGGUGUUCGAGGAGAAGAAUCGAAGGAAGCUCUCCAUAAGUUCGAGAAACUUCCAGAGAUUGUACAUACAUAUUUUUCUAAGUUUAUAUAGUACAUAUUUGUCGUGUAUUUCUUUUUCUUGUCGUUUUGCAGACUUGAAAUUUUUAUCGCGUACAUUUAUAAUUGAAAAUGCCCGUUCUAUAGUUGCAGUUGACAUAGAAAGAGUGAGAAUAAAUAUAAUCAAUCUGUCAACAACAAAAUAGAUCACUCAAUUUCUUGUUUUCACCAAGCCUUCAAGUAAUUAUUUGUAUAUUUGUAUAUGGGUCAACAAGAGUAUAGAUCACUAAUUUUAAUUUUUUUAUCAAUUAGGUUAAGUUGUAUAUUUGUAUGUGGACCAAUAAAGUAAUUAUUUUUGUUUUAACCCAUUGAUAAUUAUGAAUUGAGUCUUUUAUUAUUAUAAUAUAUCAAAUUGGGUCAAUUUACUAUGGAUUACCAAAUUAUAUGUUUAAUUUUUGAAUGUUAAAUAAUUAGCACAAUAAAAUAUAAAUAACUUUUUUUGAAAAAAAAAUAAAUCAAAGGUGACUAAUUCAUACGCACACAUAGAUAUAUAAAUUAAAAUUUUCAAAACUUACGGGGCAUUAGCACCGCUCAGCCCCCUUGGCUCCCUCAUUGCCGAAUCGGCACGGCUGAAGAAAGUGUCGGUUAAUUAUCGAUGGUACAAAGGAGUUUCGGACUUAAAUAGCGGAAUUUUCUUAAAUUCGUGUACUAACUGGCUACAUACGUGUGUGAAGUGCAUUUGAAUUGACAGAAAAUCUGUCAACUGGUCAAAGAGAAAGCCACAGCCAAUGGGAACGAUAGGCAUAUUGCAGAAAAGUUAUAUAUAUUUUUUCAAACGAUAAGAAAAGUUAUAUUUAUUACUCACUCGUUCUAUUAAAAAUAUCAUAUUUUUCAUUAUGAAAUAUUUUAAAAUAUUUUUCAUUUUAUUAAAAUCAAAGUUACUUUUGAUCUCUUUUUAUUAAUGUUACCCUCACCUUUAUUUAUAUUUCAUACUAAAUUCAAAUUUGAAUCUUGAAUUUUCGAAGGUUUUUGAAAACAAAUCCUUUAACACUUCUAUUGACAGGUGUCGAAUCUAUGUAAUAAUAAAUACCGACUUAAAAAAUAUAAAUUUUAUAUAUAAUGGUGAGUAGGGUUGAAUCCAUAGGGAUUGGGGAUAAUUCGUUUCUUCUAGUGUACAGAGCAUGGGGGAUUUUUAUAAAAAUGAGAAUAAUUAAACAACUCAAACAAAAAGACCUAACUGAUAAUUUAUUAAAAUUGAAACAAUAAUAAAUAAACUCUAGCCAAGAAAUAACUUCGGAGAUAGUUCAUUCAAUUGAUCAUGGAUGCAACAAUAAUUUCAUUUAUUCACUGACAAACAAGUUAUAACUGCCAAACAAGCGAUAACAGUCAACUUUUCCUUAUUGUAUUGGUGAUUAAGGUAUGACCGUUAACAACUGCCCUAAUCAAAAAAUAACUCUAGGUACAACCUUAAGUUCAAUUUCCCAAUUGCCUUAAGAAUUAAAAAAUCUCUAUUCUAACCAAAUAACAGGCUACAAUGGUUAUUUUAAAUUAACUCAUAUGUUCCCCUAACAUAAAUCCAAUCAUGCCAGUUACCAUUAGUUUAAAGCAAUUAAACAAUUAUGAAUUUAAUUACUCUAAUUGGUAUUAAGUUAUUAGUUUAAUUUAAAUAUCAAGCAUUUGAUAUUCAAAUAACAUAAUAGCCAUAAGAAAUUAAAUCAGAGAGCAUACGAAUAUCAAUAAAUAAAAGAAACAAAUGAAAACAAUUAGAUCUCAUAGUUAUAGAUGAACCAAAUCCUUCAUUAUCCCUUGACUAGCAAAAGAAAUUACCGCUCCUCAUUGGGAAAAAUCUCAAUGCAAACUUAUGGUGAAUCUCUAUGGACAUGCGGCCACCAAAAUUUUUGGCACGCCCGGUGGGACGCGUACAAAUUUUUGGCACGCCCGGUGGGACCAUAUCUGCCUUCCAUCUCUUCUCCUCGAAUAUUCAACUACGUUUAUCACCAAUGGCACCAAAGAGCAACAAAAUCGUGAUUGCACGUUCCAAGGCUACUGAUGCUAAGUCUGUUCAGGAAGCUGCACACGUUGCCACCAAUACCCGCGUUAUUGGCCCCGUGACAAGGAGUAUGACGAGGGCCUCCACCCAAAGUAGCAUGGAACCCUCGGCGCCAACUCCCGUUUUCGAACCAACAUCACAAAUGAGCUAUUCCUCCACGAUGAGGGUCCAAGACGUUUUCACCUCGAUUGAGAAGGCUCUUGCCAUGCUCGAAUUUGGAUCCGAACCCAAAUUUUAUAAGCAUGACGAUGAUUCAUCAAGCACUGGAUCAGCCUCUUCACAUGAAACUCUUCAUUCAAGAUUUUGUAUUGAAGAUUCUGCUGCUUCUUCUGCUGCAAUGCCUGCCAUGAUGACAAAUACUUUAAGUCUCGAAAAAUAAAUUUCGAACAUGUCCAAGAUGAUGGAAACCAUGAUGAAACACAUCAAGGACCAAGAUGCUCUUAUCGCUCAACUGCUCAUCCAAAAGGACCACGCUCCUGAGGGAAGCCAUAUGAAUUCUAAGGAGAACCAAGAGCGUGAAAAUCUCUCAUCUAAAGGUAAAGACAAGGUGAAGGAAGUACACGUGACCGCCGAGGGAACUAUCCCCGUAGAACAGUUGAAAGAACUUGUUGAAGGCGUGAUCAAGGACAAAAAUGGGGGUAGUUCAAGAUCGAGUUUUACCUACUCCAAACCUUACACUGCUAGAAUUGACAAUCUAGCAUUGCCUGCUGGAUAUCAACCGCCUAAGUUUCAACAGUUCGAUGGGAAAGGCAGUCCAAAAUAACAUGUGACCCAUUUUGUCGAAACCUGCAAUAACGUUGGAACCUAUGGUGACCUGCUAGUCAAACAGUUCGUCCGAUCCUUGAAGGGCAACGCGUUUGAUUGGUACACUGAUCUCACUCCGGGGUCCAUCGACAAUUGGGAACAGUUGGAACAAGAGUUCUUGAAUCGCUUCUACAGCACUAGAAGAACCGUCAGUAUGCUGGAGUUGACUAACACUCGUCAAUGGAAGGAUGAACCUGUGGUCAACUACAUUGAUAGGUGGAGAAGUCUGAGUCUCAACUGCAAGGACAGGCUGUCUGAACCCUCUGCCAUAGAAAUGUGCAUUCGAGAAAUGCAUUGGAGCCUAAGUUACAUUUUGCAGGGUAUACGCCCAAACACAUUUGAAGAAUUAGCUACUCGUGCUCAUGACAUGGAGUUAAGCAUCACGGCCAAUGCAACUGAUGGGUUUCCUAUUCAAAUUCCGCGAGUACAGCCACCUCGGCAAAACAAUGAAAGACAAGAAAAUAGAAAAGGGGGCAAGUCUCCUUCAAGAUUCAAUAAUAAGGAGUCCAUGGCAAUAAACACAGCUCCCAUGAAAAUUGCUACCAAAGUGAGUCGAAAGAUCACUAAGAAAUUAGAUUCCUCCCAGAAUAGAUCAGUAAGAAGACCCACUUUAAAAGAGAUGCAAGAAAGGGAGUACCCUUUCCUUGAGUCCGACUUACAAGGAAUGUUUGAUGAUCUUUUCAAGGAGAAGCUCCUUGAACUUCCCGACAUGAAGCAUCUGGAGGAAGCCGGUCAAGUCAAUGAUCCGAAUUAUUGCUGUUAUCACCGCUUGAUUGGUCACCCUCUCACUAAAUGCUUUGUCUUUAAGGACAAAAUUAUGGAAUUAGCCCGCCAAGGAAAAAUCCUUCUUGAGGAGGAUAAAGCAUCGGCAAACCAAACAACAAUAAUGUUUGGAUCUGUGUGUUGCCCAAUAGAAGUUCUACCCACAUCAAGCAGUGCUCUGUCUGUACAAACAGAGUUUGAAAAAUCGUCAAUUGAAGAUGUUGUCGAAGAUGAUAAUGAAGGAUGGACUUUAGUCAUUCGAAAGAGAACUUGCAAGUCAAGAAUAAAGAAGUACAUCUUUUCGAAAAGCAUCCAUUCGACAAAGCCAAAAGUAACGAUGAAACGACAAAAUGCAACAAAGAAACAAAAGAAAGUGGCCAUAAAACCAAUUCCUUCAGAUUUUCAGCGCCUUCAAGAGGUUCGGCAGCCCGUGACACUGAGAGAAUUUAUACCCAAGGGGUAUUUAAGUGACGAUACCGAUGAUUUCACUUCUUGUAAUGUCGUCAAAGCUGAAAAUCCUCAAGUCACACAAAUUGGCACUGAAUUUGAGAAAAAACUCAAAGUCGAUGAUAAACCACCGGUGGAUUGUGCAACGACCAUCAUUUUUGAUGAUGAUGAUUUAACUGUUGAGUUCAAGACCCACAAUCGACCUUUGUUUGUUAGUGCAUAUGUUCGAGAACAAAAGAUGAGUCGGGUACUCAUUGAUGGGGGAUCUGCUGUCAAUAUCAUGUCCGUACGUGUUAUGAAAGAGUUAGGAAUCUCAAGUGAUGAACUCUCCCAGAACCGCCUCAUGAUCCAAGAAUUUAAUCAAGGGGGCAAAGAGCAAUUGGCCUCAUAAGGCUUGAAUUGCUCAUUCGUGAGCUGUCUUCAAGUGCGUUAUUUCAUAUCAUUAAAGUCAAAACCUCUUAUAACAUGCUUUUGGGAAGGCCCUGGAUUCACGAGAGUGAAAUUAUACCAUCUACUCUGCAUCAAUGUUUCAAAUAUUGUCGAGACGGUAUUGUUAAGAAAGUUACUGCCGAUGACAAAGCUUUCACGGAAGCCGAAACUCACUUUGCUGAUGCCAAAUUUUAUCUUCACAAAGAAGCAAAAAGAAAGGAAUCGGUAAGGGAAGAAAGUCAAGAUUCCAAAGUACCCAUUUUGCAGUAUACUCCAAGAUCAAAGAGAGAAGAAGGUCAGUCUUCUUUUAUCAGAAAUGACACAUUAAAUGUUCCGCUCACCAAGAUAGAGCCUGUUAAAAUUGAGAAGGUGAGCUUGCAAGGGUUUGUUCGUUCCAAAGAAGAACCGGCAGUGGAACAUUACUCGCUACCAACUAAUCGGACUCAAGAAGGUUUUGAUCCAAACGCCUAUAGACUUCUUGCUAAGGCGGGUUAUAACCCAAAUGAGAAGAAUACAUUGGGCAAAUUCCCUCCUGAAGUGACUGGCGAGAGAACUCACGGAUUGACACCUACGCAGAAAAUGUUGAAAGAAAUGGGUUAUAAUGUUGAAAGUUCAUCGAUGGGUCUUAGUUAUCAACCGCCCUCUCCUGUUCGUAUAAUGAUCAAAAGAACGAGUUGUAACUAUGUGAACGAAAAUAUGGAGGUCACAUGCCGAAAGAGAUCUGUGUUCGACCGAUUGGGAAAUAAGUCAAAACGUACUUCUGUGUUUGACAAACUUGGCCCGCAGCCGAAAAAUCUGAAGUCGCCCGUCUAUGAGAGAUUAGGCAGUAAGAAACAAGAGUACCAAGUUGCCAGGGAAGAAAGUCUUACUCCAAUAAAGAAGAACAGACCAAGAAAGCGAGUCUCCAAUUUCUUCAUGCACUAUGGAGACUUAUUCAAUGUAAGAAUUGAAACCAUUUUUGAAGAACAUGGUCAAGAAAGUACGGCUUCCUAUCACCAUAUUACGAUCAGUGAUCUUGAAGAAGAAGAAGAAGAUGCAGAUGACGCUCCCGCUGAACUUGAACAAGGGGUAAAAAAUACGAUCGAUGAGCUAAAAGAGAUUAACCUUGGCACAAGCGACGAUCCUCGCCCAAUUUACAUAAGCUCUUGUAUGACUCCUGAAGAAAAAAAAGAGUAUGUUGAUUUGCUGCUCGAGUUCAGGGACGUCUUUGCCUGGAAUUACUCAGAAAUGCCUGGUUUGGAUCCAAGGUCGCCGUUCAUAAUUUGUCUGUCAAGCGAGGAACAAAACCUGUCAAGCAAACGCAAAGGCGCUUUCGGCCCGAAUUGAUUCCUCUGAUAGAAAAUGAAAUAAAUCGAUUGAUUGAAUCCAGAUUCAUACGAAAAGUAAAAUAUCCAACAUGAAUUUCAAGCAUCGUCCCUGUAAGGAAGAAGAAUGGGCAAAUUCGAGUUUGUGUUGACUUUCGAGACUUAAACGAGGCUUGCCCCAAAGAUGAUUUUCCUCUCCCCAUCACAGAAUUGACGGUAGAUGCUACGACCGGGCAUGAAGCACUAUCUUUUCUCGAUGGAUCGUCUGGCUACAAUCAAAUACGCAUGGCGCCCGAGGAUGAGGAGCUCACCGCCUUCCGUACCCCCAAGGAAAUUUACUGCUACAGAGUAAUGCCGUUUGGUUUGAAAAACGCUGGAGCAACAUAUCAAAGGGCAAUGCAAAGAAUUUUCGAUGAUAUGCUCCAUAAAAAUGUGGAGUGCUAUGUCGAUGAUCUUGUGGUGAAAUCAAAGAAGCGGGAAUAUCAUAUUCAAGACCUUUGAAAAGUUUUUCAACGCUUUCGGAGAUACCAACUGAAAAUGAAUCCUUUGAAGUGCGCGUUCGGAGUCACUUCUGGCAAGUUUCUCGAUUUCAUCGUUCAUCAGCGAGGAAUAGAAGUCGAUCGAUCUAAAAUCGAUGCCAUUGUGAACAUGCCUGAACAGCGAAAUAUUCAUGAAUUGAAGAGUUUUCAAGGGAAGUUGGCUUAUAUCCCCUGAGAUUUAUCUCUAAUUUGGCCGGACGAUGCCAACCCUUCAGUCGACUGAUGAAGAAAGGGGUGCCCUUUGAGUGGGAUGAAUCGUGUAGGAAUGCUUUUACAAGUAUCAAAAUGUAUCUCAUGAAUCCCCCAGUGUUGGUUGCACCCAUCUCAGGAAAACCAUUGAUUCUCUAUAUUUCCGCUCAAGAACGAUCGGUUGGGGCCUUACUUGCUCAAGAAAAUGAUGAAGAUAAGGAGAAUGCGCUGUAUUACUUGAGUCGGAUGAUGACACCUAAUGAGUUGAAUUACUCACCCAUCGAGAAGUUGUGCUUGGCACUUAUAUUUGUCAUUCAGAAGCUAAAACAUUAUUUUCAAGCACACACUAUUCGACUCUUAUCUAAGUCUAAUCCCAUUAAAUAUGUGAUGGCAAAACCUGUACUGUCUGAUCGGCUCGCGAGAUGGUACCUCCAGUUCAGCAAUUUGAAAUUAUUUAUGUACCUGCGAAGGCUGUCAAAGGACAAAUAUUGGAAGACUUUUUAGCCGAUCAUCCCAUACCUGCCGAGUGGGAGUUGACUGAUGAACUGCCCGAUGAAGAAGUAUUUAUGAUCGAAUCCCCGUGGUCAAUGUAUUUUGAUGGAGCUGGUGCGGGAGUUGUCUUUUAUACUCCUGAAGCAGAUAUAUUGCCAUACUCUUUCACUUUAACACGCCGGUGUUUCAACAAUGUGGCUGAAUAUCAGGCGUUGAUUUUCGGUCUUGAAACGGCUGUAGACAUGAAGCAGUUGCAUCUUAGAGUCUACGGUGAUUCAAAAUUGGUGGUAAAUCAACUCCUUGGUGUUUAUGAUGUCAAGAAACCUGAAUUGAUCACAUAUUACAAGUAUGCAAGGCAACUCAUGGGAUAUUUAGGUAAUGUCACUAUAGAACAUAUCCCUAGAAAUUUCAACCAACAAGCUGAUUCUUUGGCAAGGGUGGCGUCCAUGAUCACUCUACCUUCUCAUCGAAAUCAGAUUUCAAUAUGUCAAAAUUGGGUCAUACCUCCGAUGUUUGAUGAAGGUAAUGAUAUUGAAGAAUAAAAUAUUUAUCAUAUUUUUGUCCAUGAAAUCGAAAAGGAGGAUUGGCGUCACCUCAUCAUUGAUUAUCUUAAUCAUGGAAAGUUAUCAGAAGAUCCUAAGAAAAGGGUUGAUAUACGUCAUCGAGCACCACGUUUCAUUUACUACAAAGGGACGCUUUACCAAAAGUCAUUCGAUGGGGUGUUUCUACGAUGUCUUGGAGAAGAUGAGGCCAUGCAAGCAAUGGAGGAGGCUCACUCUGGGAUAUGCGGUGCUCACCAGUCUGGCCCGAAAUUACACUUUCGUAUUAAAAGAUUGGGAUACUACUGGCCAACAAUGAUAAACGAUUGCAUUGAUUUUGCUAGAAGAUGUCAAGCAUGUCAAUUUCAUGGCAAUUUCAUCCAUCAGCCCCCUGAACCAUUGCACCCAACUGUGGCUUCUUAGCCGUUCGAUGCUUGGGGUUUGAAUAUAGUUGGACCACUUCCAAAGUCUUCUGGCGGACAUGUUUUUAUUUUGGCAGCGACGGAUUACUUUUCAAAGUGGGUUGAAGCGAUUCCUCUAAGAGAGGUCAAAAAGGAGAAUGUAGUGGAUUUCAUUCGCUUGCACAUCAUUUAUCGAUAUGGAGUCCCGCGUUAUAUCAUUACCGAUAAUGGUAAGCCUUUUUGCAAUAUAGCAAUGAGCAAACUUUGCGAGAAGUUUCAUUUCAAACAAUACAAUUCGUCCAUGUACUACGCUGCUGCAAAUGGACUCGCUGAAGCAUUCAACAAGACCUUAUGUAAUCUGUUGAAGAAAGUCGUGAAUAAAUCGAGAAGGGAUUGGCAUCUUCGAAUUGGAGAAGCACUUUGGGCAUACCGAACUACUUUUCGAACUCCCACGCAAGCGACCCCAUACGCGCUUGUUUAUGGUGUUGAAGCUGUUCUUCCACUUGAGUGUCAAAUACCUUCGCUAAGAAUUGCGAUUCAAGAAGGGCUCAGUGGAGAAGAUAAUGUCCGUCUUCGCCUUAAGGAGUUAGAAGCACUCGAUGAAAAGAGAUUGGAAACCCAACAACGGAUUGAGUGUUAUCAAGCCCGCCUUUCAAAAGCAUUUAAUAAACAUGUCCGGCCACGCUCUUUCCAGAUUGGAGAUUUAGUACUCGCCGUUCGGAGACCGAUCAUUCUCACUCAUGGCGGUCAAAGAAAGUUUACUUCUAAAUGGGAUGGACCCUAUGUUGUUCGAGAAGUGUAUAUAAAUGGCUCAUACAAAUUGGUUGCUGAAGACGGGUUAAGGGUUGGCCCCAUCAAUGGCAAGUAUCUAAAAAGGUACUAUGCGUAAUUGGAACCGCGCAAGGCUCCUGGCCCGCAUGAGCUAAAACUGUGGAUGGCGACCACCAAUAGUGUAGUAUGUGGUUAAACUGUUGAAACACUCCACCAAGUCUAAGGUGGUAAACAAAUAGAUACUCCUGACCCGCAUGAGAUUAAAAUGUGAACGGCAGGAACUACGUGUGACUUGAUUCCCUUGUUGGGAUACGUAGGCAGCUUGGAGGGCAACUUCUAAGUUCAGUUACACCACUCCAAAUCAAAUCCUUGUCCCUUGUAAAAAAAAAAAAGGAAUUUCCUCUUUCCAAAAAAUAAAAAAAAAACAUAAUAAAAUGCUCCAUUUGAGUUCUUUUCUCUUUAAAAAAAAGGAAAUAAGAAAUGAAAAGCGUUUUAUUAUUGAAAAAAAAAAAGAAACUCAUUACAUGGAAAAAAAAUGAUAAAUGGCAAAAGAAUUCAGGAAAAAGAAGAACAUGGUGGAAAGUCUAAACAUCAAAUUUGUAUUCCACUACAGCUACUUUAUAUGAUUCAAGUGCAGACUUCAUGUCCUCAAGUUCCCUCACAGCGUCAUCAAUCAAGAUGCUGGUCUAUUCAAUGGAAGAUAGCUCAUCAUGCGCUUGGGUUAUUUCGACCUGAAUCUCUUUGAAGGUCUCAUGCUUUUGAUCGAUAGUUGAGGUGAUUUCCAGGCUUUGCUUCUCCAAACUGAUGAGUUCCUGUUGCAGAACCUUCUUCCUGGCUUCAAUGGAUUGCAACUCUUCUUCAAGACUUUGCAAAUGACGAGUCAGUUCUUCUCCCUUUGCCUUAACUUUCUCGAGUUGGACGGUCGCUUUGGAAAGGAGUUCUGCAUGUGUUUCUUUGUUCAUCCUUUCCCACGAUGAAGAUGCUAGAACAUCAUAAGCCUCCGCCUUGGCAAACAAUUCCAUCAAGUGGUCUUUUAAAGGGAGACCAUUGGCGGGAUCCGUUCUUGUGAUUUCUACAAUGAUUUCCUCUGCACACUCUUUUAAAGAAAAGAUCUGCUCAAUUGGAGUGUCAAGAAUCUGUCCGCGGAAAUCCAUCCACAAACUUUACAAGUACUUUCUUUGAUGUGCCUGGAUCAACUUUUGACCGUGAAAUUCUGAAACCAAUGCCACCUUAAGCCUUUUUCGAAUUUCGUGUGAACUAGUCAGCUCCUUCUUAUGCAUUGACGAAGUACCUCCACUGGGGGCAAAUUGUCUUGGAGUACUGAUAGCUACUUCGUCACUCUUGUUGUUUGAGAUUAUAUCAUCAGUUUCGAGUUCGGGUGAUGAAUUGUUACCAACACCUUCUUGACGAAAUUCAAGAAACGGGGGCUGAAAAGGAAAAAGUUUUAAAAAAAAAUUUUACAAAAAGGGAAAAAUAUGGAGAGAUGAUCACCUUAAGUGGCGACACUCCAACCAACGGUGGUGUAAAGGAAACCUCCUCCAAAUCAGAAGACGUCCUCUUCUUUGAUCGGUUCCAGUGACGAUCUUGACUACUACUACCGCUCGCCAACGAAUGGGUUCCUCCCCGGGUAGAUCCGAUGCCCUGAGAGUCCCUUCCUUUUCUAUAGCCUCGAUAGAAUCAUGAUCGUCCACCGUUUCGACUUCGACAUCUUCUUCAGUGUGAGUCACCGAUAAGGAUUUUGGAAGUUUGGGUGGCGUCUGCCCUGUUGGAAUCACUGGUUGUACCUCAUUGAUGGCUUGUCGAGAGUCCUUGGAAGACUUAUUCCUUGCGACAAUAUUUUUCGAGGGACUGCUAGUAAUUUUGUUCUUUCGCAAGGUGAAUGAGGCAAGACCCGUUACAAUCUCUAUAGCUCCAUUAUGAUGCCCUGACUCGUUAGCGGAGGUAGUCUUACCCUUCUUCGAUGAUUGCUGAGGGAUGUUAACGGUGAAUUUAAAGGAAGUUAAAGAGACACUAUUUGACCGAGUCGACCACCAGGCGUCAUAGUCUUUUGUGAUCAAUGGAUGCUUCCUGUGCGCGGGUAUAGUCAUCCGAGAUCGUGUCUGCGUGCGAAUUGAGGAAUCCCAUAGUUGAAUAGCCUCACCCAAAGUAUACGUGUGAGUGAUCUCUUUCAAGUUGUUGGGGAUAUCCUGACAGAAGCCGAAUUGUCUGCUGAACCUGCAAGGAUUAUAUUUUUCAAUAAUGAAAAUAUUGUCCUUACGUAGAGUUAGAUGGCAAGAGCGUUGACUAAUGAAGUAGCUCGUGAGUCUGGAUGAUAAGGAUCCGUCAUCGAUCAACGCCUUUUCUUCAUUCUCAGUCCAGCACAAUUUAGGAAGCAUCAAAGGGUUCACUUCUUUGAAAAUUUCCUCAGCUUCCAAUUGGCCAUAAAAUAUUGCCAUUUUCUCACCACUAAAUCUUGUCAUGCGCGCGUGGUGGCUACUCACUUAAUGAUUUUUGUAAUAGACAUCGAAGUAUUGACCAAUCCAAGCAUAGACGUAAUGAAUUGGAAAAGUUACCCCGCAUUCUCCAAGGUUAGGGGCGUGGACGAUCUCUUCAACCCAUGAUAUAUGCUCGCAAGGACGGGAAUUGUAAGACAAAAUCUUUUUCCUGUGGCCAUUAAGCAUGCAACCUUGAAGACACUCGGGCGAAUAUGAUCGACCUUUUUGCUUGGCAAAAGGAACUUGCAAAUCCAACAUGCUAUGAAUGCCGCAAUAUAGGUUUCCUUUCUUAGAGACCCUAGGAUACCCAGGGUGUUAAAAGGGGCGUUAAAAUCAUUCGUAUCGGCAAGGUCGUAAGGCUCCACGCUUCCAGAAGGGUUGUAAGUCAUUUUUGGUUUAGAUGUGGUCUUCCUUCUAUUCGCUCUACUCGGAGGAGCCCUAUACCUAGCCUCUCCUUUGAACCAGAAGCGAAUCCAGUCCUUCAUCCAUACCCCUUGGUCAUUUGUCCAAAGGUGGUAGUAGGCGAAAAAGAGGUGCCUGCAAUUCUCUGGGAGAAGUGGCUUCCCUUCUUUGUCACGGUGAGGAGCUCCCGCGCCGAAGGAACAACUUCAUCAAAAAACGUGCCGUCGAUCGAAAGGCCACCAAGUCGAUAGAGGUCCCAAAGUGUAAUGGACAACUCCCCAACGGGCGUAUGGAGUGUGUUCGUGAUAACCUCAACAACCAAGUCGUUUAUUGCCAUCUCAAGUAAGUCUAUGGCAUUCCGGGCGUCUAAUUCAACUCCUUUACAAAUGCAAGUAAGGAGCAUUCGGCCAUGUGAAAACAACUCUUCGAAUGAAUCCUUAGAAAUGUGGUAAAAUCUUUCGUAAAUUGAUCCAAAUAUGCCUUCUGGACGGGCAGACGACUUGCUUUGGAAGAGUAAAUGCUCCCUUUGUUCGUACUGAUCCCCAAUUCAGUCACCAAACCGCUAGGAACCUGCACGUCCAGAGCUGGUAACUUAUAUAGUUGGAUCAUUUUGUUAGUGUUGCAUGUGGGAAUAUAAAUCAUGAGCCACGACUUGAAUAAAAAUAUGUUAUUAGUUUCUUCAGAAAUCUCUUUCUUGGAUUCCUGUGGAUAUCUUGAGAAUUAUUAAAGAAAUUUCCGUGCAUAGUUACUAAUGUGUUGAAUGAAAAUCAUGAACUAUUUUUGCUACAAGAAAAAUUAAAAAGAUAAAAGGGAUUAACUCAAAGACCUGAGAUAACCAUUGAAGACAGUAACAAGAGUGUAAAAAAUGCAUGGACUCCUCGGGGAAGAGUCUGCUGUAGAAAGAGCGGGCAUUGCCCCUAUUAGGCACGAUCCUAUUUUGCGUCCAUUUUCUUUCUCAAGUUUGCGGUAGAAGCUUGGCAGCAACUUGAAAACCGAAUUGAAAUCAUUUGGGAAAAGAUCAUUCAGAAAAAUCUGAAUGGUGGGACGUUCUAAUUCAUUCUUCUUUUCCUGGCCAACUUUGUCAAUACUUUGGACAAUGUCCCGAACUGUUAAAAGUGUGUUUGGUCCAGAAGCGCAUCCAAAUCCGCAACUUUAAUGCACUUGUUGAUGUUGGGCAAGUUGGCCCGCAACAAUUCCCGUACGCAUUGUUCAAGGACAGGUUUCACCUUGGCGAGAACCAGUUGCUACACAUACCACUCCAAAAUACAAAUGUUAAGGGGGGAAAAAAGACAUACUAAGUUAGAGAUCGACGUAUCAUAGCAUGAUUUACUACUACUCUGUGUGUGUGUGUGUGUUAAAGAGAGAUAGAGAGACAGACAGACAUUGUAGGCUGAAUUCUUGGCGUAGCUUGUAUCGCCUUCGCCUCCAUUCAUCCGCAGGACUUCUUGGAGCUCCAUUCAUAUGCAGGACUUGUACAUAAAUCAAAUUGGACUGCCAAAGAAG